CCCUCUUUUUUCGCAUGCAAAAUAUAGGAGUAUGUUUGCAUUCAGUGGCUGACAAUGAACUGAGACAUGCAACACAUACUAUAUAGCACCAGUUUUGUUCUUUUUUUAGUCGGAGAAGCUUUUCAUCUUGCAUUAUUAUUGGGCUUUACUCUAGUUACACGAAAAGCUGUGAACACACGUCACGUUUAUUGUAUAGCUAAGGUGCAUGCAUGCCCAAGCACCAUGCAAGCUGCAGAGAGUUCUAUCACUGCCUGGUCGACAAUGCGUCGCUGCCCUCCAGCCGGCACAUUGCCGGCAGCUGUGCCGCGAGCUGCUGCGCCUUUGCCACCUUUAGGCGGGCCGCCUGGUACUCCGCGCUAACAUGGUAUGGGCUGGCGUAGCCUUGUUGCCCUUGUCCUGGUUGUUGCCCUUGUCCUGGUUGCCACAGAGAAGUUGGGUAGUACCCUUGUUGCCCUUGUCCUGAUUGAUGCCCUUGUCCUGACUGCUGUGAAGAAGUUGGAUAGUACCCUUGUUGCCCUUGUCCUGGUUGCAGCCAUUGUCCUGGCUGUUGCUCAUGUCCUGGUUGUUGCCCUUGUCCUGACUGCUGCGGAGAAGUUGGGUAGUACCCUGGUUGCCCUUGUCCCGGUUGUUGCCCUUGUCCUGACUGUUGCGGGGAAGUUGGGUAGUACCCUUGUUGUCCUUGUCCUGAUUGUUGCCCUUGUCCUGCCUGCUGCUUUUGUCCUGGCUGCUGUGAAGUUGGGUAGUACCCUGGUUGCCCUUGUCCCAGUUGUUGCCCUUGUCCUGGCUGUUGCGGAGAAGUUGGGUAGUAUCCUUGUUGUCUUUGUCCUGGCUGCUGAUCUUGUUGCCCUUGUCCUGGUUGCUGUUCUUGUCCUGGCUGCUGUCCUUGUCCUGACUGUUGGGGAGAAGCUUGGCCUGGAUAGUAUGACCCCUGCUGCGAAGAAGUUACACUUGGGUAAUACCUUCUUAGUAGUGCAGGUAUUCCCCAAAAUAUCAUUUGUUGGAGUUGCUGCGAAGGCGUAGUCUCGCUGGGGUAGAAGGAUCCGGCCUUGGACGGCACCACAGGUUGCUGCUCGUAUUGUCUCGUGCCCGGGCUGACGGUGAUGGGGCGGCACCCGGGGCUAACGUCUCGGAGUUGCUGGUCCACCACCUGUUGGCAUGCCUCGAGCUCGUGCUCACAUUGUAGUUGUCCAGAGGCCUCACCUUCAGCGGCGGUGAGAGCCACGAGGGCGACGACUACUGCCGCAAAGAGGACCAGGCGCUUAGCCAUCUCAGUGAACUGUCAGUGAAUUGAUCUGUAGAUUGGGGUGCUCGGUGUUGUGGGUGAUGAUGAGAUUGUGAAGGUUGGAUGGGCUUUUAUAGGGACGAGGUGAAGGUUCAGGACAUGGUUGUGUGCACGCCGAGGUUAGUUUAGCCUAUGAAGAAAGCGUGAGAAGAACAAAAUCGGUUGGAAAAGGGCAGUUUGCCAACACAAAAGAAGCUGGAUAAGUAAGGAGCAAUUGGUGCUUGCAAAACAGAUUUUUGGACGGUCUGCUAAAGCCACGUAAUGGGCUUAAUCCUAGUUCUGGUGUAUUGUUUGCAGAAGUGUGGAUGUUUGUACAUUGGUCUGUUCUUUUUAUCUAAGAGGAGUGAUUAUCCUUCUUGGGGUUUGGCAGAAUAUGUAUCUGUUAGCCAUUGCUUCCGCAAAUAUGCGGCACUCAAAACUUCUAACCAUGUCGAGUAGUGCCAUUGCUUCCGCAAAUAUGCGGCACUCAAAACUUCUAACCAUGUCGAGUAGUGGAAGGUAGCCUGCAUGGAACAUGUAAAUUGAUAAACCAUCUCUCCUAAAGCCCAUUUCAGGUUUUGUUGCUUGUCAUUUAGUUGGAUUUCCAGGCAACACAAAUCCAUGCUGACUCACAAUAUCUAUCCAAUGACUCACAACAUCUAUCUAUGCUAUGACGUGCAAAAAAGUUGGUAGAGUUUUGGACUUAUGAAAACACCUUUCCGUGACAAAUGAACUAACUGAAACCUUUGGCCAGUCAUGUCUAAAAUUAACAUAGGAUCUUAGUAAAUCCGCGUCAAAUAGUUUGAUUUACACCAGAAUAUGGAUUUUGUUUACUUCCCAAAUGAGUUCAAUUAAUGUAGAUUUAAUUGUCCAUUAUGCCCUCCUAUGUUUAACCUCUUAUGUUCUUCUAUGAUCUCCAAGUGUUUCUUCCCUGCCCCUACCUCUUUGCAUGUCCAUUGUCUUUCCCUGGCCUCCAUAGACGACGCACUUCUUCUCUCGUUGGCCUUAUCGCUUGGUCACGCCAUCACUAAUAUUCCACUGUAACUAGAUGUACCCCACAAGUUGUUGCCGGAAUAUUUUACAAUAUAUUUAAAUGAGAUUUGGUUGUAUGAAACAUGUAUAUUUGGAUAUGAGAACUAAAACUAAAAACACAUAUAAUUUAUUGUUUUUGAUUAUUGUAUAUUUGUGAAAUAUUUAUCAAACAUAAAUAGCCAAGUAAAAUGGAAAUUAUGCUGCAUGUUUGCAUGCUGAGGUGAGCUUUCUUCUAUGCAUGGUUGCAUAUUGAGGUGGGCAUUUUCAUAGGUGACGUGCUUGCAUGUCGGGAGAAAUGUGUUAGUGGAUGCUAGUUAUUUAGACUAGAAGAGUUGAGCGCGCUUUGCUGGGCAGUUGGGGUUUGGGUAAAAAAAAACUACUCUCUCUGUUUUAAAAUAUAAGGUGUAUUAGUUUUUUUUUUUGAGAAGUUAAACCUUUUAAAGUUUGAUCAAAUUUGUAGAGAAAUACAUAAAUAUCCAUAAUAUCAAGUCGAUAUCAUUGGAUUAAGCAUGAAACGAAUUUUCAUAUUUUAUUUAUUUAGUAUUAUGGAUAUUGAUGUUUUUGGUUGUGAACUUGGUCAAAGAAACAGAUGGAGUAUUUGGCUUGGUGUGUGAGGAAGAUGAUGAAGUGUAUUUUCUUUUUAUUUAUAAAAAUGCAGUGUGAUUAUGAGUUUUUCAUUAAUCAACCAUACUUAUGCAUGGACGUUUUCCAUGUCGGUGGCUACAUGUAAUGUAUUAAUGCUACAAUAUCAUAUAUUGACUCUUUUUUUUAUGGUGAGAGGAUGCGCGGGAUUGAUACCAUCGACCCGAUCAAAAUUGUGAACCAAAUCUAAAAUUGAAUAUUUCAAUUGGAUGGGAGAGCUCCAAAAUUAGGGAGCAUAAUGAAUUAAAAGAAUGGAAUGAGAGGACUCCUUGAGAGAGAGAAAAAAACAAUUAUUGACCCAGCAAGGAGAAUUUUUCAAAUCUUAUUCAAGAAGCUACUUUACUAUCACGUCAUGCAAGGAGAUACCAGCAGACCUUGCACAUAUCCCAAGAUAGUUUACAAUGUAUUUGGCUAAAUUCUUCAGAGAUGUUGUUUGUAGUUGUCUCAUGUGUGUUUACACAAAGGCUUAAAUUUCGUUUGGCAGAAGAAAAAACUGACAAUGCAUAUGUCUUUGUUAGUACCACUUAAUUUACCACACUAUGUUGAAAUCAAGCAAGGGCACAUCAACAGUUGCAUACAUUUUAUUUUCCGGGGAUGUGUCGUGAAUAUGUGAUGCAAACUUUGACAACCAAACUGGUUUGGCAAGUAUAAAAACAACUUCCGUUUAUUAAUUUGUUAUUUUUAGGAGGAUAUCAUCUAUAAGAGGCCAAAAUAAGACCAAACAUACCUUCAAGUCACUUCCUCAAUAUCCAUAAUUCAUAUUGGCAAUGGCAAGUGACUUUGGAUAAGAGUCUUCACCCACUUCUUCAAAAAUUACUUAAAAAAAAAUCUCUCUAUUUGAUGCAUCAUGUAAGUUUAUCAUGAGCCUACAAUAGUGAUAUUAAUUACCAAUCAAAUGGUUAGCAACCGAUAGGCAACAAUUUGGUGAUCCCAACCCAAUGCAUGAGAGAUGAGAUUACAGUUACUACCUAUGGGUGAACCGCCUAAUGAAAGCCUUAUCUAGGUCAACCCUAGUCAACUUGUGGCACUACUACAUAUUAUCAAUUCAAGCAUGAUGACAUGCACUGCAUAUUUCUCUAUAGUGCUAAUUCCAUCAAUUCAAGCAUGCGAACAAAUUACUUUCAAUCUCUAUAUCCUUGCUCUUUUUCCUCUCGAACUACCCCUCUAUCAGCAAGAUGCUCUUUGCUUCCCCGAACAUAAAUGUUCACUUCAGUUUUGUGCAAGUUGUGGUAGUCUAUUUCACCACGAAUCAGUUCUGACAUUGAAGUAAAUGGAAAGAAAGUGCCCAUUUCAGGACGCAUGGUUGGUCCUUCGGAUAAAGGUAUGAACAGAACAACCAAAGCCUGCAAUCUUUUAAAGAUAUACAGAAGCACAAAUUAGCAUACAUAAAAUUUGUUGUCUUGCUUGUCCAUUUAGAAUAGUAAAUCUGUGCUAGAAGCGCCAUCGUCUGUUGAUGUCGCUGCUUUGAGAAACUAAGAAACUGAUGAUGAUUAAACAUCACACGUACAUGAAUUUCCAUUUGCACAGAACCAGGGGUAAUACAAGAUAUCAGUUACAGGAAGCAAUUAUAUAUCAAAUUAGAGCCUGAAAAGUUUUGAAACUGAAACCAGUACCAGCGCACCACCUUGGCCUCUAAUAAAAGAGAAAAAUAUACUUUUCGUCCCUUAACUUUAGCGGAGUCUAGAUUUCGUCCUUCAACUUCAAAACCGGACAGGUUGCACCUCUAAAUCUUAAUACCAGACAAGUUUAGUCCUUCGUUUUGACUGACCCGAUAUCGCUGCUGACUCAGUGCGGAUUUUUCCUAACCUAUUGCGCCCACAACUCGUAUCCAGACCGCAUAUCCAGCGCAUGGUCAAAUCACUAGGACCCACAGUGCUUGCAGACCUCUAGUGUAUUCGUUGUAUAGGAACGGCUAAACAAAUAUUUCACUCUUUUAAAUGAAAGCCGUAUUCCAUCUAGUGGGUCCAUGUCUAUAGAUUCCCCUGUGCACAUGCCAUCCACUUGCCUCCAUGCCUACCUAUGCACGGGUGCGUUCCUUUGGACACACCGAGACUGCUAACUGUAGCUAGCUGUUAGGUACGCAAUUUGCCACACUUUAUUCACGUUGAUGUUUUUUCAUUACCAAGCUUUCUUAAUUAAUUAGUUGCACGUUUCAAAUACUCAACCAUAUAAAGUUCUUCGUACUGCCAUACUAAAUCACUGCGCACGUAAACAUAAAGUGCUGCGAUGGAACGUUUUCCACAGUCCCUGUCAGCCAACCCUCUCCUGCUCGACUCCAUCCAGUUCUGUGCUAUUCGUAACCAAAGUUCUCUGCAUGGCCAAGCUUAUAUGGUCGACAGGAGAUGGAGAGAUGCAGCCUCCCCCAGUUGGUGCUUGCCCGGUUGCCUCACUUCCCCCAAUGGACAAAUCGUUUUGAAAGAAUCAAGCCUGACGAGCGCCGUACUCCCGGCCGGUACUAGCUAGUAAGUAUAUAUAGAUAAAGAAAGCAGACUUACGACCGCUGUGCAUUUCGCACACUACUCCACGUACUGACCCAAAAAUUAGGCAAAUAAACAAAUAGGCGAAAGAAAGCAAACCUGUGAUUAUGGGAAUGAAAAAAUAUAGUAUGAACUUAGGUCAAAGGCAAAAAAUUAGGAGAAUUUUUUCUAUACCACUACGGCGUGUUCAGAGUUAAUUAUUUCACAGGAGUCAAGAAUCAUAUUGCGAAUGUUGCUCGUUUUGAAUCGGUCCAUAUUGCAAUCCGUUAAUAAAAAAAAUACUCCUCCGUUCCAUAAUAUAAGAGCGUUUUUUACACUAGUGUAAAAAAUGCUGCUCUUAUAUUAUGGAACGGAGGUACUACCUAUUACAACUUCGAACUAUCAAAACUGGCAUGUUUUAACCAUGUCCUCUCCUCAAACUAGUUUUUGAUGUGUUGCAGUGGUUUUGACCGUUUGACCGUCCAGGCGGUCGCUUAGUCAGAUGCCACGUUAUGAAACUGAUUGUGUAAAAAAUUAUAUAAAAUCAACAUUAAGCAUGGUGCUCAUUCUAAGAAAGUUUCAAACUUCAUUGCAGAACAUAUUAAAAAACACAAGAAAAAUACAUAUUCAGCCCUGAUUUUAAAAAACCUAUGAAAUAAAAUUUUAGGGUUUAUUCUUAGAAAUUUUGGAACGUUGAAGAUCUAAAUAUGUACUUCUCUUACAUAAAAAACCCAAUAGACCACCCAAUAGACCACCCGUCGCGAAGAGUUACCUCGAUUAUGAAUGGUUUCUCUGAGUCAAGCAUGAUUACGAAUGAUUUCCAGAUAUGUGAUUCUACUAUCCAACAAAGGCCAUUGACAUCGCUCAGGGGAUAUCUUUCAGCUAUCGUACUUGUCCUUCCUUUCACAUGCUUUCGGCAUCGCCUUCUACUCAUCUAUGCACUUUACCUCCACCUUGAUUGAUCUUUGGGAUCCCGUGUACCUUAGAACAAGAAAGAGACAAAACCUCCUAAAGUCCUUCGGUUUAGAGGACUUAAGUACUAGGCACGUUGAAACAAAGUGAUUAUCUCCUGUUCCUUUCACAAUAUUCAUGUGUAGUUGCGGUUAACUCGUAAAGGUCAUUAGGUUUUGACAACUUAAUUUACCUAGCAACUAAUACGGCGUAGUCAUAGAAGACUUCCUAAAGUACUUUGGUUUAGAGGACUCAAGUAUCGUCCAUAUGUUGAAGCAAACCGCUUAUCUCCGCGGGAGGUAUACAACGGAAAAAUCAUAGGUUCUUCCAUAAACAACUGAUAAAUCAUUAGUUCAAUUAUCAACUAAGGGAUGUAGUGUUGGACUUGAGUAUUGGUUUAGAUGACCGCGACCAAGGAAAUAAAGUGAGCCUUGACGGCUAUAUGUGACGCAGUAUCUAGUGAUGACAAUAUCGAUAAUUAUAUGGUUCGUAUCCCAGGACCCCAACUAAAAAAACUUACCGAUCCAUAUUACAUGAAAGUUCUUCAUGGCCAAGUGCAAGAGACCCGUAUUCGGGGUACAUAUGGCUACAAUUUCUAAAGUUCUUCGCGCUCGACCGUAAGAGGGCUGCAACCAUGAAUAUAAAGUGCGCAUCGACUAUUGUAUGUGACGUACUACCUCCGUCCAGGUUUAAAAGGCCCUUGAGCCAGCACACCUCGUCCUAAUUUGUAAGGCCCCAUGUGUAUUAGCAUUGUGCAUGCAAGCAUGGAAGAGGAAAAGGCUGCUCCUAAUUGGGCGCAUGCAAGCAGGUCUCGGAGCUAUGACUUAAGGGCCCUUUAAACCUAAACCCGGACAGAGGGUGAUGACAAUAUCACAAUAAUUAUAGGGUUGGUAUCCCAGGAGCCCGAAUGAAAAACCUUACCGAUCCAUAUAACAUUAAAGUUCUUCAUGAUCAAGUGCAAGAGACCCCUAUUUGGGUACAUAUGGCUACUAUAUCUAAAGUUCUUGGUACUCGACCAUAAGAGGACCGCAACAUGGGAUAUAAAGUGCGCAUCGACGUUACAUGCAACGUAGUGUCUAGUGAGGACAAUAUGACGAUAAAUAUAGGGUUUGUAUCCCAAGACCCCGAACGAAAAAACUUACCUAUCCAUAUUACAUUAAAGUUCUUCAUGGUCAAGUGCACGAGACCCGUAUUCAGGGUACAUAUGGCUACAAUCUCUAAAGUUUUUCGCGCUUGACCAUAAGAGGACCGCUACCAAGGAUAUAAAGUGUGCAUUGGCUGUUAUAUUCGACGUAGUGUCUAGUGAUAACAAUAUCAAAAAUAAUUGUAGGGUUAUAUGCGAUGGUUGUAUGUGACAUAGUGUCUAGUGAUGACAAUAUCACGAUAAUUAUUGGGGUUGUUUCCCAGGUGCCCGAAUGAAAAACUUACCGAUCUAUAUAACAUUAAAGUUCUUCAUGGUCAAGUGCAAAAGACCCGUAUUCAGGGUGCAUAUGGCUACAAUCUCAAAAGUUCUUUGCGCUUGACCAUAAGAGGACCGCUACCACGGAUAUGAAGUGUGCAUCGACGGUUAUAUGCGUAGUAGUGUCUAUUGAUAACAAUAUAAAAAAUAAUUAUAGGGCUCGUUUCCUAAGAUCCUGAAUGAAAAAACUUACCGAUCCAUAUAACAUUAAAGUUCUUCAUGGUCAAGUGCAAGAGGCCCGUAUUCGGGUACGUAUGGCUACUUUCUCUAUAGUUCCUCGCACUCGACCAUAAAAUGACCGCAACCAAGGAUAUAAAGUGUGCAUCGACGGUUGUAUGCGACGUAGUGUCUAGUUGCUUUGUAAUGUACUUGUGAUAGUAUUUUUUUUCUAUUUGUAGCCAGCAAGCUUGUUGCUUACUAGGUUGUGGUUAGUAGUGCAUUGCUUUUGAUAGUGUGCUUGGUGUAAAUACUUGAAUUACUAACGUGCCCACUAUUGUUGUUUCAUGAUGCUCAACUGAAUAAUGUCGGCUGUUUGACAUCAGUGUGUCUAUUUCUGCUGCUGUACAUUAUGUGAUUCAGUCUGCACAAACAGCAACCAUAAGUAGAUUUUGCCGAAAUGAACAUCAAAGGUUCAAUUUGAGUUGCACUUGUACUGAAAUAAGUACCGCGGCUAACUUUACACAUCCUCAUAACAUUUCCGAAAUUACAUAUUCACUACUUGGCCACAAAAAUGAACCUAAUUUCCGACAACAAAAGAACACCUACAACACCAAUUUCAUCUUUCGAAACAGCACAACAAAAGAAAGCCUACAACAUCUUUCGUAACACCAAUUUCAUCUUCCAACAACAAAAUGAACAUUCUUAUCGAGCACGAAAUUCUCUCAUGGCCUGAAAGGCCGCACUUAGUACACUUUGGGACUUUCCUUUGUGUCUUUGUUAGACCUCCCUUUGAGGGGUAUCACGAUGUGAUGUGGCCCUUACCUAUGCAAAUAGAACAAAACUUUGAUCUUCCCUUGCUGACAUUCUCAUAAUCUAGCUUUGCUCUUGCGUUCAUUAGCCUACUUAGACCCCUCUUGCGUGGUACUACAUUCAUUGAGCUUGGUAGAAUAGUUGCUCCUGGUAUGACAGGCAUAUCUUGGUCAUGCAGUUCAGUUGCAGCCUGAUCUUGUAACCCAAGCCACCCUGCAACCAUCAGCCACCAAUAAGUUUCCUAUAACAAUUUCUACACAUAAGAUUUCAUGAGUCAAGGUCCCUGCAUAUUUUGGAGUUGUUAACAAUAAUGCAAAGAAAAAUAAUUCUGGAAAAUAUUGUCAGAAUGUGCACAUAAUUCUGAUGUGGGUUCAGAAGUACUUGCUUUCUCCAAAGAAUAAACCUUUUAGCAUAAAUAACUGAUGUCUCUGAAAAUUGUAUUACUUUACAUGUCAAUUAUGAAAAUUAGUAACCGACAAUGCUAAAAAAAAAUUGGACUGUAAGUUUGACUGAAAACAAGCAGUUGCUAGCGACUAUAUAUUUGACUGAACACAAACACCUCGUUGAAUGAUUACUGGGCACAAUUAGAAAUUUGAAUCAUGUACUGUUUGCCAUCCUCGACAACCCCAUACUAUGUACAAUUAAUAUUUGUGAUCACCGAUAAGCGACAUAUUUUGUAACAUCAUGGGCUCAUGCUAUACAAAUUUGUAUGUUGCUGCCGAUGGUCUUGAAAGAAUCAAACUACUCUGCAAUAACAACAAUCUGCUCCAAAGAAUCAAACUUUUGACAGCAAUAACUGAUCACUAUAUCAAAUUUCCUUGCUGUAGAUGUCAAUGCCCAUGGUCAAUUUCAAUUGACAAAUGCUGAAUUAAUCUUCAGACUACUAUUUUACUGAAAACACUUGCCUAGUCGAAUCAUUCCUCCCUCUCAAUUGUUGUUUACUGUACAAGUCAAUGCCCAUUAUAAUUUCCAACUGAGAAAGCUUAUAAAAUCCAGGUCCAGACCACUAUUUUACUGCAAGCACGCGCCCAGUUCAAUCAUUUUAGGAGUGCGACAGAGAGAUAAUACCUUCCCAGCCACGGAGUUGGAAGGCUAGAAGUCUGGCAUGGCCUCCAGAACUUCAGAUUCUGCGUCGCUAGCAGAUUUCUCUCCAUCUUGGCUUGAGGACGAAGAAGCGACGUGGAGGAACACUCGCCGCCGUCUUCCUCCUCUGGCGAUCUCCGAUCUGGGACACACUCCAAGGGUUAUGAACAAAAACUGUCCACAGACACCGCACGAGAGAUUGUAGGCUUUACCCGAUCUGUAUAAUUUCUCAUGGCCUUCUCCAAAGCACUUUUCCUUCCCGAUAAUGAGGCGCGGCGGUCGUGUAUCUUGCCGAGUCGGACCCUACAUAUAUUUGACAUGUUAACCGCAACUGGAAUGAAAACAAAUCUUUCUAAUAUAGUUAAAAUGUGCUCAUCACUCUGACUUUGAUUCAGAAGUAGUUGCAGUGUUUUGAAUACCGUAUGCGUAGAUAUAUGUAACAACCAAUGCUCCAAAAUAAAAAACUGUGUAGCAUCAAUAGGUAUGCUGCUCAUAAAAUUGUCUUAAUGCACAUGCCGAUGCCAAUAUUGACAGUAUAAAAACCUGCAAAAAAGGUGGCAAAGUCUGACUAAAAUGUACUGUAACCAAGAGCCGAGUUUAUGAUUCCUUGACACAAAUCGAAAAUUGUAUCAUAUACUGCACCCCAAAUAGACAUGUUUAUGAUUGCUGAUCAGUGAUCAUAACGAGAGGUCUUGUAACAUCAACCGACAACUCCUCAAUAACAGAAAUUCUGCUCCAAAAUAAACAAACUUUUGACUGCAAUCAACUGAACAUGAUCAAAAAAAAUCUCCUGUUCAUGUCAAUGUCCAUGAUAAAGACUGAACUGGUGAUGCUUCCCAAAACUAGAAAAUUAUUUUACGUGUACAACACGGGCCUAGAUGUCCACAUUCAUUAAUCCCAAAACUAGAAACUGAACACGUCACUGGCAGUUCUAAUUUCGGGCUGCCCAGAAUCCUCAAAUCUUCAUCUAGCCAACAACUUUACUGAAAAAACAGGACUAGUUUACUGAAAGUUGUAUUCACAGAGGGGGGGAUCGAUUGAGCUAGUACCUUUGAGGCCACGGAGUUGGAGUGUGUUGCGAUUCAGAUGGGGGUUCUCUGUGACUGUCGGUGUAGUCAAUAUCUGGGACAUGAACUUGAGAUGCAGAAUCUCGGUGAAGGAGAAUCGGUAACGCCAUCCCUCCACCCCCACACUCGUCAUCCUCCUCCCCUUGAUUCACCAAUGCCAGAUCUGAGACGCCCUCAUGGACAUGGCAAGAUUCAGAUUUGAAGAAUUUGCCGAAGACAGAGAAAGAAACAAGAGGAUCUUGUGAAACCUGAACAGGAGAUCCGUGAUGACUCCCCACCGAGAUUCAUUGGUGAAUCAUGAAGAAAUCUUGAGAUCCAGGCCUGGCGAUGGGGAGGACGUGGUUCCGCCGGUCGAUGCAGCUGCAGCUGCGUCGAAUUUUGAAUCGCAUCCGGCUUGGGUGGAUGGGGCAGCCUGGUCACGGGGUAGUGGAUGGGGAGGUAGGCGAGUACACUAGGCGCGAGCGUAGGUAGGACGCCAGAUACGAUAGGACGUGUAUUCACUUCGUAUGGCGCUCAGAAAACUGAAAUAGCCGAAUCCGGGUAGGGCCAUGUGGGCCAGGCUAGCGUCCAUCCACAAGGUGCAGCGACGGCUCGGAUACUGGUUGCGCGUCUAACCAGUUGGUAAUAGCCAUAUUCGUGUGAUUUAGACUGGUUUUCGUCUAUGUGGCAGUAUUUCUCUUUCCCACCUGGCCCUAUCUCUUCUUUCUUCCUAUGUCUGUUUGAGCAUUUCAUCAAACAUAGGAUGCGCGCCUACCAUUGGUGGUCCUGCUAGCCACCACACGUCACCAUGGCCGCAUCGUGGGCUGCCUACUGGUCGCUCCAAGCCGCCGCUGCCUUCUCACCUAUGGCCGCGUGCAACAGCCCUGCUGACCCCGUGCACCUCGCCAUGGCACAAUCCCCGGCUGCCUGCCAACCUCUGUGCGCACUGCCACGGGCCGCACCAGCACGAGACAGGAGCUCGCCGGAAACGCAAGCGACCAAGCUGACGUUCCUGCCGUUUUGGAGCUCCCCUUCCGGAAACCAGCGCCGCCUGGUCGACGACGAGAUACUCAAACUCCUGACGCAUCGAGCUCGGCGGCGUGCGUGUACUGAUAGACCUGUGGUGUACCUCCUCAACGUUGUCUGCAGAAUGCUCGCUGAGGGCCUGGACAACGCGCUCUCGCCACUUCUGACGUAACAGCCACGCGUUCGUCGUCGCCGGUGGUGCUUGCCCUCAAGCUCGUGGCGCUCGCAUCCGGGACCGCGUUGGUGCACACGCGCUGGGGCAAGGGCCAGGCCGCGGAGUCGAGGCACCCGGGCGUCAAGCUCCAGCACGUUGCUCGGGAAGCUUCUAUGGCCGGUUUGGAUGCGCCCGCGACGACGGCAUGGUUCACGCUACUGUAUGCGGCCGGCCCGCCGUUCCACCGCUGUAUCCAUGCUGUGCAAGCCAGCUUUCCAACCGUUGCCACCGCCCCCCGCGGGAUGCUCCUGGCUGCCAGCAAUGGGGUCUCCGGACGGCGCUGCUGGACAUGCGGGGGUAGAGCAGCAUGACCGUUGGGAUGGACGAGAUGACGAGCAUCAGCUGCCUACGGAGUGUUCGAUAAAAUGCCUGGCACCAGUAAGAAGAUGAUGACGAGGUUGACGUUGUGUUUGACUUGAGACUGGUCAAAACCAGGUUCAGUCAGCAUAGGAAAAACAUCAGGGACUAAACUUGUCCGGUUUUAAGAGUUAGAGUUGCAAGUUGUCUGGUUUUGAAGUUUAAGGACUAAAUCUAGACUUUGUCAAAAGUUGAAAGACGAAAAGUAUACUGAACUUUGUUCAAAAUCAUAUCAUCCCAUAUAUAUAUCUAGUCAAGAUGGUGCUGUAAACAAAUUUCUCCCAGGCUACAUCUAAAUGAUGAGGUCUCCACCUGUAGCAUUCGGAUCAAAAACAUUUGUAGGGAAUGGAUGAACACCAGCACCAACCCAUACAAAUUCUUUGUAGAAAAUAAUGGACAAAACGAGCAGGUUACCAACAAUCUUGAAAAAAGUUGUCUUCCAUUCGGAUCAAAGAAAUAGCACAAAUGCUUUCACCAAAUAAUGGAGUGUUCGGCGGAUGAAGUAGUACAUCCAUCUUCUCUUUUCCGCAACCCUGAUUGAAGGCUCGGAGAGGCACCGAUUCUAGUGCCGCUCGCCUCUGAACCCCGAUGUGCCGCACGAUAGGGUUGCAUGACCCAGCGUCUUGUAGUUCUUUCCCUCGCGCAGCAGCCACAGCUCGAUGUUGGCCAGCUUCGCCUUGUACACCCCGCAACAAGGUCAUCGUCUCCACUACCUGCCCAAGGUGUUCCCCAACCUGAAACAAACACACAGCUUCCCUACACAUCCUCCAUCUUCAUCUCCUUCAUAAAGACCAACGCGGACAUGUGAUCUUCUUCCUCUUGAAUCAAUCACGGCCAGAUGUACGAGAUUUGUGGAGGAGAGAUGAUGAAAAGAGCGGCAGCGACAGUAGCCGGCGUCACGAGAAUGGAGAGCAUUGGGAUCCGAGGGGAGACAUGAGAGCUCUGGUGCGGCGGCGCUUUCCUUCGGCUGGGAACCCUAACGAACAAAGAGAAAUGGCGAGGUGUCGAGUAAGAGAGAUGAGACGAGCGAGGGGGGCCACCACGCAAUCAGUUGUCCGGCUCUGUCAGCUUUACAAUUGGAGGGGGCCAGCUCACGUAGGCUGACCCAGUCAAAAUCGUAGGCAGCCACGAAAUCCAUUGGAGUCAAUCGAUUCUGAACAUGAUCAACCUGACACCAUUGCGUGGAGGUUCACGGAUGAUUAGGAAUAUAGCACCAAGUCAGCCUACCUUUUGCAAUUUGAAGGUUCAGUGCACAUGCAGGAAUACAGCAGGCUAAUUUGGUCAACUUGGGCGCCGGGCAAAUGCCGCUUCUUUAUCUGGACUGCGGCGCUUGGAAAGUUACUAACGGCGGACACGCUUGUGCGACGAGGAUGGGACAACAAUUACUUCUGCCCGCUGUGUGAGAGAAAUCUGAAAACACCGAUGCACCUCAUCAUCGAUCGCGUUCCGUUUGGGACUCGAUUGGCUCCUUGGCCUGUAUGCCGGCGCUGCAGCCGCAUUCAUGGAGACAAACAACACACCUCUUGAGCUGGAUCGAGUGCUGCCACUUGCAAACUCCGAAGGAGAAGAAGGGCUUGAUUUCGCUUAUCCAUCUGACCGCUUGGGAGAUUUGGCGUGAACGAGAUAGGCGAUUUUUUCAGCAAGAAGCCUGGGGCCUGAGCCGUUUCACUAGGCAUAUCUGGGAUGAGAUCAAAAUGUGGAACCUGGCGGGUGCUAGAAUCCCUUUUGACGCAGGCUGAGUUUUCUUCGUCUUUUUUUUUUUGCUGGUUUUCUAUUUCUCACCUUUCCGUUUCAGACCCUAUGCUUGGGUUUGGCGCUGACCCGCCUCUUGGGGUCACCUAUGUACUUUAUUUUCCUCUACUGAUCAAUGAAUUUGGCAGAGCUACUGCCAACAUUAGAAAAAAAGAUUCUCACCGCCCGGCACCUAGGGAGCUUAGCGCGAAGAUGCAAAUUUGAAGACGUAAAACAUGAGAUGUAAAAAUUUACAUGUUCAAAAAAUGUUUUUUCAUCUUCAAAAAAGGGCUAACUCCAACAGACAUGCAAAGCUGAGAUGUAAAAUAACAACUCCAGUAGAAGAUGCAAACUAGAGAUGCAAAACCAGCCACCGGCCGCGCGGGCGCUAUAGCUGCUGUACAGCCGCACAAAUUGAAAUAAAAUAUCGAUAGUCAACUUAAAAAUUGCACAUGUCCACAAUAUCAAAUUAUUACAUAGUUCAUCAAAUCCACAAGAUCAAAUGCAACACACAUCUAACAUAGUUUUGCACAAUACAACAAACAAAUAAAUGAAACUAGGUGCCUCUUUCGCCAUGAUAACUCCUCCAACAAAUCCUUCUGAAGUUGAUCAUGCGCAUCGGAGUCUCUAAUGUACACCUUCAUGAAGCGUUUGAUUCGCUCCUCUCUUCUCAUCGGCAUAACGCGUAUGCCCAUCAAGUGAUAGAAGGUGUAAUCUAAACCUAGUCCACGCCCAUUCUCAAUGAUCAUGUUACGAAUGAUCACCCAAGCAGUCGUGAUAUACCAACGAACUUUGGUUCCAGAAUCUAGAUGGUCCUCGCACAAUAGCAAAUUGGGAUUGCAAAAUUCAAGAAGCUCUCUCAACAUCUUUCCUAGCCGCUGCUUGUGCAUUUUGAAAGAUGAGUUCUUUCUUUCCUUGGGGUUUGCAAUUGGCUUGACAAAAGUACUCCACCUCGGGUAGAUGCCAUCCGCAAGAUAGUACCCGCAGUUAUAUGUGCGACCAUUUGCUUCGAAGGCCACCCGUGGCGUUCUCCAUUUGCUAACUUAGCAAAAAGAGGUGACUGGCCGAGUACGGUGAUGUCAUGGCAAGAUCCAGACAUCCAAAAUUUGAAUGCGAAAACCAUGUUUCUUGAUCGGCAACGGCCCCACAAAUGAUAGUGGUGUCCUUCCCAUGACCCUUCAACUGUCCAUGCCAUGCUCUUGGGCAAUUUUCCACUUCCAAUGCAUGCAAUCGAUGAACCCAAGCAUACUUGAAAACCCACGAGCUUUGUUUAUCUCCAAAAGCUUCUGAGUGUCAUGAGCACUGGGAGCUCUCAAGUACUCUGCACCAAACACUUCUAUCAUAGUCUUUGCAAAUUGUUUGACACAGAAGAUAGAAGUGCUAUCUUCCAUCACCAAGUGGUCAUCAAUGUAGCCUGUCGGAACGCCGUAGGCCAUCAUGUGCAAUGCGACAGUGACCUUCUGUUCAGUAUUAUGUCCAAGCAACCCUGCACAAUUCCUCCUCUGCUCGAAGGAUCGAUCAUGCUGCUUCACGAAAUUGCAAAUGUGGAUGAACAAGUCUUUAGACAUUCUGAACCAAUGUCGUAAGUACCUCUCUGAAAAAAACGGGUGGUGAACCGAAAUAGUUGCCCAUCAAUCUCUUGUGCGCAUCAACCUGUUCACUCGGAAUGAACGCACGACCAUACAUGGAACCACCGUGCUUCGGCUUCUUCCCGCUGUGCAUCGCCACUAGCAUAGCAAAGUCCUCUUCUUCGUUCAAAUAAAAUUCCUCAUCCGACGAGGAAUUGUCCACUAAAUAGGAGUCACACGAGAUCAUCUACAAUGCGGAAAAUCGCGUCAAACUAACUCUCCAACUCCAACAAAAAACUGUCAAGUUUCAUUGUUUUUUACCUUCGGGAAUUUCGUCGAACACCUUGCUUGCGGGGUGGAUGAAAUCGGCCGGCUGCGGGUUGGGCAGCCGUUCGUUGGUGGCGGGUGCGGGUGGCGGUGAGUGCACGACAGAGGAGAUGACCGCACGUCGGCAAAGAAGAAGGCGGGAGCUCAGCACGACCGAGCCUCACGGCCGUCUGGCAGGCGGCGUGGCGCGCCUCCCCUAACUCCGGCGGGGGUUCUAGGCUAGGAAUAAGCUUAGCCCAUCAUAGAGCUCGUCAGGGAAGGCGUUUAGGCCAGUCGCAGCCGCCGGAGAAGCUUUGAUUCGGCGGCGGCUGAAAGUGAAUUAGCGGCUGCACAGGGAUACAAAGUCGUUGCGGGCCCGGCUACCACCGGGCGGGCGGCGGCAACGUCGAUUUGGUCGGAUUCGGCCGGCGGCAGCUGGUCGCGAGGAAGAGAAUGGAAUGACAGUUGGGCAGUUGGCAGGCGGUCGCGUUUUUACAUCUCCUGUAGGUGGAGAUGCAAAUUUGCACUGCGAGGUGUUGUAGUUUACAUCUCCGGGAGGCGGAGAUGUAAUUUGUUUGCAUCUACACCAUCUGUUGGAGAGGUGUUUUUGGCCCUCGGAGAUGCAAAAGCUAGGUAUUUUUGUAUCCACAUCCUCUAUUGAAGGUGCUCUUAGUGAUAUAGUAGAUAUAGAAGAUCGUGGUUGUGUAACCGCGAGUUAGCUGUUUGUUUAUUGUCAGUAUUAACAACAUACAUGAAAAAUUAAGCUGCACUGUCUCAGUUAAUUAAUACACCCCUUUCAUCUCCCGCCGACCAACAUAAUCCAGGUACACUCCUAAUACACAUUUUGUGGUUGCUAAAUUAUGCUUUGUUAACCUUAUUUAUUGUAUCAACAACAAAAUUGAUAGUCUUGGAAGCAAAUAAAAUGUUGAACAAAUAAUAAAACGGGCAAAAGGUAGGUUGUCAUAAUCCACCUCAACAACAAACACAGACGUCCCCACAAGAAAAAAAAUACAAACGUCCUCAAUCCUCCAAUAUCUCCUUGCCCGUACUUGAUUUUGUGCAAAAACUUGUGUAUAUUACUUUCUUCCUCUCAUAACUAAGAGAAACAUGUAUUAAGAAAAAUCAUUCAUAGCCACUGAGACUGUAAUUGUUUGCCCGAGGUGAGGAUGCAUCAAUGGGCAAAACAGAUCAACUAAGAAAGAAUUCCCCAAAAAAACUAGGAAGAAAUCCAAGUGAAAUCAUGCAUGCAGAAAAUUCGGCAAUAGUUGUAUUGUGCCACAUAGCAUGCAAUUGGUUCUAAGUAUAAACUUUUUUUGUAACUGAUUCCAAGUAUAAAAUUAACAAUACUACAAAAAUACAAUUAUACUUAUACUAAGUGCCAAUACAAAACUAUGUAAAACUUAACAACCGCUACGUCUUAACUACAGCCGAGCAAAAAAUAAAAAGGUGGGAACUCGCAGAGGAGGCUGAGAGAAACCACCGGAGAACUAUGUAAAACUUAAUGUUGAUGCGGCCUUCAACAUCCUGGAGGAGAAUGGCACUUCAGGUGCGGUGCUUCGUGCUAAUCAUGGCAAUUUUAUAGCGGCAAGCAAUUGCGUUGUAACUCACGUCGACUCGGCUGCCAUGGCGGAGGCAAUCGCCCUCUGAAAUGGCCUGGUCCUCACUGGACAGGUGGGGUAUAACAAAAUUCUAGUGAAUUCAGAUUGCAUGGAUGUUGCUGUUGGGGAACAUAGCAGAAAUUCAAAAUUUUCCUACGUAUCACCAAGAUCUAUCUAUGGAGAGACCAGCAACGAGUAGAAAGGAGAGUGCAUCUACAUACCCUUGUAGAUCGCUAAGCGGAAGCGUUCAAGUGAACGGGGUUGAUGGAGUCGUACUCGUCGUGAUUCAGAUCACCGAUGAUCCUAGUGCCGAACGGACGGCACCUCCGCGUUCAACACACGUACAGCUCGACGAUGUCUCCCACGCCUUGAUCCAGCAAGGAGAGAGGGAGAGGUUGAGGAAGACUCCAUCCAGCAGCAGCACAACGGCAUGGUGGUGAUGGAGGAGCGUGGCAAUCCUGCAGGGCUUCGACAAGCACCUACGGGAGAGGAGGAGGUGUCACGGGAGGGAGGGAGCGCGCCAAGGGCUCAGGUAUGGAUGCCCUCCCUCCCCUCCACUAUAUAUAGGGGCAGGGGAGAGGGGGGAGGCGCAGCUUUGCCCCCUCCUCCAAGGAAGGGGUGCGGCUAAGAGGGGGGGAGGAGUCCAUCCUCCCCAAGGCACCUCGGAGGUGCCUUCCCCCUUUAGGACUCUCCCCUUUUUCCUAUAUCUUGGCGCAUGGGCCUCUAGGGGCUGGUGCCCUUGGCCCAUGUAGGCCAAGGCGCACCCCCUACAGCCCAUGUGGCCCCUCGGGGCAGGUGGCCCCACCCGGUGGGCCCCCGGGACCCUUCCGGUGGUCCCGGUACAAUACCGAUGACCCCGAAACUUGUCCCGAUGGCCGAAACAGGACUUCCUAUAUAUAAAUCUUUACCUCCGGACCAUUCCGGAACUCCUCGUGACGUCCGGGAUCUCAUCCGGGACUCCGAACAACAUUCGGUAACCACAUACAAGCUUCCUUUAUAACCCUAGCAUCAUCGAACCUUAAGUGUGUAGACCCUACGGGUUCGGGAGACAUGCAGACAUGACCGAGAUGUUCUCCGGUCAAUAACCAACAGCGGGAUCUGGAUACCCAUGUUGGCUCCCACAUGUUCCACGAUGAUCUCAUCGUAUGAACCACGAUGUCAAGGACUCAAUCAAUCCCGUAUACAAUUCCCUUUGUCUAGCGGUAUGGUACUUGCCCGAGAUUCGAUCGUCGGUAUACCGAUACCUUGUUCAAUCUCGUUACCGGCAAGUCUCUUUACUCGUUCCGUAACACAUCAUCCCGUGAUCAACCCCUUGGUCACAUUGUGCACAUUAUGAUGAUGUCCUACCGAGUGGGCCCAGAGAUACCUCUCCGUUUACACGGAGUGACAAAAUCCCAAUCUCGAUUCGUUCCAACCCAACAGACACUUUCAGAGAUACCCGUAGUGUACCUUUAUAGCCACCCAGUUACGUUGUGACGUUUGGCACACCCAAAGCACUCCUACGGUAUCCGGGAGUUGCACAAUCUCAUGGUCUAAGGAAAUGAUACUUGACAUUAGAAAAGCUUUAGCAUAUGAACUACAUGAUCUUGUGCUAGGCUUAGGAUUGGGUCUUGUCCAUCACAUCAUUCUCCUAAUGAUGUGAUCCCGUUAUCAACGACAUCCAAUGUCCAUGGUCAGGAAACCGUAACCAUCUAUUGAUUAACGAGCUAGUCAACUAGAGGCUUACUAGGGACAUGGUGUUGUCUAUGUAUCCACACAUGUAUCUGAGUUUCCUAUCAAUACAAUUCUAGCAUGGAUAAUAAGCGAUUAUCAUGAACAAGGAAAUAUAAUAAUAAUCAAUUUAUUAUUGCCUCUAGGGCAUAUUUCCAACAGUCUCCCACUUGCACUAGAGUCAAUAAUCUAGUUCACAUCGAUAUGUGAUUAACACUCAAGGUCACAUCCCCAUGUGACUAACACCCAAAGAGUUUACUAGAGUCAAUAAUCUAGUUCACAUUUACCAUGUGAUUAACACUCGAUGAGUUCUGGGUUUGAUCAUGUUAUGCUUGUGAGAGAGGUUAUAGUCAACGGGUCUGAACCUUUCAGAUCCGUGUGUGCUUUACAAAUCUCUAUGUCAUCUCCUAGAUGCAGCUACCACGUUCUAUUUGCAGCUAUUCCAAAUAACUGUUCUACUUGGAGCUAUUCUAAAUUGUUGCUCCAUUAUACGUAUCCGGUAUCUCUACUCAGAGCUAUCCGGAUAGGUGUUAAGCUUGCAUCGACGUAACCCUUUACGACGAACUCUUUUACCACCUCCAUAAUUGAGAAAAUUCCUUAGCCCACUAGUUACUAAGGAUAACUUUGACCGCUGUCCUGUGAUCCAUUCUUGGAUCACUCUUGUACCCCUUGACUGACUCAUGGUAAAGCACACUUCAGGUGCGGUACACAGCAUAGCAUACUGUAGAGCCUAUGUCUUAAGCAUAGGGGACGACCUUCAUUCCUUUCUCUCUAUUCUGCCAUGGUCGAGCUUUAAGUCUUAACUUCAUACCUUACAACUCAGGCAAGAACUCCUUCUUUGACUGAUCCAUCUUGAACACCUUCAAGAUCACGUCAAGGCAUGUGCUCAUUUGAAAGUACUAUUAAGCGUUUUGAUCUAUCCUUAUAGAUCUUGAUGCUCAAUGUUCAAGUAGCUUAAUCCAGGUUUUCCAUUGAAAACACUUUCCAAAUAACCCUAUAUGCUUUCCAGAAAUUCUACGUCAUUUCUGAUCAUUAAUAUGUCAACAACAUAUACUCAUCAGAAAUUCUACAGUGCUCCCACUCACUUCUUUGGAAAUACAAGUUUCUCAUAAACUUUGUAUACACCCAAAAUCUUUGAUCAUCAUCAAAGCAUACAUUCCAACUCCGAGAUGCUCACUCCAGUCCUCAGAAGGAUUGCUGGAGCUUUUGCAUACUUAUUAGCAUAUUUCAGGAUAGACAAAACCUUCCGGUUGUAUCACAUACAACCUUUCCUCAAGAAUCGCCGAGGAAACAAUGUUUUGACAUCCUAUCUGCAAGAUUUCAUAAAUAAUGCAGUAAUUGCUAAUAUAAUUCCAACAGACUCUUAGCAUCGCUACGAGUGAGAAAGUCUCAUCGUAGUCAACUCCUUGAACUUGUCGAAAAACAUCUUAACGACAAGUCGAGCUUUCUCAAUGGUGACACUUACCAUCAUUGUCUGUCUUCCUUUUAAAAUCCAUCUGCACUCAACAGCCUUACGACCAUCGAGUUGUUCUGCCAAAGUCUACACUUUGUUUUCAUACAUGGAUCCUCUCUCGGGUUUUAUGGCCUUGAGCCAUUUAUCGGAAUCCGGGCCCACCAUCGCUUCUCCAUAGCUCGUAGGUUCAUUGUUGUCCAGCAACAUGACUUCCAAGACAGGAUUACGUACCACUCUGAAGUAGUACGCAUCCUUGUCAUCCCACGAGGUUUGGUAGUGACUUGCUCCGAAGUUUCAUGAUCAAUAUCAUAAGCUUCCACUUCAAUUGGUGUACGUGCCACAAGAACAACUUCUUGUGCCCUGCUACACACUUGUUGAAGUGACGGUUCAAUAACCUCAUCAAGUCUCCACCAUCCUCCCACUCAACUUUUCGAGAGAAACCUUUCCUCGAAAAAGGACCCGAUUCAAGAAACAAUCCCUUAUUGCUUUCGAAUCUGAGACAGGAGGUAUACCCAACUGUUUUGGGUGUCCUAUGAAGAUGCAUUUAUCCGCUUUGGGUUCGAGCUUAUCAGCCUGAAACCUUUCCACAUAAGCAUCGCAGCCCCAAACUUCUAAGAAAUGACAGCUUAGGUUUCUCUAAACCAUAAUUCAUACGGUGUCAUCUCAACGGAAUUACGUGGUGCCCUAUUUAAAGUGAAUGUGGUUGUCUCUAAUGCCUAACCCAUAAACUAUAGUGGUACUUCGAUAAGAGACAUCAUGGUAUGCAUCAUAUCCAAUAGGGUGCAGUUAUGAUGUUCGGACACACCAUCACACUAUGGUGUUCCAGGCUGUAUUAGUUGUGAAACUAUUUCCACAAUGUCUUAAUUCUGUGCCAAACUCGUAAUUCAGAUAUUCAUCUCUAUGAUCAUAUCAUAGACAUUUUAUCCUCUUGUCACGACGAUCUUUCAACUUCACACUGAAAUUACUUGAACCUUUCAAUAAUUCAGACUCGUGAUUCAUCAAGUAAAUGUACUCAACAUCCACUCAAAUUAUCUGUGAAGUAAGAACAUAACAAUAUCCACUACAUGCCUCAGCACUCAUUGGAUUGUACACAUCAAAAUGUAUUACUUCCAACAAGUUGCUAUCUUGUUCCAUCUUACUGAAAACGAGGCUUUUCAGUCAUCUUGCCCGUGUGGUAUGAUUUGCAUGUCCCAAGUGAUUCAAAAUCAAGUGAGUCAAAACGGUCCAUUUGCAUGGAGUUUCUUCAUGCAUAUACACCAAUAGACAUGGUUCGCAUGUCUCAAACUUUUCAAAAACGAGUGAGCCCAAAGAUCCAUCAAUAUGGAGCUUCUUCAUGCGUUUUAUACCAAUAUGACUUACGUGGCAGUGCCACAAGUAGGUGGUGCUAUCAUUACUAUCUUUUGGUAUGAACAUGUGUAUCACUACGAUCGAGAUUUAAUAAACCAUUCAUUUUAGGUGUAAGACCAUUGAAGGUAUUAUUCAAAUAAACAGAGUAACCAUUAUUCUCCUUAAAUGAAUAACCGUAUUGCGAUAGACGUAAUCCAAUCAUGUCUAUGCUCAACGCAAACACCAAAUAACAAUUAUUUAGGUUUAACACCAAUCUCUUUGGUAGAGGGAGCGUGCGAUGCUUGAUCAUAUCAAGCUUGGAAAAACUUCCAACACAUAUCGUCAGCUCACCUUUAGCUAGUCUCCGUUUAUUCCGUAGCCUUUUGUUUCGAGUUACUAACACUUAGCAACCGAACCGGUAUCUAAUACCCUGGUGCUACUAGGAGUACUAGCAAAGUACACAUUAACACAAUGUAUAUCCAAUAUAUUUCUAUCGACCUUGCCAGCCUUCUUAUCUACCAAGUAUCUAGGGUAAUUCUGCUCUAGUGGUUGUUCCCCUUAUUAUAGAAGCACUUAGUCUCGGGUUUGGGUUUUACCUUGGGUUUCUUCACUAGAGCAGCAGCUGAUUUGCCGUUUCAUGAAGUAUCCCUUCUUGCCCUUGCCCUUCUUGAAACUAGUGGUUUCACCAACCAUCAACAACUGAUGCUCCUUCUUGAUUUCUACUUUCGCGGUGUCAAACAUCGCGAAUACCUCAAGGAUCAUCAUAUCUAUCCCUGAUAUGUUAUAGUUCAUCACGAAGCUCUAACAGCUUGGUGGCAAUGACUUUGGAGAACCAUCACUGUCUUAUCUGGAAGAUCAACUCCCACUCGAUUCAAAUGAUUGUUGUACUCAGACAAUCUGAGCACAAGCUCAACAAUUGAGCUUUUCUCCUUAGUUUGCAGGUUAAGAAAGUCAUCGGAGGUCUUAUACCUCUUGACAUGGGCACGAGCCUGAAAUCCCAAUUUCAGCCCUCAAAACAUCUCAUAUGUUUCGCGAUGUUUCAAAAACGUCUUUGGUGCCUCAACUCUAAACCGUUUAACUAUCACGUAGUUAUCAAAACGUGUAUGUCCGAUGUUCGCAACAUCCACAGACGACGUUUGGGGUUCAGCACACUGAGCGGUGCAUUAAGGACAUAAGCUUUCUACUGUCCGCAUAAUCGCUACUAUCAACUUUCAACUAUAUUUUCUCUAGGAACAUAUCUAAACAGUAGAACUAUAGCGUGAGCUACGACAUAAUUUGCAAAAACCUUUUGACUAUGUUCAGGAUAAUUAAGUUCAUCUUAUGAACUCCCACUCAGAUAGACAUCCCUCUAGUCAUCUAAGUGAUUACAUGAUCCGAGUCAAACUAGGCCGUGUCCGAUCAUCACGUGAGACGGACUAGUCAUCAUCGGUGAACAUCUUCAUGUUGAUCGUAUCUUCUAUACGACUCAUGUUCGACCUUUCGGUCUCCGUGUUCCGAGGCCAUGUCUGUACAUGCUAGGCUCGUCAAGUUAACCCUAAGUGUUUUGCAUGUGUUCCGAGGCCAUGUCUAUACAUGCUAGGCUCGUCAACACCCGUUGUAUUUGAACGUCUGAAUAAAACACCCGAUCAUCACGUGAUGUUUUGAAACAGCGAACUGUCGCAACGGUGCACAGUUAGGGGAGAACACUUCUUGAAAUUGUGGUAAGGGAUCAUCUUAUUUACUACCGUCGUUCUAAGCAAAUAAGAUGUAUAAACAUGAUAAACAUCACAUGCAAUCAAAUAGUGACAUGAUAUGGCCAUCAUCACUUUGCUCCUUUUGAUCUCCAUCUUCGGGGCUCCAUGAUCAUCAUCGUCACCGGCAUGACACCAUGAUCUCCAUCAUCAUGAUCUCCAUCAUCGUGUCUUCAUGAAGUUGCCUCGCCAACUAUUACUUCUACUACUAUGGCUAACGGUUAGCAAUAAAGUAAAGUAAUUACAUGACGUUUAAGUUGACACGCAGGUCACAAAUAAAUAAAGACAACUCCUAUGGCUCCUGCCGGUUGUCAUACUCAUCGACAUGCAAGUCGUGAUUUCUAUUACAAGAACAUGAUCAAUCUCAUACAUCACAUAUAUCAUUCAUCACAUCCUUUUUGGCCAUAUCACAUCACAUAGCAUACCCUGCAAAAACAAGUUAGACGUCCUCUAAUUGUUGUUUGCAUGUUUUACGUGGCUGCUAUGGGUUUCUAGCAAGAACGUUUCUUACCUACGCAUGAACCACAACGUGAUAUGCCAAUUGCUAUUUACCCUUCAUAAGGACCCUUUUCAUCGAAUCCGAUCCGACUAAAGUGGGAGAGACAGACACCCGCCAGCCACCUUAUGCAACUAGUGCAUGUUUGUCGGUGGAACCGGUCUCACGUAAGCGUACGUGUAAGGUUGGUCCGGGCCGCUUCAUCCCACGAUGCCGCCGAAUCAAGAUAAGACUAGUAACGGCAAGCAUAUUGAACAAUAUCGACGCCCACAACUACUUUGUGUUCUAUUCGUGCAAAGAAUCUACGCAAUAGACCUAGCUCAUGAUGCCACUGUUGGGGAACGUAGCAGAAAUUCAAAAUUUUCCUAUGUAUCACCAAGAUCUAUCUAUGGAGAGACCAGCAACGAGUAGAAAGGAGAGUGCAUCUACAUACCCUUGUAGAUCGCUAAGCGGAAGCGUUCAAGUGAACGGGGUUGAUGGAGUCGUACUCGUCGUGAUUCAGAUCACCGAUGAUCCUAGUGCCGAACGGACGGCACCUCCGCGUUCAACACACGUACAGCUCGACGAUGUCUCCCACGCCUUGAUCCAGCAAGGAGAGAGGGAGAGGUUGAGGAAGACUCCAUCCAGCAGCAGCACAACAGCGUGGUGGUGAUGGAGGAGCGUGGCAAUCCUGCAGGGCUUCGCCAAGCACCUACGGGAGAGGAGGAGGUGUCACGGGAGGGAGGGAGGCGCCAAGGGCUCAGGUAUGGAUGCCCUCCCUCCCCUCCACUAUAUAUAGGGGCAGGGGAGAGGGGGGAGGCGCAGCCUUGCCCCCUCCUCCAAGGAAGGGGUGCGGCUAAGAGGGGGGGAGGAGUCCAUCCUCCCCAAGGCACCUCGGAGGUGCCUUCCCCCUUUAGGACUCUCCCCUUUUUCCUAUAUCUUGGCGCAUGGGCCUCUAGGGGCUGGUGCCCUUGGCCCAUGUAGGCCAAGGCGCACCCCCUACAGCCCAUGUGGCCCCUCGGGGCAGGUGGCCCCACCCGGUGGGCCCCCGGGACCCUUCCGGUGGUCCCGGUACAAUACCGAUGACCCCGAAACUUGUCCCGAUGGCCGAAACAGGACUUCCUAUAUAUAAAUCUUUACCUCCGGACCAUUCCGGAACUCCUCGUGACGUCCGGGAUCUCAUCCGGGACUCCGAACAACAUUCGGUAACCACAUACAAGCUUCCUUUAUAACCCUAGCAUCAUCGAACCUUAAGUGUGUAGACCCUACGGGUUCGGGAGACAUGCAGACAUGACCGAGAUGUUCUCCGGUCAAUAACCAACAGCGGGAUCUGGAUACCCAUGUUGGCUCCCACAUGUUCCACGAUGAUCUCAUCGUAUGAACCACGAUGUCAAGGACUCAAUCAAUCCCGUAUACAAUUCCCUUUGUCUAGCGGUAUGGUACUUGCCCGAGAUUCGAUCGUCGGUAUACCGAUACCUUGUUCAAUCUCGUUACCGGCAAGUCUCUUUACUCGUUCCGUAACACAUCAUCCCGUGAUCAACCCCUUGGUCACAUUGUGCACAUUAUGAUGAUGUCCUACCGAGUGGGCCCAGAGAUACCUCUCCGUUUACACGGAGUGACAAAAUCCCAAUCUCGAUUCGUUCCAACCCAACAGACACUUUCAGAGAUACCCGUAGUGUACCUUUAUAGCCACCCAGUUACGUUGUGACGUUUGGCACACCCAAAGCACUCCUACGGUAUCCGGGAGUUGCACAAUCUCAUGGUCUAAGGAAAUGAUACUUGACAUUAGAAAAGCUUUAGCAUAUGAACUACAUGAUCUUGUGCUAGGCUUAGGAUUGGGUCUUGUCCAUCACAUCAUUCUCCUAAUGAUGUGAUCCCGUUAUCAACGACAUCCAAUGUCCAUGGUCAGGAAACCGUAACCAUCUAUUGAUUAACGAGCUAGUCAACUAGAGGCUUACUAGGGACAUGGUGUUGUCUAUGUAUCCACACAUGUAUCUGAGUUUCCUAUCAAUACAAUUCUAGCAUGGAUAAUAAGCGAUUAUCAUGAACAAGGAAAUAUAAUAAUAAUCAAUUUAUUAUUGCCUCUAGGGCAUAUUUCCAACAGUUGCCGACACGAUGAAGAAUGGAGGUAAUUCAAUUGGUGUUGCAGCUGCAGUUUACUCCUUUCUAUGUCAAGGUUUUGCAAAUGUCAAAUUUGAUCAUUGUUGCAGGGAAGCCAAUCAAGUUGCACAUCUUUUAACUUGUAAUUCUAAGGUUUCUGUUACUAACAGCGGCAGCAGGAAUCUACCAUUUUUAUCUUACCGCGGUUAGCAAACGAUGUAACUUUUAUGCCUUGUGAAUAAAGUCACCAUGAUGGCAUUCCCUUAAAAAAGUGUGAACACAAAACUUAUCCACUACAAAGUUGUCACCAUCCAGUCAUGUAGAAUAUGACAUUGUGAACACAAAACUUAUAACUUCAAAAAAUUGUGCCUUGGUCCUUCACAACUAGGGUGUGUUGUGGUGGCAUAAUAUUUUUCCAUGUAUAGUAGAUAAUACAUCUAGUGUAGUAAAAAAAUCACCAAUAUAUGUUAGAUCAUAAGCAAUAGCACGUUGUGUACCAUUACUAUGUCAAAAUUUAAUACUUCAUCACAAUUGUCUUGAAUUUUAAGUCACCUUAGGACAUUUGCAAUGCAAAUAAAAAGGUGACCAAUAAGAUACAAUAUUACAACAAAUUUGUUGCUUGUAUUAUUUUGCCGUAAUUUUUGUCUUGUCAUUCAAUGCUGAUACUUGGCCAAGAAAGCUUUCACACACCAUUUUCCAUUGGAUGGCCAAACUAUUGUAAUCACAAUAGAAUGUAGUAGUUUUUUUGCGUAAGUUCUACUGAUAUUUAUGUUGAAAAUUUCAAAGCAUGCACUUUCAAGUCCCAAAAAGAUUCCUUAAUAAAAAUGUGGUGCACUGAAAAGAAAAAGAAAAUGCGUGACCAUAAUUCCAAAUAGUGAUGUGCUCUCGUGCUGCAAAUAAAAGCCUUUUUCUUUUCUUUUUGAUGCAAAACAUAGCAGUUUUAUUGCAUGAAUGAAAUUCGGUUACACUCAGCCCUGGGACUACUUACAAUGAAAGAUGGGCAAGCGUCCAUCCAACACUCGGAUAUCGCUAAAGAAGUAGCUUGUUUGGCACAAAGAUCUGCCGUGUCGUUGCCAUCCCUACUAACAUGUUGAACCGAAAAAAGCAAAAUUUGUAGCUCUCUCCCUAAUUUCCUCGUAGAUAUGUGUCACAAUAGAUCUUGUAUUAUGAUGCGAAAGCCAGAGGUUCACCACCUCUAAAUAGUCGACCUCCAUCACCACGUGCAAAACCCCCCUCAGUUGGGCAGAAAUGACUCCUUCGUGUAAAGCAAGCACUUCGGCAGUGAAAGGGUCAAUGAUACCAGAUAGGGUCUUGCUCCACACGCCCAAAACAGAGAUAGGAGGCAGCACUGCACCACCUCCUGCUUCUACCUGCAUCAAAGCAUCUAUCGAUCCAUCCGUAUUGAUUUUAACCCAGCCAGGUUCCGGUGGCCGCCAGACAUGACCUGCAGAAGUGCUAGGGCUAUCUCUCGAAAGGUCUAGAAGAGCCAGUCAUCCCUUGCCCUCUUGACUGCAUGUAUAGGCAGUGGCGGAGCCAGGAUUUCCGACAUGGGUAUGCGUAGUAAAAAAAUUGCUUCACGACAUUGUAAGAAAUAGAGAAGUUCAUAAUAUUAACAAAAAGAACAUGUUAGAUAGUGAUGGCGGCAUACUGGCAUGGUGGGCAGUCUCGCAAAUUCAAAUAUUCAUAAUUUAAAAAUUUAUGUGCAUGAGAUUCACCUUGUUUUCCCUGUACUGCUUCACAAGUUUUCUAGCAAGCCAAUGCAAAUCCACACUCAAAAUUGACUGGAUACUACAAUAGGUUAAUCAAAACAAAAUUAGGAUAUGAAAAUAAUCAUCUCGUCUUAACUAAAAAAUCGGAGAAAUCAAGAUUGAACACUCACUGACUCGAAGAAGACAAUCACAGGAAUCGGUGCCUGAUGUGGGUGCGCCGGUGCUGCCGCCGCAGCCGCCGUUUCUCAAUUCGAGGUGAAGCAGCAAACAGGCGCGAGGAGAUCUAUCUGCUAGAUCCAAGAUGGCAGAUCGGUCACGCUGCCGAUGGCGGAUGCGGGCAUACGGUGCGACGAUGUGCGCCAGAGACGGCGGAGGAGGCGCAGCGCAUCGGCGGUUGAAUCGACGGAUCAAGGCGACACGUUCCAGGUCGAGCUGUCUCUUCAGCUUCGUCAAUCGGCCAGCCGCAUAAUUAAGCCUCAACUAUAAGGCCCAGUAGCACUAACUAGACACGUAGCAGCCCAAUAUUGGCCCAAGUGGCGUUGGAAUCGUUCUAUUCUUCGUUUCUCUCCUCUGUACGUACAAAAAGAUUGCCAUAUGUGAUAUAUAGGCAUAUAGGAGCUUAUAUAUUAAAUUUUUUUCGCAAAACAGAUUGGGUUGCAUUAGCCUAGCUCCGCCCCUGUGCAUAGGUUAUAUCCACCCUCAUCAUGCGUCUAACGAUUCCUUGACGACCAAAUUGCAUUCCCCUGGAGUUUCAAGAUUUAUUUUGUAUUCCCCUGCCCUGUACAUGUAUACAGGGGUGACUAUUUUGGGAGUUUUUGUGAAUCACACGUUUUAAAUGUGGAACAUAAAAGAAUUACGGGAGUCUGAAGCAAAAAGUGAUUAAUCGGUUCUGCCAAGUAAAUCCAUUUCAUUAUUCAUUUCUUUUUCAUUAUCACCAUCACUUCCGCAUGGAGGAUUGUGAUUACAGGUCACACUUAUUAUGAGAGCUCACGCAGUACAUCCACCAAUCAACUAGCCUAGUACGGGUCAGCGGAGAAGGCGCUACACUCCUCACUACUAGGAAAAAACUUACCAGUAGUGCUGGUUUUUUUUCUACCGGUAGCGCUGGCAGACGCGCUACUGCUACGACGCUAUAACUAUAUUUUUUAGCAAUAGCGCUUGUUUGUCCCAGCGCUACUGGUAACUAAAGAUAGCAGUAGCGCUCUUUUGUGCCGUGCUACUGGUACUUAUCUGCAACGUGGGUGGAUAAUAAGCGCCACUGUUAAUUGACUGUUGCCGAUAAAAUUUACCCCCGCGCCACUGCUAAAUUUGUAGUUUUUUUUUCUGCAUUUUGGCACUGUACAUAUUUAAAUAGAUACAUCUUUUAUACAAUAACAACAUGCAUAUUCAUUGAAAAACAGGUGAGGCAUUGAUGAGCAAAAGUUAUUAGAAGUCUCGACUACAGUAUCUCAUCAUCAUCAAUCAUGGUCGAACACAUGUCUCGAAAUAUCGUUACAAUUUAUUAGAAGUUCCGAAUACAUGCAACUACAUGGUCACAUACCCAUGUUUCAUUAUCUAUGUAAAUUAUGAUAUGACCGCAUAGAAGAGAAGAGCGAUCACGAUGAGCAAAAGUGGGAUUAUGUUGUACUUUUUGUUGCACUACUUUUGAAUCCUCUGUUGCGCUAUGAAUCUCGAGUAACUAGCUUUGGCUUCGAUUCUGCUAUGAAACCCUUUCUGGCUUCCGUUCGGGAAGCGGUACACUUGGGCCUGACACUCUGGCAACUCAUCGUACACACCCGGAACAUGCCCUACAUACACGGCAUACCACUUCCUCACCAUCGUUGAUCUAUAUACCUGUCAGAGAUGGACAUAUAUCAUCAAGCGAAUUCAACGAUAAUAUGCAACAUAACAUACGUCGGCCUGUGGAGAGAAACACUUAUGAAAUAGAAGUAACAUAUAGUAAACAUAGUUAACAAAAUUCAUCGUACCGAAACUAAUUAACUAGAGCGCGGCACCAUUUACAUCUAAUAGUUUGGUCGUACUGAGACAUUCAAAGUUUCCUCGUACAGAAAGUGACAACUAACUAAACAGACACAUUGUCUUCAAGUAGUGCACUGUUCCCAUCUGUCCAUAUCUGGCAGGAUGCAACCAAGCUUAGUGAAAGGCAUCAUGUCCUAACGCCAUAGGGAUAUGCGGGUUCGGAUGUCAGCUCGCGAUAUUGGGCCGCCGUAGAACAUCCCAUUCUCUUCAAGGACGUCUUUCAUGAUGAUGGACGCAAUUUCCUGCUGGAUCCAGUAGAAAUCAUUUCGAAGUCGAUUAUCCAGCAUGGCUCCAAAGGCUUUGACCCAUCUCUGGGUAUGGGUAUCGGAUGAAGAUUUCAUGCAAAUUGAUUGCACAUCCCUUCUGUACUCCAUCAUUUGAUGGAUGACGUAGAAUCCAUCAUUAUCACUUCUUGCCGAUCGCUGGAGGCAACAAUAGUCAGUCUUAUGGCCGAAACACAUCCCGGCCUGAUUUGUUUUUUUGCCUUGUAUGUAGCCACUCCACAUGCUGAAGCCGAGGAGAGCUCUGUCCAGAACAUACUUUAUGUGUGUGUAACCUUUCUUCUCUAUGUUCUUCGACGGGUCCAAAUAUAGAACGUGGGAGAAACGCGGGUAAAGAACGAUGAGAACAGCAUGGCACCCCCACUGCGCAAAAUACAAGAUCAAGUUAGCCUCCAUGCAUGCAAAGUAAUUAUUGAAAUGCACGAAAGGAUGUAUGUGUUAUGGUGGCUAUCCGCGGAUGACUUAACCGGGAUGAUAAGGUUGGAGAUUCGUUUCUUUGUCCUUAUUGAUGACCAAGAAUUCUUCGAUGCACUCCCUCGCAUAUUGAUGGUUGGCUUCGUUGAUUGACUAGAAGCCCUCAUGUAUGUAGUAUGGGUCGCGACCACAAGACCAGUGAAUUGCUCUCUCUUGACAAUGUAGUUCAUGUGCAGCGCAUACAGGCAGACAGACGUAAAAUCGAGUGUCUUCAUUUGAAACAUCUGAAAGAUGUAAUUAAAUCGCAGGAAGAAGAGGUCCGCUAGGCAUGUGUGGACGUAGAUCUUGCCACUGCUCGACACAUGAACCGUAUAAAGUGGGUAUCCUGGAUCAUCCGAGGCGAGGAGGCUUUUCUCUGUCAACAGCACAUGGUCAUGGAGUCUCCUGAGAUCCCAUGUUACGGCAGCUAGCGCAUCCGCCGGUACCAUUGGCUUUCCCAUGACAUGGAUUAAUGGCGCAUGUUUCAUUGGUACACUGUCAACCCUGGUCUGCGGAGGCGGCUGGCUGCUAGAAGCAACAUUGGCAGCUUUAUUGCAUUUUCUCAUUGGUCUCUUCCUCUGCUUCUUCUUGGUGGGCUCGGGUGCUGGUGGGUCUGUCAGACCCUUCCUGAGCACCGCCCCUAGUGUUGUCGGGCUCAGCAUUGAAUGGCUCUGGCUAAUUAGUUGAGCUCAGGUGGAACCAACAUCUGGAGGCGUGUCCUGCAAGGAUUGGAUGAACAAAGACUUCUUGCACCCCCGACGAUGUACCGGCUGUGUUACACCAUGCAUCUCAUAUACAUAUGAUUUACUCAUCGUUACUUUGUUGUCAAAGCCAGUAUUGAGAUACUAGAUAGGGUCAUCCUUCUCCAUGUCAUGAUCCGUAUCCUCUUCCAUGGGGCCGAUGUCAUCAUCCGCCAGAACGGUUGGCCCUCCUUCCUCGUGUCUCUCGAUCUCACCCAACAACACAGACGAUGGUUGUAAUUGUGUAGGUGGGGUUGUGGUCAUACCUUCCUGAGGUCCUGUUGGUGUGCUCCUAGCCAGCUUGACACGAAGAAGAUUUUCCGGCCACGGGAUCAACCAAUUUUUGCAUUGGCCAAGCUGCGUGGGGGUCUCUUCAUCCUCUCCACCGAUUUGUAUGGGACGAGUAAAACACUCGUAGCCCACUUUCACACUCGCCGUAGAGACCCUUAAGGCGUUAUCAAGCAUCUGCCAGCGGUGGAACAAUCGAUCCUUUGGCUUCACUAUAGUACCCUUCCCCACAUCCACCAACAUGCCCUUCAGGUGGUAAAGGAGGGUGCACGGAGUGAGUUGGCCUGCGAAGACAUGUACGUGUGCGGCGUCAAAGAUCCGAAAAGAACAGCAACUGAAGAUUAAUUAAUUAGUUGUGUUGAUGAGGGUGCGAUGCAUAUUUACCAUGAGGGCACCGAGCUCAGCCAAUGUUGACGGCCCGACAGUCAAGCCAGAGACAGAGCUAGAGCUGCCGUGAGAGCUGAGUGCGGGAGCACGUGCUGGAGCAGGUACGGUGAUCAUCGAGUUGCUCUAGGUGAAGCUGGGCAUGGGAAAAUCAAUUGGUAUCGCGUUUGGAUUUUGUUGCACCCAGCUGACCACAGUUGGAAUCAAGCUUGUAAAGGCAGCUGCCAUAUCGUUUCUGCAGGCAGCUAUCGCUUCCCGGAUUGCCUCAGCUUUGGUAUCAGCUCUUGUUUUCUCGAUCGCCCGUGCCACCUUCUUGUAGAUAGUCACUUGACUUAACUUCUUUCUUGUCUUUUGGGCCCGGGGUCCUAGUUAUAACAGUACUUCCACGUGGCGCCAUCUCCAACGCCGUGCACACAUCCAUAUUGCGGCCUCUGGCCCGGCGAGUGUCUCAUAAUUAUGUUCAUGGCCCGGUUGAAAGGAGUGUCCCACUUGUACUUUGCCGACGACAGAGUCGAUGAGUCGCUUUCGUCCACAAUCUUGUGUUGCUCUCUCUACAAAAUGGAGCAUGAAUCGUUUACAAAUGUGACUAGAAUGUAGUAGACUUCAUUGAUCAGAAGCUAAUAUAUAAGGUGGUAAAAGGAUAAUUACUAGUUAUCUCAUGAAUUUUCUAGUCGACCCGUCGAUGAAAAAAAAAUCUCUUUUGGGGCUCCCACGAGAAUCAGGCCCGGAUGAAGUCGUGCUCCUUCUGGUCGGUGAACUCAGCCAAGGGGUCUGGGAUCUCCAGACGUUCACAUUCCGCAUCCUCCUUAGCCCACACGGGCCUCUUUCCUGUGUAACCACGACUUCCAAGGCGGUGGUUCCCCAUGUUAUUUGCCUACAGCUGCUUGCCUCUCUCCGACCUGGCCUUGACAGCUUCUUCAUUGCAAGUCUCCUUGAACUUUUCAAAGUCCUCUAGCGUAUUUUUUGGAUUGUCUGCUACAACCUCGGCGUAGGUUUCAUGGUGUGCUUCAAUCGCCUUUUUCACCCUAGUUUUCUAAUCGUUCAAUGCAUUGUUGAACUUCCCUAGGGCUUUGUUGUUGAUUUUUUCAUGGCAUCAUCUUUCCAUGGGUCGACAUCGUCAUUCCGACUGGGGAACAUGAAUCUUGCGUGCAACAUAGUUAGGAGCAGCUACUUCAAAUGUUCAUUCUUCCGUAUUUUUGUGGUGUUGAUGUUAGUGGUAUCCCAUAGGAUGCAUGCUAGCUGGUUGCCGUAACAUGCUUCCACUUCCCGCGACUCUAUUGGCUCGAACUCGUCGGGGUGCACCGUGGUGACCACCAGUCUUCUGGUGCUAAGCUCAUUUUGUCAUCGUGCCCUCUUUGCCUUCUUUCCUUCACUGGCUUGGGAGGUCCCACCUUCUGUGCUGUCAUUAGCAAUCAUUAGGGCCCCUCCCAGUGCCGGUAUUGGUGGCAUUAGUGUCGGCGCCGACUCCACCACUGUCCUCGUCCAUCAUGACAAGGGGGUCCUGACACCCUUGUUUCUCCCGAUCCUCCAGAAAGUCGAGGAAGGCGGGUGUUCUCAUCCUUUGGGUGUGAGAACCUCCAGCCUCAUCAUUGUUGGUCAUGUUUCCUAGGGUUCAAUGUCGUAGUCGUUUAAUUAUCGAGCUUUAAAUAAUAAAGUGAACAAUGACAAAAAAAGUGACCUUUGUUUUGCUUGAAUGCCGUUUCAUUCCCGUCGUGGAAAAUCUUGAGCACUCGAUAUGUCCAACUUUCUAGCACAAGUCAUGCCAAAAUUCAUGAAAAAUUUCGGCAUGACCUAUGCUAGAAAGUGCACAUAUAAAGCACCUGAAAUUUGUCGGAAUGGAAAUGAAUCAACAUUUCCGGCAAAACAUAGGUCACUCGGAAUCGUUUUCCCUGCAAAUGACAAUACGCACUAUGUGCUGAAGUAGCAUUUCACUACGAUCUGCACUACCAAUUUACCAUAGCAAAAGUGGUACUUUUCAUCACAGUGUAGUGCGAAUAGUACCAUAUGCCAACACUAGCAGAAUGCAAUAACUAUGUGAUGCAUUGUUCAAUAGCAGAAUGCAAUAAGUUGAACUUUCUGAUGAAUUCAAGUUAUUCCAAAUAGCACUAGAGCAUUCCAUCGUGAGUAACAAUGCAUUGUUAAAAUACCAGGAUGCAAAAGGCUAAAUUUUCUCGACAACUCUAGUCAUUAGAAUUUUCUCGACAACUCUAGUCAUCAAAAUACCAGGAUUCAUCUGCGGCCAAAUACUUCAUCAUGCAAGAAGCAUAGCAAGAACAACAAUAAUCUAGCCAUAUUAUCUUAGAAUGAACAUUACAUUCCACAAGCAAAAUAUUUCAUCAGACGACAAACAGAGCAAGCACCACGAUAAUUAACCACAUUAGAUUUCGUAAUGUCCUGGACUCUCCAUAUUUCAUAAUUAAUGUCCUAGACUAUCAAAUUAGCUACCUAUCCCGAGGAUCAAGAGGAGGGAGGGGUGGCUCACCGGGGCUUAGGGGGUCAUCAUCGGGGUUGAGGACGUCGGCGUCGUGGUCGGGGUCGCCAGGACUGAGGGGGUAGAGGGCAUCCUUCUGCUCUUCAUCGAUCUGUGCCUAGUCAAUCUGCGGAGACCAAAUUUGGUCAGAGAGAGAGAGACAGAGAGAGAGAGAAAGAGACCUGCCGAUGGAGAAAAGAUGACGUCGGCCGAUGGAGGGGACUGCUUGGGGGUGGGGCGACACGGGGUAGGGGUAGGGCUGGGGGUGGACCUAUGGCCGGAGGUGGCACGGGAGAGGGAGUGUCGGGGCGGCCAGUGGCUGGCGUCGGGGUUGGGGACGUGGGCGGGUGCGGCGUCGACGACAACGUGGGCGGGUGCGGUGUCGACGGUGGUGUGGGAGCUCAGAGAGGGGAUCGACAAAGAGUGAGAGAGAGGAAGAGAUAGUGUGUGGCUCGACAGGGCCGGGGCUGUAGGCAACUUAGCUAUAGCAUGGCUGGACAAAACGCGCUAUAGCUAAGUUAGCUAUAGCGCGGCCGCGUAAAAAACGUGCUACUACUAACAUAUUUUUUAUUUUAAAAUUAUGUGGCCAGUUAGUUGUAGCGCUUGUUCUCCCGAAAAGCGCUACUAAUAAUUUUUUAUUUCUAUUUCUUAUCUUUCAUUUUUUUAUUUCUAUUUCUUAUCUUUCAUGUUCAUUAUUCUUUUUCUGAUCUUUCAUUUGCAUUUUUCCUUUUCUUUUUUAUUUUUCUUUAUCUUCCAUUUGCAGUUUUCUUUUUCUUAUAUUUCAUUUGCAUUUGAAUAAGUUGUAGCAGGGGUAUAGCUAGGGUUUGGUCUGGUUGAGCAAUAACACCGUACCCUCUGGAUAAUAAUUAGUGUAUAAUAUAUAUUACAUCAUUUGACCGCUAACGGUGUUAAGUACGGUAUACAAAAUAAAUACACACAAAAUAUGUCAGUUUCUCAGCUUGGGCAACAACGACGCUUCAGACUGAUCUUCUUCUUCCCUCUUUUGUUCGUUGUCGAAUAAUUGAGCCCAUGGUUGUGACUUUUCCUUUUACAGGAAUUACGAUCUUUCAGAGGUAAUGUAGUAUUCUUUCUUCUUUUGCCACAUGUUUCGUCAUCAUCAGCAUCAUCUUCCCUUAUCGAGUCACCAUACUGGUCGUAGUUUUCCUCGUUGGUGACUCCAUCCAUUCCGAUGAUGCUCCUUUUGCCUCUCCCCACGACACCACGGCUAGGAUUGCUCGGGUCAGUUAUGAAGAAACAUUGUGUCACAUGUAUAGCAUGUACCCAUGGCUAAUUUUUGCCGGCGGCGUUGACGGUACCGCUAUCGGAGUCGGGUAUACACAUGGUAGUGAAAUUCGGUUCUCUCUUUGUACAUUCUUAGCCCAUCUGACGUGGAACAUCGCCGCUCUAUGCAAUCCAGAGUAGUCAAGCUUCCAGAUCUCUUCGACCCUUCCAUAAUAUCUUUCAAUUACGUUCCUGGUCAUGGCUUCCAUCGUCACCCCUGAGUUCUGGUUAUCGCUGUUUAUAUCUUUGGCCUCUGUGUAGAACGUGUAUCCGUUGAUAUCAUAUGCUUGAUAAGUAGCGAGGUUGUUCGACGGUCCAUGUGCUAAGGCCUAUAUGGGCGUUCCAUCUGGACAACCCUCUUCCGGGGGAUUAGCCAGUACUCGCUCUUUGCACCAACACAAGAAAGUGGAGUUGUGCUCUCUAAUAACUUCAGCGUUCGUCCUGUGCACCCCACGAUCAUGACAGUUCUUUGCGAUGGUCUCUUUGUGCAGUGUCAUGAAAUCUUCUAGCACAUCUAGGUGUUGUAGCACUACUAAGUUUGCCCUGUCAAAGUCGUUUUGUCGGCCCGAGUGGACCACAUUCACAUCCCUCUGAACGUUGGUCUGACCUUCACCUUCGAGUCUUCCACAGUGCUUGUUGACGGUCAAACCAACAACAGGUUCUCCGGUGCCUAGAUAACUCUCACAGAAUGAUAUGCACUCUUUGGUCAAAUAUCCCUGGGCUAUGCUUCCAUCCGGACGGGACAUGUUAUGAACGAAUCCUUUGAUGACCCCAUUCAUCCUCUCGAACGGCAUCAUGCUGUGUAGGAAUGUCGGCCUUAGGUCGAUAAUGUCGUCCACAAUGUGGACAUAUAGAUGCACCAUGACAUCAAAGAAUGCAGGCGGGAAGUACACAUCUAGCUCAUUUAAUAUGACAACGAUAUCUUCCUGUAGCCUAUGGAGUUGCUUCACACUGAUCGAGUUUCGAGAGAUAGCAUAAAAAAGUGGCAUAGGUCAGUAAGCGUCUCACGUACGUGUGUGUCCAUAAUCCCUCUAAGUGCAACCGGGAGUAACUGUGUUAUCAUCACGUGACAGUCGUGAGACUUCAUUCCGCUAAACCUUUUUUUCUUAGUGUCCAGAUAUAUGCUUAUCUUCCCACAGUAUCCGAAACUAACUUUGAUUCCGGAAAGGCACUUGAAUAAUUGAUCAACCUCCUUCGGAUCUAAGGUGAAGCAAGAGGGGGGCAAUAUCGUUCUUCCUUCUUGUUUACUUUUUUCCCCUAUCUUCCGUCUCUGUCUCCGUCUCCUCUGAUGAAUUUUUACCGAGCAUUUGGAGAUCUUUCCUGAUAUUCAAAAAUUCCAAGUCUUUUCUUGCCUUCGGCCCAUCCUUGGUCUUCUCCGGCAUGUUCAUCAAUGUUCCAAGUAAGCUCUCGAGGAUAUUCUUCGUGAUAUGCAUUUGAUCAAGGUUAUGAGGCGUGUCGAGUUUGGGCCAGUACUCCAAGUCCCAGAAAACAUAUCUUGUCUUCCAUACCUUCAGGAGCGGCUCCGGCGCCUUUUUCUUCGUCUUUCCUAGCGAGAGGCACUCUUCCCAGUUCUUUAAUAACUCAUAUAUUUCAGCACCGCUACGCUUACGUGGAGGACCUCGAUGAUCAGCCUUACCAUUGAAUAGAUCUCCAUGCUUUCUCCACAUGUCAUCCUUCUCGAGCCAUCUUUGAUGCCCCAUGUACAUGAUUUUUGAAGACCCGCCAUCUUUCGAUAGCUGCUGAGAAGUUGUAUCAUCCUUGCACCUGGUGCAUCCGCAAUAUCCAUGGCACACCUGGCAGGAGAGAAGCUGUAGCAGAGAUAGUCCUGCACCAUCAUGAUCAGGGCGGAUCUCAUGUAUAAAUACUCUCCUUUGCUUGCGUCCCAUGUCUUGACCAGCGUUGUCCAUAAGGUCUGCAGCUCCUCUUUCAGUAACCCGAGAUACAAAUUUCUAUCAUUUGCCGGUUGUCUUGGCCCUUGAAUAAGCAUAAUCAUAUGUAUGUAUUUUUUUCCUUCAUGCACUUCUAGGGGGGCCAUGUGCUAUGAUUGGUGUUCUGGUUGCCAAACGGAUUCAUGCUAUCACUACUAGCGCCAAGCACGAUGUUCCUUGCAUCAUCUAUGAAAAAUUUAAAUUCAGCGUGUAAUGCUCUCCACUAGCUAACAUCUGCGAUGUGUCUCAGUUUUGGAUCAUCUCCUUCAUCUGGCUUCACCCUCUCCGCGUGCCAGCGCAUAAGCUUUGCUUCCUUAGGAUCUACGAAAUACCGCUGUAGACGCGGAGUGAUCCAAAAGUACGAUACAACUUUCUGUGGAGCUUUCUUUCCGGCCUUCUUAUAUUGUGAAGCAUUACACUUUGGACAGAUGGUUUUUUUCAUAUGAUCUUUCUGAUAUAUGAUGCAAUCGUUGAUGCAUCCGCGAUAUCUAAUGUGUGGCAGAUCAAGAGGGCACACAAUUUUCUUUGCCUCCUUGACACUAGUAGGACAUAGGCUUCCCGCGAGAAGAACCUUCUUUAGAUACUUUAGAAGCUCAUCCAGGCUUGCAUCUGUCCAUUUGUUUUUUGCCCUCGUCUUUAGAAGUUUUAGCGUGAAACUCAAGUGGGUCACCUCGGGAUCGCAACCAUCAUACAAAGGAGUCAUCGAGUCUACCUCUAGUUGCGCCAGUUUGGACUCCUCUCUAGAAGCAGUGUUGUUGCUAGUCGUCUUCUUGCGAAGCAGGUCUUGAACAUGCGUGUCCCACAUGGCUGAACUUAGUAGAGAUGAAGGCUGCAGCGUGUCCAUGUCUUCUCCUCCUUGUACUGCCUCUUCGUCAUCGCCAUUUUCAAGGUCAUCUUCUUCUUCGGGCCCAUAAUCGGUCAUCUCUCCGUCUGGCCCAUGUCGUUAUUCCCUGCCCCGUCGACGUCCGCAUCAUCCUCAUCUUCACUUAUCCAACGAGUAUGGCCGUCCAUGGAACCAUGCAUGAGCAGGCGCGCCUUGAAUUUACCACCCUUAAAGAGGACGAGCCUGACUCCUCCUUUGCAUUUUCGACACGAACAUAAAACAUCCUUCAGUCUUUUUUCGUACAUGUCAUCCACCGCGGAUUGCCAGUAUCUUUCCACCAUCCUUCCAUUGACCUUCAUGAUCACCUGUGUGGAGCAUAAGAAUUAUAACCACGUACGCAUGCAUGGAUCAAAUUCAUACAAAAAUUCGGCAUGACCUUCCCUAAACAUAGGACAUAUUGAGUUUGCCCAAAAUUCGCCGAAAUGGAAUUGAAUCGACAUUUCGGCAAAACAUAGGCAACUCAUGUCACACACAUUUCAACAAAUACACAAUAUAGGCAACUCACAUGCCACACACAAUUCGGUAUAUUCAUACCGCGCAUAUAUAGUUUCGGUCCUAUCGCACACACACAUAUUUCCAUUCUUGCACAACUUUUUUUGCUUACCUAUGUGUCGAGAGGGAUAUCGAUCACCUUCUUAGUUAGCUAGUAGCUCUAUAUAGUGAGGUACCUACGUAUAGCUCUAAUGUUGGAAAUAUGCCCUAGAGGCAAUAAUAAAAUGAUUAUUAUUAUAUUUCCUUGUUCAUGAUAAUUGUCUAUUGUUCAUGCUAUAAUUGUAUUAAUUGGAAACCGUAAUACAUGUGUGAAUACAUAGACCACAACAUGUCCCUAGUGAGCCUCUAGUUGACUAGCUCGUUGAUCAAUCGAUGGUUAUGGUUUCCUGACCAUGGACAUUGGAUGUCAUUGAUAACGGGAUCACAUCAUUAGGAGAAUGAUGUGAUGGACAAGACCCAAUCCUAAGCAUAGCACAAGAUCGUGUAGUUCGUUUGCUAAAAGCUUUUCUAAUGUCAAGUAUCAUUUCCUUAGACCAUGAGAUUGUGCAACUCCCAGAUACCAUAGGAAUGCUUUGGGUGUGCCAAACAUUACAACGUAACUGGGUGGCUAUAAAGGUGCACUACGGGUAUCUCCGAAAGUGUCUGUUGGGUUGGCACGAAUCGAGACUGGGAUUUGUCACUCCGUGUGACGGAGAGGUAUCUCUGGGCCCACUCGGUAAUGCAUCAUCAUAAUGAGCUCAAUGUGACUAAGUAGUUAGUCACGAGAUCAUGCAUUACGGAACAAGUAAAGUGACUUGCCGGUAACGAGAUUGAACGAGGUAUUGGGAUACCGACAAUCGAAUCUCGGGCAAGUAACAUACCGAUUGACAAAGGGAAUUGUAUACGGGAUUGCUUGAAUCCUUGACAUCGUGGUUCAUCCGAUGAGAUCAUCGUGGAACAUGUGGGGGCCAACAUGGGUAUCCAGAUCCCGCUGUUGGUUAUUGGCCAGAGAGCUAUCUCGGUCAUGUCUGCAUGAUUCCCGAACCCGUAGGGUCUACACACUUAAGGUUCGGUGACGCUAGAGCUGUUAUGGGAAUUAGUGUGCAGUUACCGAAUGUUGUUCGGAGUCCCGGAUGAGAUCCCGGACGUCACGAGGAGUUUCGAAAUGGUCCGGAGGUAAAGAUUUAUAUAUGGGAAGUCCUAUUUUGGCCACCGAAAAAUGUUCGAGAUUUUUCGAUAUUGUACCGGGAAGGUCCUAGAAGGUUCCGGAGUGGGGCCCACCUGCAUGGGGGACCCACAUGAACGUGGGUAGUGGGGGCAAGGCCCCACACCCCUGGUCAAGGCGCACCAAGAUCCCCCCUUAGAAGGAAUAAGAUCAUAUCCCGAAGGGAUAAGAUCAAGAUCCCUAAAAAAGAGGAUAACAAUCGGUGGGGAAGGAAAUGAUGGGAUUUCUUUCCUCCCACCUUUGCCAACGCCCCAAUGGACUUGGAGGGCAAGAAACCAGCCCCCUCCACCCCUAUAUAUAGUGGGGAGGCGCAUGGGAGCUUGACACUUCCCCUGGCACAACCCUCUCCCUCCCCAACACCUCCUCCUCCUCUGUAGUGCUUGGCGAAGCUCUGCCGGAGAACUGCAAGCUCCACCACCACGCCGUCGUGCUGCCGGAGCUCUCCCUCAACUUCUCCUCUCCCCUUGCUGGAUCAAGAAGGAGUAGAGGUCCCCGGGCUGUACGUGUGUUGAACGCGGAGGCACCGUUGUUCGGUGCUUAGAUCGGAUUUGGCCGCGAUCUAAAUCGCUUAGUGAACAACUCCACUGACUGCAUUCUUGCAACGCUUCUGCAUCACGAUCUUCAAGGGUAUGAAGAUGCACUCCGCUAUCUCUCGUUGGUAGUCUCUCCAUAGAUUGAUCUUGGUGAUGCGUAGAAAAUUUUGAAUUUCUGCUACGUUCCCCAACAGUGGCAUCAUGAGCUAGGUCUAUUGCGUAGAUUCUAUGCACAAGUAGAACACAAGUAGUUGUGGGCGUUGGUUUGUUCAAUUUGCUUACCGUUACUAGUCCUAUCUUGAUUCGAUGGCAUCAUGGGAUGAAGCGGCCCGGACCGACCUUACACGUACGCUUACAUGAGAUAGGUUCCACCGACUGACAUGCACUUGUUGCAUAAAGGUGGCUAGCGGGUGCCAGUCUCUCCCACUUUAGUCAGAUCGGAUUCGAUGAAAAGGGUCCUUAUGAAGGGUAUAUAGCAAUUGGCAUAUCACCGUUGUGGCUUUUGCGUAGGUAAGAAACGUUCUUGCUAGAAACCCAUAGCAGCCACGUAAAACAUGCAACAACAAUUAGAGGACGUCUAACUUGUUUUUGCAGGGUAUGCUAUGUGAUGUGAUAUGGCCAAAAGAAUGUGAUGAAUGAUAUAUGUGAUGUAUGAGAUUGAUCAUGUUCUUGUAAUAGGAAUCAGGACUUGCAUGUCUAUGAGUAUGACAACCAGCAGGAGCCAUAGGAGUUGUCUUAAUUUAUUGUAUGACCCGCGUGUCAUUGAAAACACCAUGUAAUUACUUUACUUUAUUGCUAAACCGUUAGCCAUAGUAGUAGAAGUAAUAGUUGGCGAGACAACUUCAUGAAGACACGAUGAUGGAGAUCAUGAUGAUAGAGUUCAUGGUGUCAUGCCGGUGACGAAGGUGAUCAUGUCGUGCCUCAAGAUGGAGAUCAAAGGCGCAAGAUGAUAUUGGCCAUAUCAUGUCACUUUAUGAUUUGCAUGUGAUGUUUGUCAUGUUUACAUUUUAUUUGCUUAGAACGACGGUAGCAUAAAUAAGAUGAUCCCUCAUUAGAAUUUCAAGAAAGUGUUCCCCCUAACUGUGCACUGUUGCGAAAGUUCGUUGUUUCAAAGCACCACGUGAUGAUCGGGUGUGAUAGAUUCUAACGUUCACAUACAACGGGUGUAAGCCAGAUUUACACACGCAAAACACUUAGGUUGACUUGAUGAGCCUAGCAUGUAUAGACAUGGCCUCGGAACACAAGAGACCGAAAGGUUGAACAUGAGUCGUAUAGUAGAUACGAUCAACAUGGAGAUGUUCACCGAUGAUGACUAGUCCGUCUCACGUGAUGAUUGGACAUGGCCUAGUUGACUCGGAUCAUGUAUCACUUAGAUGACUAAAGGGAUGUCUAUCUGAGUGGGAGUUCAUUAGAUGAACUUAAUUUCAUGAACAUAGUCAAAAGGACUUUGCAAAUUAUGUCGUAGCUUGCGUUUUAGUUCUACUGUUUAAGAUAUACCGAUGAUUUUCCUCAUUGCUGCACAGAAGGCUUGUGUCCUUAAUGCACUGCUCGGUGUGCUGAACCUCGAGCGUCGUUUGUGGAUGUUGCGAACAUCUGACAUACACGUUUUGAUGACUACGUGAUAGUUCAGUGCGUAAUGUUAAACGGUUUAGAAUUGAGGCAGCGAAGACAUUGAAACGCCGUAGAACAUAUGAGAUGUUCCAAUAGCUGAAAUUAGGAUUUCAGAAUCAUGCCCACGUCAAGAGGUAUGAGACCUCCGACAAGUUUCUUCACCUGCAAACUAAGGGAGAAAAGCUCAAUCAUUGAGCAUGUGCUCAGAUUGUCUGAGUACUACAAUCACUUGAAUCAAGUGGGAGUUAAUCUUCCAGAUGAGAUAGUGAUGGUUCUCCAUAGUCACUGCCACCAAGCUAUUAGAGCUUUGUGAUGAACUAUAACAUAUCAGGGAUAGACAUGAUGAUCCUUGAGCAAUUAGCGAUGUUUGACACCGCGAAAGUAGAAAUCGAGUAGGAGCAUCAAUUGUUGAUGGUUAGUAAAACCACUAGUUUCAAGAAGGGCAAGGACAAGAAGGGAUACUUCGUGAGACGACAAAUCAGUUGCUGCUCUAGUGAAAAAACCCAGGGUUGAACCCAAACCCGAGACUAAGUGCUUCUGUAAUGAGGGAACGGUCAUUGAAGCAUAACUACCCUAGAUACUUGGUAGAUGAGAAGGCUGGCAAGGUUAACAGAAGUAUAUCGGAUAUACAUUGUAUUAAAUGUUUACUUUACUAGUACUCCUAGUAGCGCCAGGGUAUUAAGAUACUGGUUCGGUUGCUAAGUGUUAGUAACUCGAAAUAAAAGAGCUACAGAAUAAGCGGAGACUAGCUAAAGGUGAGAUGACAUGUGUGUUGGAAGUGUUUCCAAGGUUGAUGUGAUCAAGCAUCGCCUGCUCCCUCUACCAUCGAGAUUGGUGUUAAACCUAAAUAAUUGUUAUUUGGUGUUUGCGUUGAGCAUAAACAUGAUUGGAUUAUGUUUAUCGCAAUACGGUUAUUCAUUUAAGGAGAAUAAUGGUUACUCCGUUUAUUUGAAUAAUACCUUCAACGGUCUUGCACCUAAAAUGAAUGGUUUAUUGAAUCUCGAUCGUAGUGAUACACAUGUUCGUGCCGAAAGAUAUAAGAUAGUAAUGAUAGUACCACAUACUUGUGGCACUGCCACUUAAUUCAUAUUGGUAUAGAACGCAUGAAGAAGCUCCAUAUUGAUGGAUCUUUGGACUCACUUGUUUUUGAAAAGAUUGAGACAUGCGAACCACGUCUAUUGGUAUAUACGUAUGAAGAAACUCCAUGCAGAUGGAUCGUUUGGACUCACUUGUUUUUGAAUCACUUGAGACAUGCAAAUCAUACCACAUGGGAAAGAUGACUGAAAGGCCUUGUUUUCAGUGAGAUGGAACAAGAGAGGAACUUGUUGGAAGUAAUACAUUUGAUGUGUGCAAUCCAAUGAGUGCUGAGGCACGCAGUGAAUAUCGUUAUGCUCUUACUUCACAAACGAUUUGAGUAGAUUCUUAGUAUAUUUACUUGAUGAAACACAAAUCUGAAUUAUUGAAAGGUUCAAGUAAUUUCAGAGUGAAGUUGAAGAUCGUCAUGACAAGAGGAUAAAAUGUCUAUGAUAUGAUCAUAGAGAUAAAUAUCUGAGUUACGAGUUUGGCACACAAUUAAGACAUUGUGGAAAUUGUUUCACAACUAAUACCACCUGGAACACCAUAGUGUGAUGGUGUGUCCGAACAUCGUAACUGCACCCUAUUGGAUAUGGUGCAUACCAUGAUGUCUCUUAUCGAAUUAACACUAUCGUUUAUGGGUUAGGCAUUAGACACAACCACAUUCACUUUAAUAGGGCACCACACAAUUCCAUUAAGAUGACACCGUAUGAACUAUGGUUUAGAGAAACCUAAGCUGUCAUUUCUUAUAAAGUUUGGGACUGUGACGCUUAUGUGAAAAAUUUUCAGGCUGAUAAGCUCGAACCCAAAGCGGAUAGAUGCAUCUUCAUAGGACACCCAAAAAUAGUUGGGUAUACCUCCUGUCUCAGAUCCGGAAGCAAAAGGGAUUGUUUCUAGAAUCGGAUCCUUUCUCGAGGAAAAGUUUCUCUCGAAAUAAUUGAGUGGGAGGAUGGUGGAGACUUGAUAAGGUUAUUGAACCGUCACUUCAACUAGUGUGUAUCAGGGCACAGGAAGUUGUUCUUGUGGCGCCUACACCAGUUGAAGUGGAAGCUGAUGAUAGUGAUCAUGAAGCUUCGGAUCAAGUCACUACCAAACCUCGUAGGUCGACAAGGACGCGUACUGCUUCAGAGUGGUAUGGUAAUCCUGUCUUGAAGGUCAUGUUGCUAGACAACAAUGAACUUACGAGCUAUGGAGAAGCGAUGGUGGGCUCGGAUUCCGUCGAAUGGCUCGAGGCCAUAAAAUCCAAGAGAGGAUCCAUGUAUGAAACCAAAGUAUAGACUUUGGAAGAACUACUUGAUGGUCGUAAGGCUAUUCGGUACAUAUGGAUUUUAAAAGGAAGACGGACAAUGAUGGUAAGUAUCACCAUUAAGAAAGCUCGACUUGUCAUUAAGAUGUUUUCUGACAAGUUCAAGGAGUUGACUAUGAUGAGACUUUCUCACUCGUAGCAAUGCUAAGAGUCUAUUGAAAUUAUAUUAGCAGUUCCUGCAUUAUUUAUGAAAUCUUGCAGAUAGGAUGUUAAAACAUUGUUUCCUCAACGAUUUUCUUGAGGAAAGGUUGUAUGUGAUACAACCAGAAGGUUUUUUCAAUCCUAAAAGAUGCUAACAAGUAUGCAAAGCUCCAGCAAUCCUUCUAAGGACUGGAGUAAGCAUCUCGGAGUUGGAAUAUAUGCUUUGAUGAGAUGAUCAAAGAUUUUGGGUUUAUACGAAGUUUAUGAGAAACUUGUAUUUCCAAAGAAGUGAGUGGGAGCACUAUAGCAUUUCUGAUGAGUAUAUGUUGUUGACAUAUGUUGAUCGGAAAUGAUGUAGAAUUUCUGGAAAGCAUAUAGGGUUAUUUGAAAAGUGUUUUUCAAUGGAAAACCUGGAUUAAGCUACUUGAACAUUGAGCAUCAAGAUCUAUAAGGAUAUAUCAAAAUCGCUUGAUAGUACUUUCAAAUGAUUACGCACUAUGACAAGAUUUUGAAGGAGUUCAAAAUAGAUCGGCAAAGAAGGAGUUCUUGGCUGUGUUAUAAGGUGUGAGUAUUGAGUAAGACUCAAGACCUGACCACAACAGAAGAGAGAAAAAGGAUGGAGGUCGUCCCCUAUGGUUUAGACGUAGGCUCCACAGUAUGCUAUGCUGUGUACCACACCUAAAGUGUGCCUUGCCAUGAGUCAAUCAAGGGGUACAAGUGUGAUCCAGGAAUGGAUCACAGGACAACCGUCAAGGUUAUCCUUAGUAACUAGUGGACUAAGGAAUUUUCUCGAUUAUGGAGGUGGUAAAAGAGUUCGUCGUAAAGGGUUGCGCCGAUGCAAACUUUGACACUAAUCUGGAUGACUCUGAGUAGUAGACCGGAUUCGUAUAGUAGAGAAAUUAUUUGGAAUAGUUCCAAAUAGCGCAUGGUAGCUGCAUCUAGGAGAUGCCAUAGAGAUUUGUAGAGCACACAUGGAUCUGAAAGAUUCAGACCCGUUGACAAAUAACCUCUCUCACAAGCGAGAUAUGAUCAAACCCAAUGGGUGUUGGAUUCAUUACAAUCACAUAGUGAUGUGAACUAGAUUAUUGACUCUAGUGCAAGUGCAAGACUGUUGGAAAUAUGCCCUAGAGGCAAUAAUAAAAUGGUUAUUAUUAUAUUUCCUUGUUCAUGAUAAUUGUCUAUUGUUCAUGCUAUAAUUGUAUUAAUUGGAAACCGUAAUACAUGUGUGAAUACAUAGACCACAACAUGUCCCUAGUGAGCCUCUAGUUGACUAGCUCGUUGAUCAAUCGAUGGUUAUGGUUUACUGACCAUGGACAUUGGAUGUCAUUGAUAACGGGAUCACAUCAUUAGGAGAAUGAUGUGAUGGACAAGACCCAAUCCUAAGCAUAGCACAAGAUCGUGUAGUUCGUUUGCUAAAAGAUUUUCUAAUGUCAAGUAUCAUUUCCUUAGACCAUGAGAUUGUGCAACUCCCGGAUACCAUAGGAAUGCUUUGGGUGUGCCAAACGUCACAACGUAACUGGGUGGCUAUAAAGGGGCACUACGGGUAUCUCCGAAAGUGUCUGUUGGGUUGGCACAAAUCGAGACUGGGAUUUGUCACUCCGUGUGACGGAGAGGUAUCUCUGGGCCCACUCGGUAAUGCAUCAUCAUAAUGAGCUAAAUGUGACUAAGUAGUUAGUCACGGGAUCAUGCAUUACGGAACGAGUAAAUUGACUUGCCGGUAACGAGAUUGAAUGAGGUAUUAGGAUACCGACGAUCGAAUCUCGGGCAAGUAACGUAUCGAUUGACAAAGGGAAUUGUAUACGGGAUUGCUUGAAUCCUUGACAUCGUGGUUCAUCCGAUGAGAUCAUCGUGGAACAUGUGGGAGCCAACAUGGGUAUCCAGAUCCCGCUGUUGGUUAUUGGCUAGAGAGCUGUCUCGGUCAUGUCUGCAUGAUUCCCGAACCCGUAGGGUCUACACACUUAAGGUUCAGUGACGCUAGAGUUGUUAUGGGAAUUAGUGUGCAGUUACCGAAUGUUGUUUGGAGUCCUGGAUGAGAUCCCCGACGUCAUGAGGAGUUUUGAAAUGGUCCAGAGGUAAAGAUUUAUAUAUGGGAAGUCCUAUUUUGGCCACCGGAAAAUGUUCGGGAUUUUUCGGUAUUGUACUGAGAAGGUUCUAGAAGGUUCCGGAGUGGGGCCCACCUGAAUGGGGGACCCACAUGAACGUGGGUAGUGGGGGCAAGGCCCCACACCCCUGGUCAAGGCGCACCAAGAUCCCCCCUUAGAAGGAAUAAGAUCAUAUCCCGAAGGGAUAAGAUCAAGAUCCCUAAAAAAGGGGGAUAACAAUCGGUGGGGAAGGAAAUGAUGGGAUUUCUUUCCUCCCACCUUUGCCAACGCCCCAAUGGACUUGGUGCUGGGAAUGUUGCAUAAAAUAAAAAUUUUCCUACGUUCACCAAGAUCAAUCUAUGAGUUCAUCUAGCAACGAGAGAGGGGAGUGCAUCUACAUACCCUUGUAGAUUGUGAGCGGAAGCGUUCAAAAGAACGAGGUUGAGGGAGUCGUACUCGUCGUGAUCCAAAUCACCGGAGAUCCUAGCGCCGAACGGAUGGCACCCCCGCGUUCAACACACAUACGGUCAGUGUGACGUCUCCUCCUUCUUGAUCCAGUAAGGGGGAAGGAGAGGUUGAUGAAGAUCCAACAGCAUGACGGCGUGGUGGUGGAUGCAGUAGGUAUCCCGGCAGGUCUUCGCCAAGCGUCUGCGGGAGGGAGAGGUGUAGCAAGGGGGAAGGGAGCCGCCAAGUGCAAGGGUGCGGCUGCCCUCCCCCCUCUAUAUAUAGGGUCCCCAGGGGGGGCACCGGCCCUAGGAGAUGGGAUCUCCUAGGGGGGGGCGGCGGCCAAGGGGGUGCCUUGCCCCCCAAGGCAAGUGGAGGCGCCCCCUCCCCUAGGGUUCCCAACCCUAGGCGUAGGGGGCCCAAGGGGGGGGCACCAGCCCACCAGGGGCUGGUUCCCCUCCCACUUCAGUCCAUGGGGCCCUCCGGGAUAGGUGGCCCCACCCGGUGGACCCCCGACACCCUUCCGGUGGUCCCGGUACAAUACGAGUGACCCCUGAAACUUUCUCGAUGGCCGAAACUGCACUUUUUAUAUAUAAUUCUUCACCUCCGGACCAUUCCGGAACUCCUCGUGACGUUCGGGAUCUCAUCCGGGACUCCGAACAACUUUCGGUUUGCUGCAUGCUAAUAUCUUUACAACCCUAGCGUCACCGAACCUUAAGUGUGUAGACCCUACGGGUUCGGGAGACACGUAGACAUGACCGAGACGGCUCUCCGGCCAAUAACCAACAGCGGGAUCUGGAUACCCAUGUUGGCUCCCACAUGCUCCUCGAUGAUCUCAUCGGAUGAACCACGAUGUCGAGGAUUCAAGCAACCCCGUAUACAAUUCCCUUUGUCAAUCGGUAUGUUACUUGCCCGCGAUUCGAUCGUCGGUAUCCCAAUACCUAGUUCAAUCUCGUUACCGGCAAGUCACUUUACUUGUACCGUAAUGCAUGAUCCCAUGACCAGACACUUGGUCACUUUGAGCUCAUUAUGAUGAUGCAUUACCGAGUGGGCCCAGAGAUACCUCUCCGUCAUACGGAGUGACAAAUCCCAGUCUCGAUCCGUGUCAACCCAACAGACACUUUCGGAGAUACCCGCAGUAUACCUUUAUAGUCACCCAGUUACGUUGUGACGUUUGGUACACCCAAAGCACUCCUACGGUAUCCGGGAGUUACACGAUCUCAUGGUCUAAGGAAAAUAUACUCGACAUUGGAAAAGCUCUAGCAAAUGAACUACACAAUCUUGUGCUAUGCUUAGGAUUGGGUCUUGUCCAUCACAUCAUUCUCCUAAUGAUGUGAUCUCAUUAUCAAUGACAUCUAAUGUCCAUAGUUAGGAAACCAUGACUAUCUGUUGAUUAACGAGCUAGUCAACUAGAGGCUCACUAGGGACAUGUUGUGGUCUAUGUAUUCACACGUGUAUUACGAUUUCCGGAUAAUACAAUUAUAGCAUGAAUAAAAGACAAUUAUCAUGAACAAGGAAAUAUAAUAAUAAUCCUUUUAUUAUUGCCUCUAGGGCAUAUUUCCAACAGUCUCCCACUUGCACUAGAGUCAAUAAUCUAGUUACAUUGUGAUGAAUCGAACACCCAUAGAGUUCUGGUGUUGAUCAUGUUUUGCUCGCGGAAGAGGUUUAGUCAAUGGAUCUGCGACAUUCAGAUCCGUAUGUACUUUGCAAAUAUCUAUGUCUCCAUCUUGAACAUUUUCACGGAUGGAGUUAAAACGACGCUUGAUGUGCCUAGUCUUCUUGUGAAACCUGGGCUCCUUGGUAAGGGCAAUAGCUCCAGUGUUGUCACAGAAGAGAGUGAUCGGCCCCGACGCAUUGGGUAUGACUCCUAGGUCGGUGAUGAACUCCUUCAUCCAUAUUGCUUCAUGCGCUACCUCCGAGGCUGCCAUGUACUCCGCUUCACAUGUAGAUCCCGCCACAACGCUCUGCUUGCAACUGCACCAGCCUACUGCUCCACGAUUCAACAUAUACACGUAUCCGGUUUGUGACUUAGAGUCAUCCAGAUUUGUGUCGAAGCUAGCAUCGACAUAACCCUUUACGACGAGCUCUUCGUCACCUCCAUAAACGAGAAACAUGUCCUUUGUCCUUUUCAGGUGCUUCAGGAUAUUCUUGACCGCUGUCCAGUGUUCCUUGCCGAGAUUACUUUGGUACCUUUCUACCAAACUUACGGCAAGGUUUACAUCAGGUCUGGUACAUAGCAUGACAUACAUAAUACAUCCUAUGGCUGAGGCAUAGGGGAUGACACUCAUCUCUUCUUUAUCUUCUGCCGUGGUCGGGCAUUGAGCCGAGCUCAAUCUCACACCUUGCAAUACAGGCAAGAACCCUUUCUUGGACUGAUCCAUAUUGAACUUCUUCAAUAUCUUACCAAGGUAUGUGCUUUGUGAAAGACCUAUGAGGCGUCUCGAUCUAUCCCUAUAGAUCUUGAUGCCUAAUAUGUAAGCAGCUUCUCCAAGGUCCUUCAUUGAAAAACACUUAUUCAAGUAGGCCUUAAUGCUGUCCAAUAGUUCUAUAUCAUUUCCCAUCAAAAGUAUGUCAUCUACAUAUAAUAUGAGAAAUGCUACAGAGCUCCCACUCACUUUCUUGUAAACGCAGGCUUCUCCAUAAGUCUGCAUAAACCCAAACGCUUUGAUCAUCUCAUCAAAGCGAAUGUUCCAACUUCGAGAUGCUUGCACCAGCCCAUAAAUGGAUCGCUGGAGCUUGCACACCUUGUUAGCAUUCUUAGGACGACAAAACCUUCCGGCUGCAUCAUAUACAGUUCUUACUUAAGAUGUCCGUUAAGGAAUGCCAUUUUGACAUCCAUCUGCCAUAUCUCAUAAUCAUAGUAUGCGGCAAUUGCUAACAUGAUUCAGACGGACUUCAGCUUCGCUACGGGAGAGAAUGUCUCAUCGUAGUCAACCCCUUGAACUUGUCGAUAACCCUUAGCAACAAGUUGAGCUUUAUAGAUGGUAACAUUACCAUCCGCGUCCGUCUUCUUCUUAAAGAUCCAUUUAUUUUCUAUCGCUCGCCGAUCAUCGGGCAAGUCUAUCAAAGUCCAUACUUCGUUUUCAUACAUGGAUCCUAUCUCGGAUUGCAUGGCUUCAAGCCAUUUGUUGGAAUCUGGGCCCGCCAUCGCUUCUUCAUAAUUCGAAGGUUCACCGUUGUCUAACAACAUGAUUUCCAGGACAGGGUUGCCAUACCACUCUGGUGUGGAACGUGUCCUUGUGGACCUACGAAGUUCAGUAGCAACUUGAUCCGAAGUACCAUGAUCAUCAUCAUUAAUUUCCUCUCCAGUCAGUGUAGGCACCACAUGAACAUUUUCCUGAGCUGCACUACUUUCCGGUUCAAGAGGCAGUACUUCAUCGAGUUCUACUUUCCUCCCACUUACUCCUUUCGAGAGAAACUCUUUUUCUAGAAAGGAUCCAUUCUUGGCAACAAAGAUCUUGCCUUCGGAUCUAAGGUAGAAGGUAUACCUAGUGGUUUCCUUAGGGUAUCCUAUGAAGAUGCUUUUUUCCGACUUGGAUUCGAGCUUUUCAGGUUGAAGUUUCUUGACAUAAGCAUCGCAUCCCCAAACUUUUAGAAACGACAACUUAGGUUUCUUCCCAAACCAUAAUUCAUACGGUGUCGUCUCAACGGAUUUAGACGGAGCCCUAUUUAAAGUGAAUGUAGCUAUCUCUAGAGCGUAUCCCCAAAAUGAUAGCGGUAAAUCGGUAAGAGACAUCAUAGAUUGCACCAUAUCCAAUAGAGUGCGAUUAUGACGUUCGGACACACCGUUACGCUGAGGUGUUCCAGGCGACAUGAGUUGUGAAACGAUUCCACAUUUUCUUAAGUGCGUACAAAAUUCGUGACUUAAAUAUUCUCCUCCACGAUCUGAUCGUAAGAACUUUAUCUUUCGGUCACGUUGAUUCUCUACCUCAUUCUGAAAUUCCUUGAACCUUUCAAAGGUCGUCUCAGAUUUGUGUUUCAUCAAGUAGACAUACCCAUAUCUACUCAAGUCAUCAGUGAGGGUGAGAACAUAACGAUAUCCUCCCCGAGCCUCAACGCUCAUUGGACCGCACACAUCGGCAUGUAUGAUUUCCAAUGAGUUCGUUGCUCGCUCCAUUGUUCCAGAGAACGGAGUCUUGGUCAUGUUGCCCAUGAGGCAUGGUUCGCAUGUUUCAAAUGAUUCAUAAUCGAGAGACUCUAAAAGUCCAUCAGCAUGGAGCUUCUUCAUGCGCUUGACACCAAUGUGACCAAGGCGGCAGUGCCACAAGUAUGUGGGACUAUCUUUAUCAACUUUACAUCUUUUGGUAUUCACACUAUGAAUAUGUGUAACAUUACGUUCGAGAUUAAUUAAGAAUAAACCAUUGACCAUCGGGGCAUGACCAUAACACAUAUCUCCUAUAUAAAUAGAACAACCAUUAUUCUCGGAUUUAAAUGAGUAGCCAUCUCGUGAUAAACGAGAUCCAGAUACAAUGUUCAUGCUCAAACUUGGCACUAAAUAACAAUUAUUAAGGUUUAAAACUAAUACCGUAGGUAAAUGUAGAGGUAGCGUGCCGACGGCGAUCACAUCGACCUUGGAACCAUUCCUGACGCACAUCGUCACCUCGUCCUUCGCCAGUCUCCGCUUAUUCCACAGCUCCUGCUUUGAGUUACAAAUAUGAGCAACGGCACCGGUAUCAAAUACCCAGGAGCUACUAUGAGCACUAGUAAGGUACACAUCAAUUACAUGUAUAUCACAUAUACCUUUAGUGUUGCUGGCCUUCUUGUCCAUUAAGUAUUUGGGGCAGUUCCGCUUCCAGUGACCCUUCCCUUUGCAAUAAAAGCACUCAGUUUCUGGCUUGGGUCCAUUCUUUGACUUCUUCCCGGCAACUGGCUUACCGGGCGCGGCAACAUCCUUGUCGUCCUUCUUGAAGUUCUUUUUACCCUUGCCUUUCUUGAACUUGGUGGUUUUAUUGACCAUCAACACUUGAUGUUCCUUUCUGAUUUCUACCUCUACUGACUUCAACAUUGAAAAUACUUCAGGAAUAGUUUUCACCAUCCCCUGCAUAUUGUAGUUCAUCACAAAGCUCUUGUAGCUCGGUGGGAGCGACUGAAGGAUUCUGUCAAUGACCGCCUCGUCCGGGAGGUUAAUGUCCAGCAGGGACAGGCGGUUCUGCAACCCAGACAUUUUGAGUAUGUGCUCACUGACAGAACUAUUUUCGUCCAUCUUACAACUAUAGAACUUGUCGAAGACUUCAUAUCUCUCGACCCGGGCGUGAGCUUGGAAAACCAUUUUCAGCUCCUCGAACAUCUCAUAUGCUCCGUGUUGCUCAAAAUGCUUUUGGAGCCCCGGUUCUAAGCUAUAAAGCAUGCCACACUGAACGAGGGAGUAAUCAUCAGCACGUGUCUGCCAAACGUUCAAAUCAUCUUGUAGUGCUGGGAGAGCAGGUGGGUCACCUAAUGGUGCUUCAAGGACAUAUGCUUUCUUGGCAGCUAUGAGGAUGAUCCUCAGGUUCCGGACCCAGUCCGUAUAGUUGCUGCCAUCAUCUUUCAGCUUGGUUUUCUCUAGGAACGCGUUGAAGUUCAUGUUGACAUGAGCAUUGGCCAUUUGAUAUACAAGACAUUUUUGCAAAGAUUUUAGACUAAGUUCAUGAUAAUUAAGUUUAUCUAAUCAAAUUAUUUAAUGAACUCCCACUCAGAUGAGACAUCCCUCUAGUCAUCUAAGUGUUACAUGAUCCGAGUCGACUAGGCCGUGUCCGAUCAUCCCGUGAGACGGACUAGUCAUCAUCGGUGAACAUCUCCAUGUUGAUCAUAUCUUUCAUACGACUCAUGUUCGACCUUUCGGUCUCUUGUGUUCCGAGGCCAUGUCUGUACAUGCUAGGCUCGUCAAGUUAACCUAAGUGUUUUGCAUGUGUAAAUCUGUCUUACACCCGUUGUAUGUGAACGUUAGAAUCUAUCACACCCGAUCAUCACGUGGUGCUUCGAAACAACAAACUGUCGCAACAGCGUACAGUUAGGGGGAACACUUUCUUGAAAUUAUUAUGAGGGAUCAUCUUAUUUACUACCGUCGUUCUAAGUAAACAAGAUGCAAAAACAUGAUAAACAUCACAUGCAAUCAAAUAGUAGUGACAUGAUAUGGCCAAUAUCAUAUAGCUCCUUUGAUCUCCAUCUUCGGGGCUCCAUGAUCAUCUUCGUCACCGGCAUGACACCAUGAUCUCCAUCAUCGUGUCUCCAUGAAGUUGCUCGCCAACUAUUACUUCUACUACUAUAGCUAACGGUUUAGCAAUAAAGUAAAGUAAUUACAUGGCGAUGAAUCAUUGAUAUGCAGGUCAUACAAUAAUUAAGACAACUCCUAUGGCUCCUGCCGGUUGUCAUACUCAUCGACAUGCAAGUCGUGAUUCCUAUUACAAGAACAUGAUCUCAUACAUCACAAUAUAUCAUUCAUCAUUCAUCACAACUUUUGGCCAUAUCACAUCCCAAAACAAUUGCUGCAAAAACAAGUUAGACGUCCUCUAAUUGUUGUUGCAUCUUUUACGUGGCUGCAAUAGGGUUCUAGCAAGAACAUUUUCUUACCUACGAAAAAGCCACAACGUGAUUUGUCAACUUCUAUUUACCCUUCAUAAGGACCCUUUUCAUCGAAUCCGCUCCAACUAAAGUGGGAGAGACAGACACCCGCUAGCCACCUUAUGCAACUAGUGCAUAUCAGUCGGUGGAACCUGUCUCACGUAAGCGUACGUGUAAGGUCGGUCCGGGCCUCUUCAUCCCACAAUACCGCUGAAGCAAAAUAAGACUAGUAGUGGCAAGAAAGAUGACAACAUCUACGCCCACACCAAAUUUGUGUUCUACUCGUGCAAAAAGAACUACGCAUAGACCUAGCUCAUGAUGCCACUGUUGGGGAACGUUGCAUAAAAUAAAAAUUUUCCUACGUUCACCAAGAUCAAUCUAUGAGUUUAUCUAGCAACGGGAGAGGGGAGUGCAUCUACAUACCCUUGUAGAUCGCGAGCGGAAGCGUUCAAGAGAACGAGGUUGAGGGAGUCGUACUCGUCGUGAUCCAAAUCACCGGAGAUCCUAGCGCCGAACGGACGGCACCUCCGCGUUCAACACAUGUACGGUCAGCUUGACGUCUCCUCCUUCUUGAUAUAGCAAGGGGGAAGGAGAGGUUGAUGAAGAUCCAGUAGCACGACGGCGUGGUGGUGGAUGCAGUAUCCCGGCAGGGCUUCGCCAAGCGUCUGCGGGAGGGAGAGGUGUAUCAAGGGGGAAGGGAGGCGCCAAGUGCAAGGGUGCGGCUGCCCUCCCUCCCCCCUCUAUAUAUAGGGUCCCUAGGGGGGCCACUGGCCCUAGGAGAUGGGAUCUCCUAGGGGGGCGGCGGCCAAGGGGGUGCCUUGCCCCCAAGGCAAGUGGAGGCGCCCCCUCCCCUAGGUUUCCCAACCCAAGGCGCAGGGGGGGCCCAAGGGGGGGGGGGCGCACCAGCCCACCAGGGGCUGGUUCCCCUCCCACUUCAGCCCAUGGGGCCCUCCGGGAUAGGUGGCCCCACCCGGUGGACCCCUGGGACCCUUCCGGUGGUCCCGGUGACCCCCGAAACUUUCCCGAUGGCCGAAACUGCACUUUCUAUAUAUAAUUCUUCACCUCCGGACCAUUCCGGAACUCCUCGUGAUGUCUGAGAUCUCUUCCGGGACUCCGAACAACUUUUGGUUUGCUGCAUACUAAUAUCUUUACAACCCUAGCGUCACCGAACCUUAAGUGUGUAGACCCUACGGGUUCGGGAGACACGUAGACAUGACCGAGAUGGCUCUCCGGGCAAUAACCAACAACGGGAUCUGGAUACCCAUGUUGGCUCCCACAUGCUCCUCGAUGAUCUCAUCGGAUGAACCACGAUGUCGAGGAUUCAAGCAACCCCGUAUACAAUUCCCUUUGUCAAUCGGUAUGUUACUUGCCCGAGAUUCGAUCGUCGGUAUCCCGAUUCAAGCAACCCCGUAUACAAUUCCCUUUGUCAAUCGGUAUGUUACUUGCCCGAGAUUCGAUCGUCGGUAUCCCAAUACCUCGUUCAAUCUCGUUACCGGCAAGUCACUUUACUCGUACCAUAAUGCAUGAUCCUAUGACCAGACACUUGGUCACUUUGAGCUCAUUAUAAUGAUGCAUUACCGAGUGGGCCCAGAGAUACCUCUCCAUCAUACGGAGUGACAAAUCCCAGUCUCGAUCCGUGUCAACCCAACAGACACUUUCGGAGAUACCCGCAGUAUACCUUUAUAGUCACCCAGUUACGUUGUGAUGUUUGGUACACCCAAAGCACUCCUAUGGUAUCCGGGAGUUACACGAUCUCAUGGUCUAAGGAAAAGAUACUCGACAUUGGAAAAGCUCUAGCAAAUGAACUACACGAUCUUGUGCUAUGCUAAGGAUUGGGUCUUGUCCAUCACAUCAUUCUCCUAAUGAUGUGAUCUUGUUAUCAAUGACAUCUAAUGUCCAUAGUCAGGAAACCAUGACUAUCUGUUGAUUAACGAGCUAGUCAACUAGAGGCUCACUAGGGACAUGUUGUGGUCUAUGUAUUCACACGUGUAUUACGAUUUCCGGAUAAUACAAUUAUAGCAUAAUAAAAGACAAUUAUUAUGAACAAGGAAAUAUAAUGAUAAUCCUUUUAUUAUUGCCUCUAGGGCAUAUUUCCAACACUUGGAGGGCAAGAAACCAGCCCCCUCCACCCCUAUAUAUAGUGGGGAGGCGCAUGGCAGCUUGACACUUCCCCUGGCACAGCCCUCUCCCUCCCCAACACCUCCUCCGUAGUAGUAGUGCUUGGCGAAGCUCUGCUGGAGAACUGCAAGCUCCACCACCACGCCGUCGUGCCGCCAGAGCUCUCCCUCAACUUCUCCUCUCCCCUUGCUGGAUCAAGAAGGAGGAGAUGUCCCCGGGCUGUAUGUGUGUUGAACGCGAAGGCACCGUUGUUCGGUGCUUAGAUCGGAUUUGGCCGCGAUCUGGAUCGGUUAGUGAACAACUCCACCGACCGCGUUCUUGCAAUGCUUCCGCAUCGCGAUCUUCAAGGGUAUGAAGAUGCACUCCCCUCUCUCUUGUUGCUAGUCACUCCAUAGAUUGAUCUUGGUGAUGUGUAGAAAAUUUUGAAUUNNNNNNNNNNNNNNNNNNNNNNNNNNNNNNNNNNNNNNNNNNNNNNNNNNNNNNNNNNNNNNNNNNNNNNNNNNNNNNNNNNNNNNNNNNNNNNNNNNNNNNNNNNNNNNNNNNNNNNNNNNNNNNNNNNNNNNNNNNNNNNNNNNNNNNNNNNNNNNNNNNNNNNNNNNNNNNNNNNNNNNNNNNNNNNNNNNNNNNNNNNNNNNNNNNNNNNNNNNNNNNNNNNNNNNNNNNNNNNNNNNNNNNNNNNNNNNNNNNNNNNNNNNNNNNNNNNNNNNNNNNNNNNNNNNNNNNNNNNNNNNNNNNNNNNNNNNNNNNNNNNNNCCAUUAAUUAAUGGGGGUGGGUGGAGGGGGCAAAGAAAGAAAGAGGGAGGAGGGAGGGCAUUAAUGGAGGGGGUGGUGGAGGGGCAAAGAAGAGAGGGGAGGAGGGGGGUCAUUGAAAGGAAAAACCAACAAGCAAGUGCAAGAGGGGGAGAAAGGUAGGGGAAGGAAGAAGAGGGGGGAAGGUGGUAGGUAUUUUGGCUGGCGACCAUAGCAGUAGCACUCGUCACCAACAUGUGCUACUCGUAUGUUAACCAGCCAAAAUAUCUACAAGUAAAGUUCUACUAGCGAUAGCGCCUGGUAGAAAAACAUGCUACUGCUAAAAGGGCCCACAAGUUUGCACACAGAAGAAAUAGCAGUAGUGUGUUGUCAAGACUAGGCGCUACAGAUCUGGCUUUAACAGUAGCACUGGGUAGAUGACUGAUACGUCUCCAAUGUAUCUAUAAUUUUUAUUGUUCCAUGCUAUUAUAUUAUCAUUCUUGGAUGUUUUACAAUCAUUUUACAGAAACUUUAUAUCAUUUUUGGGACUAACCUGUUGACAUAGUGCUAAGUGCCAGUUGCUAUUUUCUGCUUGUUUUUUGCAUCGCAAGAAAUCACUAUCAAAUGGAGUCCAAAUGCAUCGAAACUUUUUGUGGGUUUUUUCGGACCAGAAGACACCCAAUGGGACAAAGAAGUACCGAAGAGGGGGCCCGAGGUGAGCACAAGACACCAGGGCGCGCCUGGAGGCCUAGGCGCGCCCUAAUGGGUUGUGCCCACCUCGGUGGCCUCCUACACCGCCUCUUUUCUCUAUAAAUACCCCAAUAUUCCAGAAACCCUAUGGGAGUCACCGAAAAUCAAUUCUAGCCGCCGCAAGUUCCAGAACCACCAGAUCCAAUCUAAACACCAUCACAGAGGGGUUCAUCAACCUCAUUGGUGCCUCUCCGAUGAUGCGUGAGUAGUUCAUUGUAGACCUACGGGUCCGUAGGUAGUAGCUAGAUGGCUUCAUCUCUCUCCCUCUCUCUCUCUCCCUCUCUCUCUCUCUUGAUUCUCAAUAUAAUGGUCUCUUGGAGAUCUAUUUGAUGUAACUCUUUUUGCGGUGUUUUUGUUGGGAUCCGAUGAACUUUGAGUUUAUGAUCAGAUCUAUGUUUUUAUCCAUGAAAGUUAUUUGAGUCUUUUGAUCACUUAUAUGCAUGAUUACUUAUAGCCUCGUAUUUCUUCUUCGAAUCUUUGGUUUAGUUAGGCCGACUAGAUCAUUUUUUUCUUGCCAUGGGAAGAGGUGCUUUGUGAUGGGUUCGAUCUUACGAUGCUUGAUCCCUGUGACAGAAGGGGAACCGAAACGUAUGUAUCAUUGCCAUUAAGUAUAACAAGAUGGGGUCUAUUUCUACCUAAAUAGAUCUUGUCUACAUCAUGUCAUCGUUCUUAUUGCAUUACUCCAUUCCUCCAUGAACUUAAUACACCAGAUGCAUGCUGGAUAGCGGUCGAUGUGUGGAGUAAUAGUAGUAGAUGCAGGCACGAGUCGGUCUACUAAUCUUGGACGUGAUGCCUAUAUAAUGAUCAUUGCCUGGAUAUCGUCAUGAUUAGUUGAAGUUCUAUCAAUUGCCCAACAGUAAUUUGUUUACCCACCGUAUGCUAUUUUUCUCGAGAGAAGCCACUAGUGAAAUCUACAGCCCCUGGGUCUCUUCUUAAUUAUAUUUGCCUUCGACGUCUAUUUUUAUUUCCUUUUAUUUUCAGAUCUAUUAAUCCAAAAAUACAAAAAUUACCUUGCUGCAAUUUUUAGUUAUUUAUUUUAUCUCGCGUUCCCGCGAGAUCUGUUUAUCUAAUAUACUAUAAUUUUACCUAUCUUUUUACCCGUGAGGGAUUGACAACCCCUCUCUUACGUCGGGUUGCAAGUAUUUGUUCUUUCUGUGCAGGAGUUGUUUACGUGGUGUUACGUGGUUCUCCUACUGGUUCAAUAACCUUGGUCUCAUCACCGAGGUAAAUACCUACCAUUGCUGUGCUGCAUCAUCCCUUCCUCUUUGGGGAAAUAGCAACGUAGUUCGAGCCAACAUCAAAAGGAAUUUUUGGCGCCGUUGCCGGGGAGACAUCAUCUACAUCUACCAGGUUCCUAAUCACAAAUCUCAUCUCCUUGAAAUUUACAUUAUUUGCCUUUCGUUUUUCUCUCCCCCACUUCACAAAAAUUUGCUGCUUUAUUCGCCCUCUUUUUCGUUUGCCGUUUUUCUCGUCAGAUCUAUUUUUGAGUGCAAUCUUGUUGACCACUUUUUUACGUUAUGGAUAGUUCUUACUCUAUUGUGUGCACUCCCAAGAACGAGGUUCUCAACUUUAAACAAAGGGGAGGGGAGAAUUUAAAGGAUACUUGACAUAUGAUUUGCAAUGCUCACAAUAGAUCUAUUCAUAAGCAAUCUACCGUUGUUCUUCGCUGUUUUUAUGUGGGUAUCACCACUUGGUAUAGAUUCGUCCUUGAUACGAUUACCGGUUGAAAUUUCUUGAUGUGUCCCUCUCUUAAUGCUUUCAAUGCUAUGGGAAAUUUAGUGGGUUCACCACCGCUUUUGAUUAAUGAAACAACUUUGACUCUCAAGCAUGUUAUGGAAAGAUUAGAUGCUAUUGAAAAGAAAAUGCUUACCGAAGAACAUUUUGAAAACUUGGGUAAGAAGAUGCAUAAUUUUGCUACUAAAUUUGGGUCUAAAGCGGGAGAAGUUUUUAAGUUUUUAAAAGAAAAGGGGACCGUAAUUCAUGAAAUAAUUGAAGAAAGCCCGUCUCGGAUUGAUAAACUGGAAGAAAUCUUUAGUAAUCUAAGCACGGGUUUUGCUUCCACCAAAACUAUCGAAAAAACUCCGUUAACAAUUAGCAAGAUUACUCAAGCCACUAAAAACAAGGGUGGAACUUCCAAUAAUAACAGAGAAGAUCUUAAGAUGAUUAGUAUUCACCUGGAUUUUGUUGAAGUUAUAAGAGACCCUUCGUGCGAGAAUGAGUUCCUUAAACUUGUUCCUAGGAGUAUUGUCAUUGAAAAUUUGUAUGCUAAAUCCUUGAAGAAUUCCAAGUGUUUGAUUGAAGAGUUGGAAACUGAAGAUGGCAACACUUAGAACUUUGCAUUAUGCCUAGCUAGGGGCGUAAAACGAUAGCGCUCGUUGGGAGGCAACCCAACUUGUAUCUUUUUGCCUUUUGUUUUUCUAGUUGUUUUCAAUAAAAUACCCAAUUAUACCUCUGUUUAGAUUUUUUUGUGGUUUAAAUUAGUGUUUGUUCCAAGCAAAGCCUUUGGGAUAAUUUGGGAGAUAGUUGAUUUGAUCUUGUUGAAAAACAGAAACUUUUGCGCUCAGAAAAAUAAUUUUCAUAAAUCACGGAAACAUGCUUUUGCUAUGUUUUUUCACAAUAUUUAUAUACAAAUUUCCCACAUUGUCCUAAUGUUUCAGAAUUCUUGGAGUUAAAAAAAGUAUACGAAGUUCUUACCUAAUUACUACAGACUGUUCUGUUUUCGACAGAUUAUGUUUUCGUUGUGUUAUGUGCUUGUUUUGAUGAUUCUAUGGUUUCCUUUGAAGAGUUUUUUCCAUGGAGAAGUUAAAAUAUAGUAUAUAUAGUACAAUAACAAAAAUAUGAAUGGGUUUGCAACAAUACUUAAAGUAGUGAUUUGCUUUCUUAUAGUAACGGAUCCCACAAAGGUUUUUUUGAGUUUUGUGUGAUUGAAGUUCUCAAGUUUUGGGUGAGAUUGCAAUGGAUGAAGGAAUAAGGAUUAGCAAAAGGCUAAGCUUGGGGAUCCCCAAGGCACCCCAAGAUAAUAUUCAAGAAGUAUCAAGCAACUAAGCUUGGGGAUGCCCCCGAGUGGCAUCCCUCUUUCUUCUAACAACCAUCGAUAUUUAUUUGGAGCUAUAUUUUUAUUUGUCACAUAUUAUGAGUUUUGCUUGGGGCGUCUUGUAUGAUAUGAGUCUUUGCUUGUUUUGAUUUGUGUUUUAAGUCAUCUAUCCUUGCUGGACACACCUAGUUGAGGGAGCCAAAAUUAUGCUAUGACUUGUUAGAAUUGCUCUCUAUGUUUCACUUAAAUCUUUAUGAGCUAUGGAAUUGCUCUAGUGCUUCACUUAUAUCUUUUUGAGCAUGGUGCGAUUUACUAUUUUUGAAGAAAUUUUCUCUUGCUUCGCUUAAAUUAUUUUGAGAGAAGAAAUUUUUUAUGCUCAUGUUCUUCACUUAAUUUUGUUUGAGCUAUCAAAAGAAACAUAUGAAAUUAGUCCCAAAGUGAUAGAUAUUCAAGAGGGAUAUAGUAAAAACUUUCAUGAAGAUCAUUGGACAAAAUAAACUUGAUUCUUUGUAAUAGUUUUGAGAUAUGAUGAUAGUGAUAUGUGAGUCAUGUUGAUGAGUAAUUAUGCUUUAGUAAGAAUAUUGGUGUUAAGGUUUGUGAUUCCCUAUGCAAGCACGAAAGUCAAUAGUUAUGCAAUGAAAUUACAUCCUACCUGUGGUGCAUUAUUCGGUGUUAGUUAUGCUUAAUGCUCGCUUAUGAGAAUUUUUGUUUCUUGGUUGGAUGCUUCCCAAUGUUUUGCUAGCCUUCAUGUGCUCGAAGUAUGAUCACUACUUGUGCAUCCAAAAUCAUUUAAACCAGCUUUUGCCACAUGAGUCUACUAUACCUACCUAUAUGCAGUAUUCUUUUGCCGUUCUAAGCAAAUUUGUAUGUGCCACCUCUAAAUUUCAAAAUAAAUUUCUCUUUUGUGUGCUCAUACCACUCAUGAAACGGUGGGGGGUGGCUGAUAUAUUUCCAUGCUAGAUAUGUUAUUCUCAAGAUGAGUGUUUAUUCACUUGUCAUUGCACGAGAGUACGACAAAGGUAUUAGGGAUGCCCAGUCCCGAAAUGAAAAAUGAAUUUACUUUAUGUUGUCAAAUAAUAAAUUCCUUCGAAAUUGUUGGUAUGGAAGGCACCCGUGGAUACGGUUAGUCAUGCAAAGUGAAAGUAUGGUGGAAAAAGGAAUAAACUUUAUUUUCUAUUUGGGAAACGCCUAUGACAUAUCUAGCAUGUAAAGUAUUGGGAACUACUCGAUCAUUUUCGUUGAUAGAAAAAGCAUACCACCAAAAUGUUUUAUCUCUAUCUUUUUCGCUUUGAGCUCUAGCACCUCUACGAAUCGCUACUUCCCUCUGCGAAGGGCCUUUCUAUUUACUUUAUGCAAUUUUUAUUUUACUUGAGUCUCCAUCUUCUCUUAUAAAGCACCAACUAAGGGGUACUAUGAUCGUACUUGAGCAUAGGUUGUAGCUAAUGUGUGAGUGUGUUUCAUGAAUGGAUCAAUGAUUGAGCAUAAUGGGCUAGGGAUAACAUGCUUUAGUGUUAAUAGUUUGAAAGACAUGGUUGCUUGUUGAUAUGCUUGAGUAUUAAAGUAUUCAUGUCAAAACUAGACUAUUGCUCUGAACCAUAUAAAAGUCCAAAUAUCCAUGCUACAAAGAACAGAAUAUGUGAUGAACAUGUUAGGCAGCAUUCCACAUCAAAAAUUCUGUUUUUAUCAUUUACCUACAAGAGGACGAGCAGGAAUUAAGCUUGGGGAUGAUGAUACGUAUCUAACAUAUCUAUAGUUUUUGAUUGUUCCAUGCUGUUAUAUUAUCAUUCUUGGAUGUUCUACACUCAUUUUAUAGCAACUUUAUAUCAUUUUUUGGGACUAACCUAUUGACAUAGUGCCAAGUGCUAGUUGCUGUUUUCUGCUUGUUUUUUACAUCGCAGGAAAUCACUAUCAAAUGGAGUCCAAAUGCAGUAAAACUUUUGGUGGAUUUUUUUGCACCAGAAGGCAUCCAGUGGGCCAAAGAAGUACCGAAGAGGGGGCCCGAGGUGAGCACAAGACACUAGGGCACGCCUGGGCCUCUAGGCGCGCCCUGAUGGGUUGUGCCCACCUUUGUGGCCUCCCGCACCACCUCUUUGCUCUAUGAAUACCCCAAUAUUCCAGAAACCCUAGGGGAGUCGACGAAAAUCAAUUCCAGCCACCGCAAGUUCCAGAACCACUAGAUCCAAUCUAAACACCAUCACGAAGGGGUUCAUCAACCUCAUUGGUGCCUCUCUGAUGAUGCGUGAGUAGUUCAUUGUAGACCUGCAGGUCGUAGUUAGUAGCUAGAUGGCUUCCUCUCUCUCUCUCUCUCUCUCUCUCUCUCUCUCUCUCUCUCUCUUGAUUCCCAAUACAAUGGUCUCUUGGAGAUCUAUUUGAUGUAACUCUUUUAAGGUGUGUUUGCUGGGAUCCGAUGAACUUUGAGUUUAUGAUCAGAUCUAUGUUUUUAUCCAUGAAAGUUAUUUGAGUCUUUUUAUCUCUUAUAUGCAUGAUUACUUAUAGUCUCGUAUUUCUUCUUCGAAUCUUUGGUUUAGUUUGGCUAACUAGAUUGAUUUUUCUUGCCAUGGGAAGAGGUGCUUUGUGAUGGGUUCGAUCUUAUGGUGCUUGAUCCCUGUGACAGAAGGGGAACCGGCACAUAUGUAUCAUUGCCAUUAAGGAUAACAAGAUGUGGUAUAUUUCUACCUAAAUAGAUCUUGUCUACAUCGUAUCAUCGUUCUUAUUGCAUUACUCCAUUUCUCCAUGAACUUAAUACACUAGAUGCAUGCUGGAUAGCAGUUGAUGUGUGGAGUAAUAGUAGUAGAUGCAGGCAGGAGUCGGUCUACUAAUCUUGGACAUGAUGCCUAUAUAAUGAUCAUUGCCUCAAUAUCGUCAUGAUUAUUUGAAGUUCUAUCAAUGGCCCAACAGUAAUUUGUUUACCCACCGUAUGCUAUUUUUCUCAAGAGAAGCCACUGGUGAAAUCUAUGGCCCCCGGGUCUCUUCUUAAUUAUAUUUGCCUUCGAGAUCUAAUUUUAUUUGCUUUUAUUUUCAGAUCUAUUAAUCCAAAAAUACAAAAAUACCUUGCUGCAAUUUUUAGUUACUUAUUUUAUCUCGCGUUCCCGCGGGAUCCAUUUAUCCAAUCUACUACAAUUUUACCUAUCUUUUUACCCGUGAAGGAUUGACAACCCCUCUCUUACGUCGGGUUGCAAGUAUUUGUUCUUUGUGUGCAGGAGCUGUUUACAUGGUGUUGCGUGGUUCUCCUACUGGUUCGAUAACCUUGGUAUCAUCACUGAGGGAAAUACCUACCGUUGUUGUGCUACAUCAUCCCUUCCUCCUUGGGGAAAUACAGACAUAGUUCCAGCCAACAUCAACGACCGACGCUGCUAAUAUAUCUUUACCUGAGGGCGUGGUGUGGCACACUUACUAGUAGCGUGUCCUAGAAAAACCAAUGUUGCUGCUAAGUCAUAUCAGUAGCGCGUUUUGUACUGAGCGCUACUAGUACUUACCAGUAGCGUAAGGACCCAAACAUGCGCUACUGGUAAAGUUCUACGUAUAGGCAUUUUCCUAGUAGUGCAUGGGGCUCGAUCCGGCACGCGGUCGACAACCACACCUUGGUCAGCCUCAUGCGACCGGCCUGCGGCUUCUGAUGUGCCCCCUCGCUGAAGAACCCUUCUCCCUGUUGCCACCACGGCCUCUUGUGACAGAGCACCUAUCCUUGCCGUGGAAGACAAUGUUUAAGUCAUGCAACACAAUUGCAUUGAUCGGUGCACUGGGCACGUACAUAUGAUGUACAAGCUGGGGGCCACAACCUCAACUAUAUAGGAAAACUAGGAGGUGGGCCUAUGACACAAUAUACAUGCACAUUAUAUUCAACAUCCCCCCCCCUCACAGUCGAAGCAUCGCCAGAGAUAAAGAGACUGGAAUGAAACUCCUCGAAGGUGGAAGUAGGCAGUCCCUUAGUCUUCACAUCGGCGAACUAUUGUGCGGUCGGAACAUGGAGAACCCGAAUGUGUCCAAGGGAUACCUGUUUGCGCACAAAAUGUAUGUCCAACUUGAUGUGCUUUGUCCGGCGAUGAUGAACAGGGUUGGCGGAAAGAUACACGCAGAGACGUUGUCACAGUAGACAACAGUGGCCUAUGAUAUGUUUUGAUGCAACUCCUGGAGUAGCUGCCGUAGCCAGGUGCACUCAGCAACUGCGUUAGCCACUGCCUGGUACUCGGGCUCCACGCUGGAGCGCGAAACUAUGGGUUGUCGCUUGGACGACCAUGAGACGAGGGAGGGACCGAGGUAGAUGCAGUAGCCAGAAGUGGAGCGACGUGUGUUAGGGUAGCCAGCCCAAUCAGCAGACAUUGUGCCAUGGAUGUAUCGGGGAAUCCGUUUCACGAGGGUCCAAUGAGAGUCACGAGGCGCGUGCAUAUGGAGACACACCUGCUGGACAACAUACUGCAGAUCUGGUAGAGUGAGUGUCAGAUAUUGGAGAGCACCAACGAUGGGAGGGUAGAAUGGAGCAUCCGACGCGGGCGAUCCCUCGAGAGCAGAAACCUUGGCCUUCGUGUCAACAUGAGUAGCAACAGGAUGACGUUUGAGCAUGCCGGCACGCUCAAGUAGCUCAUGCGCAUACUUCUGUUGAUGAAGAAAGAAGCCGUCGGGUCGCCGAAUGACCUCAAUGCCAAGGAAAUAAUGGAGAGCACCCAAAUCCUUGAUGGCAAACUCAUCACGCAGCAGGAGAGCGAUAUGCUGAAUGAGGGCUGCGGAGAAGGUUGUCAGGAUGAUGUCGUCAACAUAGAGCAGCAAGUAAGCAGUCUUGUCGCUGCGGUGAUAGACAAACAACGAGGCAUUUGAGCAUGUAACGCUGAAGCCAAGUGUCUGAAGAAACCUGGCGAUGCGCUGGUACCAGGAGCGAGGUGCUUGCUUGAGGUUGUAGAUAGACUAGGACAACAAGCACACAUGGCCGAGAUGAGAGGCGUCGACGAAACCAGUGGGUUGCUCACAGUAAACCUGCUCCUCAAGGUGGCCAUGAAGAAAGGCGUUGGAGACAUCCAUAUGAUGAACUGGCUAGCAACGGGAGACCGCCAGCUGAAGGACGAUGCGGAACGUGCCCGGUCGGAUAACUGGUGCAAUGUCUCAGUGAAGUCAAUGCGAGCAUGCUGCCAAAACCCAUGGACCACCCAGCGAGCCUUGUAGCGCUCAAGCAUUCCAUCUGAGUGGGUAUUAUGACGAAAAACCCACUUGCCGCUGAUGACGUUGGCGCGAGGUGGCCGGGGAACCAGUGUCCAGGUACGGUUCUGCUGAAGAGCGUCGAACUCUUCCUGCAUCGCAGCGAGCCAGUGAGGAUCACAAAGGGCUGCUCUAGCGGAUGCAGGAAUCAGUGACGGCUCAGUGGUGGAGGCAGCGAGGAGAUACUCAUCGCUGGAGUAACGCAGACUUAGACAGUGAAUGCCAGCCCUGGAGCGAGUGAGGGGGCGAGACGUCAAUGCCAGGACUGCGUCGGGUGUAGGCGGCAAUGACGAGCUAGCCGAGGCUGAGGUGAAGCUCGAGGGGGCCGCGCCUGCAGAGGCAGCCAAGGCCUGAUACGUCUCCAACGUAUCUAUAAUUUAUGAAGCAUUCAUGCUAUUUUAUUAUCUGUUUUGAAUGUUUAUGGGCUUUAUUAUACACUUUUAUAUUAUUUUUGGGACUAACCUAUUAACCGGAGGCCCAGUCCAUAUUGCUAUUUUCUUGCCUAUUUCAGUGUUUCAAAGAAAAGGAAUAUCAAAUGGAGUCCAAACGGAAUGAAACCUUCGGGAAAGUUAUUUUUGGAACAGAAGCAAUCCAGGGAACUUGGAGUGCAAGCCAGGGAAGCUUCAAGGAGGCCACGAGAUAGGAGGGCGCGCCCACCCCCUGGGCGCGCCCUCCACCCUCGUGGGCCCCUCAUGGCUCCCCCGAUCGACUUCUUUCGCCUAUAUAUUCCCAUAUACCCUAAAACCAUCAAAGAACAAGAUAGAUCGGGAGUUCCGCCGCCGCAAGCCUCUGUAGCCACCAAAAACCUCUCGGCAGCCCAUUCCGGCACCCUGUCGGAGAGGGAAUCCCUCACCGGUGUCCAUCUUCACCAUCCCGGUGCUAUCCAUGACGAGGAGGGAGUAGUUCACCCUCGGGGCUGAGGGUAUGUACCAGUAGCUAUGUGUUUGAUCUCUCUCUCUCUCUCUCUCUCUCGUGUUCUUGACUUCGCACGAUCUUGAUGUAUCGCGAGCUUUGCUACUAUAGUUGGAUCUUAUGAUGUUUCUCCCCCUCUACUUUCUUGUAAUGGAUUGAGUUUUCCCUUUGAAGUUAUCCUAUUGGAUUGAGUCUUUAAGGAUUUGAGAACACUUGAUGUAUGUCUGUCGUGCUUAUCUGUGGUGGCAAUGGGAUAUUCACGUGAUCCACUUGAUGUAUGUUUUGGUGAUCACCUUGCGGGUUCCACCCAUGAACCUAUGCAUAGGGGUUGGCACAUGUUUUCGUCUUGACUCUCCGGUAGAAACUUUGGGGCACUCUUUGAAGUACUUUGUGUUGGUUGAAUAGAUGAAUCUGAGAUUGUGUGAUGCAUAUCGUAUAAUCAUGCCCACAGAUACUUGAGGUGACAAUGGAGUAUCUAGGUGACAUUAGGGUUUUGGUUUAUUUGUGUCUUAAGGUGUUAUUCUAGUAUGAACUCUAUGAUAUAUUGAACAUAAAUAAUAGCUUCAUGUUAUUUUACUACAGACUCUUGAGUAGAUAGAACAGAAAGGAUAACUUUGAGGUGGUUUCGUACCCUACCAUAAUCUCUUCGUUUGUUCUCCGCUACUAGUGGCUUUGGAGUGACUCUUUGUUUCAUGUUGAGGGAUAGUUAUAUGAUCCAACUAUGUUAUUACUCUUGAGAGAACUUGCACUAGUGAAAGUAUGAACCUUAGGCCUUGUUUCCUACCAUUGCAAUACCGUUUGUGCUCACUUUUCUCAUUAGUUACCUUGCUGUUUUUAUAUUUUCAGAUUACAAAAACCUAUAUCUACCCUCCAUAUUGCACUUGUAUCACCAUCUCUUUGCCGAACUAGUGCAUCUUUACAAUUCACCAUUGUAUUGGGUGUGUUGGGGACACAAGAGACUCUUUGUUAUUUGGUUGCAGGGUUGUUUGAGAGAGACCAUCUUAAUCCUAUGCCUCCCACGGAUUGAUAAACCUUAGGUCAUCCACUUGAGGGAAAUUGGCUACUGUCCUACAAACCUCUGCACUUGGAGGCCCAACAAUGUCUACAAGAAGAAGGUUGUGUAGUAGACAUCAAGGCUACACCUGAGCCGGCCGGCGAAGCAGCCGGCGGCAGGGCUGCGUCCGAGGCGAUAGGUGAGAAUACCGUCGACGGAGUGGCCGGCGAAGAUGCCGGCGAGGCCGUGGCUGGUGAGGCGGGCGACGCUGAGGUGUCGGACGAAGUCGGCAAGGGCGGCAUGGGGGCGCGAGGAUGGCCUAAGCUCGGAGGCGGUCCAAGAACCGAGCAGGGCUGUCCAGCUGACGGGGUCGCCGGAGGGCGCCGGUGGCCAGCGGCGACGGGGCGAUGUGAGAACCUGUUGAAAUGGAAACAACUUCUCAUCAAAGUAAACGUGCCGGGAGGUGAAUACACGGGAUCGUAGCAGCGGUAUCCUUUAGUUUUAGCUGGGUAACCGAGGAAGAUGCAAGCGAUGGAGCGAGGUGCAAGCUUAUGAGGCGCGAUAGCGGCGAUGCUAGGAUAGCAGAGACAACCGAAGAUGUGAAGCUCAUCAUAAGAGGGUGAUGUACUGAAGAGAAUAUGAUGGGGUGCAAAGUUUCCGCGAGUGCGACAGGGUCAGAUGUUAAUGAGGAGUGAUGCGGUGGCGAGAGCGUCAGGCCAAAAGCGCGGAGGCACAUUGGCAUGAAAAAGAAGCGUACAAAUGCAGUCGUUAAGAGUGCGAAGAACACGCUCAGUGCGACCGUUCUGUUGUGAAGUAUACGGGCAUGUGAGAAGUCGUGCCAUGUGUGGUGAGGAGAGUGUGAACAACUAAGUUGUCGAACUCCUUCCCGUUAUCUGUUUGGAACGCAAGGAUGAGACGGCCAAACUGCGUAAAAACAUAGGAGUAAAAUGCGGCGAGCGUGGAGAUAACAUCGAACUUACGUCGCAACGGGAAGGUCCACACUGCUAUGUCUUGAGCUUGCGUUGGUUUUCCUUGAAGAGGAAAGGGUGAUGCAACAAUAUUAGCACAAGUAUUUCCCUCAGUUUUUGAGAACCAAGGUAUCAAUCCAGUAGGAGGCUCCUCAAAAGUCCCACGCACCUACACAAACGAACCAAGAACUCGCAACCAAUGCAAUGAAGGGGUUGUCAAUCCGUUCACGGCCACUUGUGAAAGUGAGAUCUAAUAAAGAUAGUAUGAUAAGAUAAAUAUAUUUUUGGUAUUUUAUAAUAUAGAUGCAAAAAGUAAAGAUGCAAAUAAAAGUAGAUUGGAAGCAAAUAUGAUAAGAGAUAGACCCGGGGGCCAUAGGUUUCACUAGAGGCUUCUCUCAAGAUAGCAUAAGUAUUACGGUGGGUGAACAAAUUACUGUCGAGCAAUUGAUUGAAAAGCGAAUAAUUAUGAGAUUAUCUAGGCAUGAUCAUGUAUAUAGGCAUCACGUCCGCAACAAGUAGACCGACUCCUGCCUGCAUCUACUACUAUUACUCCACACAUCGACCGACUCCUGCCUGCAUCUAGAGUAUUAAGUUCAUAAGAACAGAGUAACGCAUUAAGCAAGAUGACAUGAUGUAGAGGGAUAAACUCAAGCAAUAUAAUAUAAACCCCAUCUUGUUAUCCUCGAUGGCAACAAUACAAUACGUGCCUUGCAACCCUUUCUGUCACUGGGUAAGGACACCGCAAGAUUGAACCCAAAGCUAGGCACUUCUCCCGUGGCAAGAAAGAUCAAUCUAGUAGGCCAAACCAAACUGAUAAUUCGAAGAGACUUGCAAAGAUAACUCAAUCAUACAUAAAAGAAUUAAGAGAAGAUUCAAAUAUUAUUCAUAGAUAAACUUGAUCAUAAACCCACAAUUCAUCGGAUCUCGAGAAACACACCGCAAAAAGAGAUUACAUCGAAUAGAUCUCCACAAGAGAGGGGGAGAAUAUUGUAUUGAGAUCCAAAAAGAGAGAAGAAGCCAUCUAGCGAAUAACUAUGGACCCGUAGGUCUGUGGUAAACUACUCACAACUCAUCAGAGGGGCAAGGGUGUUGAUGUAGAAGCCCUCCAUGGUCGAUUCCCCCUCCGGCAGAACGCCGGUGAAGGCUCCAAGAUGGGAUCUCGCGGAUACAGAAGGUUACGGUGGUGGAAAUUGUGUUUCGGGUGCUCCUUAGAUGUUUUCGGGGUACGUAGGCUUAUAUAGGAGGAAGAAGUACGUCGGUGGACGCCCGAGGGGCCCACAAGAUAGGGGGCGCGCCCUAUAUGGGGGGGGGGCGCCCUCCUAUCUCGUGGAGUCCUCGGCUACUUCUUGACUUGCACUCCAAGUCCUCUGGAUCACGUUCGUUCCAAAAAUCACGCUCCCGAAGGUUUCAUUCCAUUUGGACUCCGUUUGAUAUUCCUUUUCUCCGAAAUACUGAAAUAGGCAAAAAACAGCAAUACGGGCUGGGCCUCCGGUUAGUAGGUUAGUCUCAAAAAUGAUAUAAAUGUGUAAAAUAAAGCCCAUAAACAUCCAAAAGGGGUAAUAUAAUAGCAUGGAACAAUCAAAAACUAUAGAUACAUUGGAGACGUAUCAAGCAUCCCCAAGCUUAAUUCCUGCUCGUCCUCGAGUAGGUAAAUGAUAAAAAGAGAAUUUUUGAUGUGGAAUGCUACCUAGCAUAAUUUUCUUUAUUGUGGCAUGAAUGUUCAGAUCCAAAUGAUUCAAAAUAAAAGUUCAUAUUGAUAAAAGAAAUAGUAACACUUCAAGCAUACUAAUCAAAGUAAUCAUGUCUUCUCAAAAUAACAUGGCAAAAGAAAGUUCAUCCCUACAAAAUCAUAUAGUUAGGUUAUGCUUCAUUUUUGUCACACAAAGAUGUUCCCAACUUCUAUACCCCCGAUGACAAGACAAGGAAUUGUUUCAUACUUAAAUAAUCUCAAACUUUUUCAACCUUCACGCAAGACAUGAGCAUGAGCCAUGGAUAUAGCACUAUGGGUGGAAUAGAAUAUGAUGAUGGGGAUUGUGUGGAGAAGACAAAAAAGGAGAAAGUCUCACAUUGAUGAGGAUAAUCAACGGGCUAUGGAGAUGCCCAUCAAUUGAUGUCAACAUGAGGAGUAGGGAUUGUCAUGCAACGGAUGCACUAGAGCUAUAAAUGAAUGCUCAACAAAAGAAAACUAGUGGGUGUGCAUCCAACUUGCUUGCUCAUGAAGACCUAGGGCAUUUGAGGAAGCCCAUCGUAGGAAUAUACAAGCCAAGUUCUAUAAUGAAAAAUUCUCACUAGUAUGAAAAGACAACUUAUGAGACUCACUAUAUGAAAAACAUGGUGCUACUUUGAAGCACAAUAUAUGAGACUCAGAACAAAGUGCUACUUUGAAGCACAAGUGUGGAAAAAGAGAUAGUAACAUUGCCCUUUUUAUUUAUUUCUUUUAUUUCUUUUCCUUUUUCUUUUCUAUUUUUUCUUUUUUUGGGCCUUUCUUUUUUUUUCUUUUGGCCUUUCUUCCUUUCUUCCUUUUUCUUUUUUCUUUUCUUUUUGGGCAAUGUUCUAAUAAUGAUGAUCAUCACACUUUCAUUGAUUACAACACAUGAAUUACAAUUCGAUACUAGAACAAGAUAUGACUCUAUAUGAAUGCCUCCGAUGGUGUACCGGGAUGGUGCAAUGAAUCAAGAGUGACAUGUAUGAAAAAUAAUGCAUGGUGUCUGUGCCACAAAUACGAUGUCAACUACAUGAUCAUGCAAUGGCAAUAUGACAAAAGUAAUGUAUUUCAUGAUGAUGAUAAACUGAACGGUGGAAAGUUGCAUGGCAAUAUAUCUCGGAAUGGCUAGGGAAAUGCCAUAAUAGGUAGGUAUGGUGGCUGUUUUGAGAAAGAUAUAAGGAGGUUUAUGUGUGAUAGAGCGUAACAUAUCACGGGGUUUGGAUGCACCGGCGAAGUUUGCACCAACUCUCAAGGUGAGAAAGGGCAAUGCACGGUACCAAAGAGGCUAGCAAUGGUGAAAAGGUAAAACACUACUGGAAUUAGCUAAUUUGCCGUCUGCCAAUUCUUUGUCGUCUGCUGGCUGACGGCAAAGAAGGUCUUUGCCGUCCGCUUACAUAAAACGGACGUCAAAGAACUGGCUGAUGGCAAAGAAGGUCUUUGCCAUUAGCCAGUUCUUAGCCGUCCACUAGCGGACGGCAAAGAAUCUUUGCUGUCAGCUGGCGGACGGCAAAGAGAGAGAUGGGCCGCACUAACGAGCUGCUUAGAAAAAAACCUAACGACCCCCUCUUUGCCGUCUGCUAGCAGACGGCAAAGGGCAAAAAAGCGGAUGGCAAAGGGGGGCGGAUGGCAAAGAGAUAACGUUAUUUUUGGCAGACGGCAAAGAGGAAACACAACACACAGAUCGAUCACGCAGAUCGAUGACUUGGCAAGAUCUCAGACGCACAUCUCCACCCUCCGUCGGACACACACCCCAGCCACCCAUGAUGCACGCGCCCCCAGGGCAGCACCCACGCACCCGGCCCCACGCCCUGUCUUCUCUCUCCCUUAUCCCCACCCCCACCGCACGUCUCUCUCUCUCAUUUCUCUCCCUCUCGAUCCAAAUCANNNNNNNNNNNNNNNNNNNNNNNNNNNNNNNNNNNNNNNNNNNNNNNNNNNNNNNNNNNNNNNNNNNNNNNNNNNNNNNNNNNNNNNNNNNNNNNNNNNNNNNNNNNNNNNNNNNNNNNNNNNNNNNNNNNNNNNNNNNNNNNNNNNNNNNNNNNNNNNNNNNNNNNNNNNNNNNNNNNNNNNNNNNNNNNNNNNNNNNNNNNNNNNNNNNNNNNNNNNNNNNNNNNNNNNNNNNNNNNGCCGCCGGACUCCUUCACGCCUCCGAGCACCAGUGCCUCCGAGCACCACCAGCCACCCGCCUCCGCCUACGCUGCUCUCUGCCUCCCUCUCUCAGCGCGCCUCCGAGCACCACCGCCUCCGAGCACCAGCAGCCACCCGCCUUCGAGCACCAGUAGCCGAGCCGCGAGCCUUCACCUUCGCUGCUCUCCUUUGAAGCCCGCCUCCGCAUGCCGCUGGCCUCCACCUCCGCUGCUCUUCUCUACCGGCGAAGGGGCUUGGCGCGAUGGAGUUGGUGCGGUCCAAUGGAUCUAGCGCUCGGACGAGGGUGGCGAGCUCCGGUGCGGCGGUAGACUGCUUGAGAUCCUCGGGUGUCCAUGGUGGUGUCGGUGUGCUCCUGUCCAUGGAGAAAGGAAGGAGAAGGCAGAGGGGCGCGGUUGUUGGUUGUUGCUUCUCCAGCGAGCAUGGCACAGGGGAUGGUUGCAGGGAGGCGUGUUCGUCCAGAUCGAACACCUGUACUGUAACGCAGUGUAAUCUGUUCGUGUGUAAUGUCGUCUUGUUAAACAGAGUAGUUUUGUUUUGGAUCAGCAAGCUAUAUGAUGGAUAGUUUUGUCCUGUGAAAUCCGUUCGUUCGUUGUUGAUUCUUGAAACAGCAGUGUUGAUGGAUACUGUGGUGUUCGUCCUCAGUUCGUUCCUCGUCGCCUCUGCACUUGGACUAUAUGUUUGUUUUUUUAUUUAAAAAAAAUCUUUGCCAUCAGUAAUGUUUCUGGCUGACGGCAAAGGAGUCUGUGGCAGACGGCAAAGGAUGGCGUGGUUUGCCGUCUGUGGCAAACGGCAAAGCCUCCCAUUAGACACCUAACGUGGCUAACGUCUAUCCUUUGCUGUCAACUUUCUUUGCCGUCUGCUUGCCCAGGAAAGCUGACGGCAAAUGUCUUUGCCAUCCGCUUUUUGAAAACAGACGACAAAGAAGCUCUUUACCGUAACUGUCUUUGCCGUCCAUGUUUGCCGUCUGCGGCUGACGGCAAAGACCUUUGCCGUCAGCUUUCUGGUCCUUUGCCGUCUGCCAUGGCAGACGGCAAAUCAGCUGAUUCCUGUAGUGAAAGUGCGUAUAACCAUGGACUCAACAUUAGUCAAAAGAACUCACAUACUUAUUGCAAAAAUUUAGAAGUCAUUAAAAAUCAAGUACUACGCGCAUGCUCCUAGGGGGAUAGAUUGGUAGAAAAAGACCAUCGCUCGUCCCCGACCGCCACUCAUAAGGAUGCACAAGCCAGGUACACUUCAUGUUUCAUAUUUGUUACACAACUUUAACCAUACAUGCAUACUACGGGAUUUGCUAACUUCAACACAAGCAUUCUUUAAAUUCAUAAUCACCCAACUAGCAUGACUUAAUAUCACUACCUCCAUAUCUCAAAACAAUUAUCAAGUAUCAAAUUGAUCAUAGCAUCCAAUUCACUUCCUAUGUUAGUUUUUAUUAUACCCAACUUGGAUGCUUACCAUUCUAGGACCAAUUUUAUAACCAUAGCAAAUACCAUGCUGUUCUAAAAGACUCUCAAAAAUAUAUAAGUGAAGCAUGAGAGACUAGCAAUUUCUACAAAAUAAGUCACCACCGUGCUCUAAAAUAUAUAAGUGAAGCACUAGAGCAAAAACUAUCAAGCUCAAAAGAUAUAAGUGAAGCACAUAGAGUAUUCUAGCAAGUUUAAUAAAAUAGGCUUCUGCCAAAAGGUGUGUACAGCAAGGAUGAUUGUGGUAAACUAAAAAUCAAAGAAUAAUAUAAUACACGACGCUCCAAGCAAAACACAUAUCAUGUGACGAAUAAAAAUAUAGCUCCAAGUAAAGUUACCAAUGAACAAAGACGAAAGAGGGGAUGCCUUCCCGGGGCAUCCCCAAGCUUAGGCUUUUGGCUAUCCUUGAAUAUCUUGGGGUGCCUUGGGCAUCCCCAAGCUUAGGCUCUUGCCACUCCUUAUUCCAUAGUCCAUAAGAGCUUUACCCAAAACAUGAAAACUUCACAACACAAAACUCAACAGAAAAUCUUAUAAGCUCCAUUAGUGAAAGAAAAAAAACCCACCACAUAAGGUACUGUAAUGAACUCAUUCUUUACUUAUUUUGGUGUUAAACCUACUGUAUUCCAACUUCUUUAUGGUUUAUAAACUAUUUUACUAGCCAUAGAUGCAUCAAAAUAAGCAAACAACACACGAAAAAUAGAAUCUGUCAAAAACAGAACAGUCUGUAGAAAUCUGUAACUAACGCAAACUUCUGGAACUCUAAAAAUCCUACCAAAAUAGGACGUACUGGAAAAUUUGUUUAUUGAUUAGCAGCAAAACGAAUCAAUGCAAAAUCACGUUUCUGUGAUUUAUUGAAUUUUUUCUCGUGAGCGCAAAUUUUCUGUUUUUCAGCAGAAUCAAAUCAACUAUCAUCAUAGUUUAUCCUAUAGGUUCUACUUGGCACAAACACUAAUUAAAAGAUAAAAACACAUCUAAACAGAAAGUAUGCAAGAUUUAUUACUAAACAGGAACAAAAACAAAAAACACAAAGAAAAUUGGGUUGCCUCCCAACUAGCGCUAUUGUUUAACGCCCCUAGCUAGGCAUAAAAGCGAAGAUAGAUCUAAGUAGUGCCAUCUUUGGCACUAAAUUCAUCAAUAGAGCGCUUGUGAUCUCUAGGAUUUCUCCCCUUUUAUCAAUGGAUAAACCUUUAGGCAAAAAUUCAAGAAAUUCAUUGGUAGCAAAAGGUUCCUUAACGACAGAAAGACAAUUGGGAUAAACACUUAUGGAUUUGAGAUCCGCGCCUCCCUUACUAGAAGAUUCACCCUUAUUUUUAGGAACAUAAAUAAACUUGGCAGUUUUAGUAGGGGGUUUUGGAGUGUUUUUCAUAGAGGAAAAAGGGGAACCUAAGUUUGUAAUGAUAUCCUCAAGUUUACCGAUUCUAGCAGAGUCUAGAUCUAUUUUCUCAUUAACUAUAGGUUCUUUUUCUUUAAGUUUUUUCAAAGUAACUCCAACCCUAUAUCCAUAUUGGGUAAUGUAAUUAUGAAUAUUUUUAUCCAAAUUUUCAAUCAACUCAACAGUGGAAAUUUUAUUUUCAAUAAUCUCAAGCCGUUGCAUAACGUGUUCUAAAGUUAAAACAGUUCCAUUGACCAAAAGAGGUGGUGGGCCAAACAAAUCUAACAUAGCAUUAUAAGCAUCAAACGUAUGGCUACUCAUGAAAUCACCUCCGGUAGAAAUAUCAAGAACACGUCUAUUCCAAGGAGUAAUGCCUACAUAAAAAUUCGGAGAAGAACGGAAGUGGAAAGCUUCCUAGAAGAUUUAUAUUGGGCAUUGCAAAUUCUAUGCCAAGCAUCUUUUAAAUUUUCUCCCUCCCUUUGCUUAAAAUUGAGAAUUUCUUGUUCGGGAGUGAUAAUAAGGAUAGGAGGACUAGCCAUAACGACAAGGUAAAUGAACUAACACAUGGCAAACGGAAAAAAGGCAAGCGAAAACAGAGGAUAAGAUUGGGAAAGAGAGGGAGAAUAAAACGACAAGGGUGAAGUGGGGGAGAGGAAAACGAGAGGCAAAUGGAAAAUAAUGUAAAUGCGAGGGAGAUGGGUUUGUGAUGGGUACUUGGUAUGUCUUGACUUGAGCGAAGACCUCCCCGGCAACGGCGCUAGAAAUCCUUCUUGCUAUGUCUUGAGCUUGCGUUGGUUUUCCUUGAAGAGGAAAGGGUGAUGCAGCAAUAGUAGCGUAAGUAUUUCCCUCAUUUUUUGAGAACCAAGGUAUCAAUCAAGUAGGAGGCUCCUCAAAAGUCCCACGCACCUACACAAACGAACCAAGAACUCGCAACCAAUGCAAUAAAGGGGUUGUCAAUCCGUUCACGGCCACUUGCAAAAGUGAGAUCUAAUAAAGAGAGUAUGAUAAGAUAAAUAUAUUUUUGGUAUUUUAUAAUAUAGAUGCAAAAAGUAAAGAUGCAAAUAAAAGUAGAUUGGAAGCAAAUAUGAUAAGAGAUAGACCCAGGGGCCAUAGGUUUCACUAGAGGCUUCUCUCAAGAUAGCAUAAGUAUUACGGUGGGUGAACAAAUUACUGUCGAGCAAUUGAUAGAAAAGCGAAUAAUUAUGAGAUUAUCUAGGCAUGAUCAUGUAUAUAGGCAUCAUGUCCGCAACAAGUAGACCGACUCCUGUCUGCAUCUACUACUAUUAGUCCACACAUCGACCGACUCCUGCCUGCAUCUACAGUAUUAAGUUCAUAAGAACAGAGUAACGCAUUAAGCAAGAUGACAUGAUGUAGAGGGAUAAACUCAAGCAAUAUGAUAUAAAAACCCCAUCUUGUUAUCCUCGAUGGCAACAAUACAAUACGUGCCUUGCAACCCUUUCUGUCACUGGGUAAGGACACCGCAAGAUUGAACCCAAAGCUAAGCACUUCUCCCAUGGCAAGAAAGAUCAAUCUAGUAGGCCAAACUAAACUGAUAAUUCGAAGAGACUUGCAAAGAUAACUCAAUCAUACAUAAAAGAAUUCAGAGAAGAUUCAAAUAUUAUUCAUAUAUAAACUUGAUCAUAAACCCACAAUUCAUCGGAUCUCGACAAACACACUGCAAAAAGAGAUUACAUCGAAUAGAUCUCCACAAGAGAGGGGGAGAACAUUGUAUUGAGAUCCAAAAAGAGAGAAGAAGCCAUCUAGCUAAUAACUAUGGACCCAUAGGUCUGUGGUAAACUACUCACAACUCAUCGGAGGGGCAAGGGUGUUGAUGUAGAAGCCCUCCAUGGUCGAUCCCCCCUCCGGCAGAACGCCGGCGAAGGCUCCAAAAUGGGAUCUCGCGGAUACAGAAGGUUACGGCGGUGGAAAUUAUGUUUCGGGUGCUCCUUGGAUGUUUUCGGGGUACGUAGGCUUAUAUAGGAGGAAGAAGUACGUCGGUGGACGCCCGAGGGGCCCACAAGACAGGGGGCGCGCCCUAUGGGGGGGCGCCCUCCUAUCUUGUGGAGUCCUCGGCUGCUUCUUGACUUGCACUCCAAGUCCUCUGGAUCACGUUCGUUCCAAAAAUCACGCUCCCGAAGGUUUCAUUCCGCUUGGACUCCAUUUGAUAUUCCUUUUCUUCGAAAUACCGAAAUAGGCAAAAAAAACAACAACAAUACGGGCUGGGCCUCCGGUUAGUAGGUUAGUCCCAAAAAUGAUAUAAAUGUGUAAAAUAAAGCCCAUAAACAUCCAAAAGGGGUAAUAUAAUAGCAUGGAACAAUCAAAAAUUAUAGAUACGUUGGAGACGUAUCACACACAUAGUGCACAAAAUCAUCAAUAAUGAUGAGAUAAUAAAGGUAGCCCGUAUUACUGGCAACUGGAGAGGUCCACAUAUCACUAUGAAUUAACUCAAACGGGUACUAUGCAACAUGAGUAGAAACCCUAAAUGGAAGACGAGCAUGUUUGCCGAGGCGACAAGCAUGACAAGAGUGAACUUCGAUCUUAUUACACGUGAAUGAAAAANNNNNNNNNNNNNNNNNNNNNNNNNNNNNNNNNNNNNNNNNNNNNNNNNNNNNNNNNNNNNNNNNNNNNNNNNNNNNNNNNNNNNNNNNNNNNNNNNNNNNNNNNNNNNNNNNNNNNNNNNNNNNNNNNNNNNNNNNNNNNNNNNNNNNNNNNNNNNNNNNNNNNNNNNNNNNNNNNNNNNNNNNNNNNNNNNNNNNNNNNNNNNNNNNNNNNNNNNNNNNNNNGGAUGACCCAAGCGAGUGUGCCAAAGGUCAACACCGGUGGCAAGGGCAACAAGAGCGGCGGAGGUGGUGGUGGCGGUGUAUUGGACCGGGUAGAGCUCGUCGGGGUUGUCACAUCGGUGGAGUGCCAUCUAGGUGCAAGCGUCCUUAACAGAAAAACCACACUCGUCAAACUCAAAGGUAACAAGAUUUUCACGUGUAAAAGAACGAACAGAAACAAGAUUUUUAAUAAGAUCAGGAGAAACUAAGAUGUUAGAUAAUGACAAAGGAGUGGAUGUAGACGGAAAAGAUGCAUGCCCUAUGUGAGUGAUGGGAAGUGAGGAACCUUUGCCGACGGUGAUGCGAGCAGAGCUGUGGACAGGAUAGGAGGAGUGGAGGUUACCUUGAUGGGCAGCCAUAUGUGCGGUAGCUCCAGUGCCCAUGUACCAGUCGCCGCCUUCGGUGUAGGUGGACGGAGUAGGGGCGGAGUGCAGAGCAGCUAAGAGAGCCAGGUCCCACAGCGUGGGCGGGAGCGCAGACUGCUAGGGCGGGGCUAUCAGGGGCAGCAGCAGCCCUCCUGGCUGCGGCGGCUGUCCGUAGGAGAUAGGCUCGUAGGUCGCCGCAUAGUGCUGCGGCGCGGCGUAAAACGCCUGAUGGGAGGAAGGCAGCGCGCCGAGGAUACCCGGGGCAGGGGCACGGGGAACCAGAAUGGAGUAGGCAUGCACAACGCCAGUCCAUGGGUUCUGGCCCGAGUACCACGGGGCCGGCUGGUACUGCUGCUGGGGGCGGGUUGCUCCUCCCUGAGCCUCGUUGCACUGCUGCUGCUGCUUGCGGCCAUCGUGGCGACCCCCGUUAGUGACCGACGAGGGCGGCGGGAAGGGGGCGGCCGGCGCCUAUGGGAAGGCCGGCGGGGGCGGGAGGGCCAAUGCGGGACACAACGGAGACGGCGCCGAGCCCCCGCGAGUGUCGGCGAUGAGGGCUGUGUAGGUCGCCCGAGUCCGGGCCAUCUUCAUCCGCCGUUCCUCCAGCUUGAGAUACGCCACCACCUUGGCAAAGGAGGGCUCCGGAAUGAGGGUAAGUUUGGAGGCGGCGUUCCCAAAGUCCUCAUUGAGAUCGGCGCUGAGGGUGCUGAUGAGGAGCUCGUCGCCGACCGUAUCGCCGAGAUCGCGGAGCUCAUCGGCAAACUUUUUGAGGCGCAUGCGAAAAUCGUCGAUGGAUGAGUCAAACUGUAGGCACCCAUAAAACUCGCCAUGGAGGAGGACCUUGCGCUACAGUUUGUUGUCGAUGAAGAGGCCGUUGAGCUUGGUCCAGACGGCGUAGGCGUCGUCGUCGUCAUCCACCAGCGUGUGGAAGAGGUCCUUGGAGAUGGUGAGGUAGAACCAGCGGAUGCUGGUGGCGUCGAGGAUCAUCCACUCCUCGUCGUUCACCAUCAGACUGGAGUCCACGGUGCCAUCGACGUGGUCGUGGAGCAGGUACUCGCGAAACACCAAGGAAAAGCACCGCUUCCAAGCGGAGUAGGAGGCAAUGGAUUGAUCAAGGACUACCGGGACACGCUCGUGGAUGUUCAGAUCGCGAACGAGGGUGACGUUUGGACCGACGAAAGGAUUGGUGACAGUGGAGGAUCUCGUGGAGCUGGUGGCGAGGAACGAGAGAGGUGGCGGCGACUAGAUGAUGGCACGACCGGCUGGGGUUUGUGGCGGCGCGGCUAGGGGGUGGCGCGCGGGUGGGGUAUGGGGGCGGCGCGGGUGGGGAAGGNNNNNNNNNNNNNNNNNNNNNNNNNNNNNNNNNNNNNNNNNNNNNNNNNNNNNNNNNNNNNNNNNNNNNNNNNNNNNNNNNNNNNNNNNNNNNNNNNNNNNNNNNNNNNNNNNNNNNNNNNNNNNNNNNNNNNNNNNNNNNNNNNNNNNNNNNNNNNNNNNNNNNNNNNNNNNNNNNNNNNNNNNNNNNNNNNNNNNNNNNNNNNNNNNNNNNNNNNNNNNNNNNNNNNNNNNNNNNNNNNNNNNNNNNNNNNNNNNNNNNNNNNNNNNNNNNNNNNAGGAGAGUUGGCGGAAGUGGGAGGGGGCGGCAGCGGCUAUGGAGAGAGCCGCCGGCGGCGGCGGGUGGCGGCGGCGUUUUGGAGAGGGUGGCGGCGGCGACCUGCGGCGGCAGCGGCGGCGGGAGGGAGCCGGCAGCGGCGGCGGUGGGUGGAGGUAGUGGCGGCGCAAGGAGGACCUGCGAUGGAUACCAUGUGAAAAACAAUGUUUAGGCCGUGCAACACAAUUGUAUUGAUCGGUGCACUGGACACGUAUAUAUGAUAUACAAGCUGGAGCCAUAACCUUAACUAUACAGAAAAACUAGAAGGUGGACUUAAUUAGUGACACAAUAUUCAUGCACAUUAUAUUCAACACUUGCUGCUGACCACCACGCCCGGCGGUCACGCCGUGGUAGCCUCCUCCCUGCUGCUGCUGCUGGCUUCCUCCUGUCUCACUGCCAUACUGCCCUCCCUGUACAUCCUGCUGCUGCUCCGGCUCCGCCGUGGACUCGCCGGAACAUCCCUGCUCUUGUGGACCCUGCCCCGACGAGGCGUGGUGCCCUUGUCCCAGCGGCGGCAUGGACUGCUCCUAGUCCCGCACCAUGCCGCGGAGGGCGGCGCAGCGGCACUCACGGCUGACGCCCUCGAGCUGCUGGCAGCACCGCUCCCUGGCGCCCCAUUGUGCCUGAAACAGCGGGACGCCGACGGCGCCCUCGCCGGCGCGGCCGGUCAGCUGCUGCUCGAGGAUCUGCCGGCACGCGAGGAGCGGCUUCUCCUGGACCUCGCCCCGGCACUGCGCGUCCGUGACGCCUUGGGUGGCGGAGACGGCUACCAGGGCCGCCAGGAACACCGCGAAGAAGAUGACGAACUUACCUGUACGAACUUUGGUUGCCUUUCCGUAUGUGGUGUAUUUGUUGUGUGGUGAGAUGUUUGAAGAGAUUGAGAUUGAAACAUGUUGAGGUAAAUACACCACGAGUCACAAAAUUUGCACGUGACGAUCAGUAUGGUGCAUAAACUUGUAAAAUACAUGUUUCAGGUCAUCUAACUUGUAUUUCCGUUCAUAUACGAUACUUUCUACCGUAUCAUGUGCACGGUUGGCUUGCCAACGUGGCAGGGGGCCACUGUCAGUGGCUGAUGUAGUGGAUAAUCCGCAUGCACUGUCUUUUUUUAAAAAGCACUCUUGCAUUUUAUUUACUUAUGCUGAAAAUCCUCAAAUAAAACGAGAAGUGCUAGAGCGGCAACAGGAUUCAAACACACAACCUGCUAUGAUUCGCCUCGCUUAGAUAGCCACUUGACCUCCUUACUGUAGACGUUUAUAGAGCACAAUUAACUUUAUAUAAGAUAAACCGUACGAGUUAAAGUAGAAACCAAACGAGAAAAGGGGAAUAUAGUAUUUUGGAAAAAUCAUCUAAUUUUUUGUCUGAAUUCAAAUAAUUUAAAAUUUGAAAAUAAGGCUAAAAGGAAAUAUAGUGCACAAUGAAUGUACGUAAUUUUUUUUGGGACAAAUCAACAAAUUUUUGUUUGCAUUUGAAUAAUUUUAAAUUUGAAAAUCUAGAUAAAAGAAAAUAUGGGUCAGAAUGAAUGUACGCAAUUUUUUCGGACAAAUCAACUAAUGUUUAUUUGAAUUUGAAUAAUCAAUAUAAAACAAAUAUAGUUCAUAAUGAAUGUACGUAAGUUUCUUUCGAACAAAUCAACGGAAAUUUUGUUCAAAUUCAAAUAAUUUUAAAUUGGAAAAUCUAACAUAGGUCAGAAUGAAUGUAUAAAUAUUUUUCCGGAAUAAAUAAAUAAAUUUUGUUUGAAUUGAAAUAAUUUUAGAUUAAAAAAUCUAGACAAAAGAAAAUAUAGCGCAGAAUGAAUGUACGUAAUUUUGUUUCGAACAAUUCAUCUGAAGAUUUGUUUGAAUCCGAAUAAUUAUAAAUUUGAAAAUCUAGAGAAAUGAAAAUAUAUUCAGAAUGUGCACUUCUAUUUUAGAGGUGAUAUACCUUAGUAGUCGAAAUGAAAUACCAAGUACAAUCAACUGCGGUGGAUAGGCUCCAUUACAAUAGGUCGUUGGUUAGAACUCGCUCAUCCCAUUUUUUCCAGCGCAAUAUAUUUACAAUUUACACUGAUCGUAGGACCCAGUGGACAACUAUUGUUGGAGUGCUUUUGUACAAAGUAAAAGAAAAACGAGCGUCUUUCUGAAAAAAAACAUCACAUGCACUAGCCACUGACAAUGGGCCCAAUAUAUUUACAACUUUACACUGACAGUGGGACCCAGCGGGCAACUAUUGUUGGAGUGCUUUUGUACAAAAUAAAAAAAUGAGGGUAUUUCUGGAAAAAAACAUCGGCCUUGGCCAUGUUGGUGUGCCAUGUAGGCAGCGAAUACACCCACGUACCGAUAAUGUGAACGUAAUUGCACGCCCGCGCAAGUUAGAUGACUAGAAACGCGUAUUUUGCAAGUUUGUGUACCAAACUGACCAUCGCAUGCAAGUUCUAAGACUUCUAGUGUAUUUACCUCAAACAUGUUCUCCGGAUGAUGUUGGAUGAGCUGGAAAGUUGUUUUUACUGCCAACACUCUUUGUCGUGUAGUAUGGAUGUCCUCAGCAUGUAACGUCUUUUGCACUAGUCAUGAGUCACCAUGAUGACGAUCAUGUAUCGACUUAUCCAUAAUAAUAAUACUCCCUCCGUCCAAAAAUAAUUGUCAUCAAAAUGGAUAAAAAAGGAUAUAUCUAAAACUAAUAUACAUCUAGAUACAUCUCCUUUUAUUUAUUUUGAUGACAAGUAUUUCCGGACGGAGGAAGUAAUUCCUUGAAAAAGUGCCCUUGUACAUUUCACAAUGAAUUUCCGAGGUUUUCUAAUCUGAUACAGGAACAAUGUAGGGGUAAAUCAAUCAGCUUUAGUUGUACUUUUCCUCUCGAGUUUGGUUUUGAGUGGUAUUUCAGGAGGAAUUGACACACACUGGGUAUCGAAGUCAUAACGACCACUACGGCCCUCUGGAUUCUCUUUUCCAGACGAAAAACUUCUGAUAAAACGAGAAGAUAUGUUGAUACUACUACGGUCCACUUCGGUGAGGUGCCGCUACGUCGUCCGACCACUGCCCUAUUCAACUUUGGUUGGAUGAGGGCCCUCGCCGACGGCUUCCCGCAACGGGUGAGGGAAUAUUUAGGCACGAGAUCAUGUGGCAAUCUCACAAUGGGUUUACUUCCAUGCUUGGCAAGGAGAACCAGGAGCAACCACGUUGCCGUAUAUACAAUACAAGUUGCUAUGAGUGUUUUUUUUUUCACUAUUUGUGACGAGAAUGUGUUGUUUUAGCAUUCCGAUCGGGCGAUCCGGUUGCCAGCCGAGUGAUAACCUCACCGCUGCAAUGUCCCCUUCGCCCCUCCUACCAUGCACACGGCGAGACAAAAAAAAACGACCACUAGUAGAAAAAGGACCUAAUAUGAGUAGCAUUAGUACCGGUUUGCAUAUGAGCCGGCACUAAUGCGUCCAUUAGUGCCGGUUCAAAUGACUAGGCAGGAGCAGACCUUUAAUACCGGUUCAUUGCGAAUCUUUAGUACCGGUUCGUGCCACGAACCGGUACUAAAGAUGCAGGUCGGGCACCAGCAUUUUUUGUACCGGUUCGUGGCACGAACCGGUACUAAAGAGGUUGUGGCAGGGGCUAUUUUUAGUCCCACAUCGCUCCCUUAGCAAUAAUUUGACCAUCUUAAAUAUGUUACUUCUCAAACUAUCACAAGCAUUUGGUCUUCAUUGAACUCUAUGUGUAGGAUCUGAGGGUGCAAUAGGAGUCUUCGCCGGUUCUUAAAUCGGUGGUAGAUUCCUAUUGAUAAUUUAGAUUCUAUACAAAAAGAUCAUUGAUGAUCAAUGUAUUUUUUAUGUACUUCUCUGUAGCAGUAGCGCGUUUUGGCUGAAAGGCGGUACUGAUCAAUGUAUUUUUUCUGUGUUACUUCUCAAACUAUAUAAAAAGGAAGAAGAGGAAGAAGAAGAAGAAGAAGAAGAAGAAGAAGAAGAAGAAGAAGAAGAAGAAGCAGAAGAGAGGAAGAAGAAGCGGAAGAAGAAGAAGAGGAAGAAGGAGAAGAAGAAGAGGAAGAAGAAGAAGAAGANNNNNNNNNNNNNNNNNNNNNNNNNNNNNNNNNNNNNNNNNNNNNNNNNNNNNNNNNNNNNNNNNNNNNNNNNNNNNNNNNNNNNNNNNNNNNNNNNNNNAAAAUGAGUAGAAGAAAAUAAAUAAUGCAAAGAAAAUAAUUUAUAAAAAACAUGUUGGGGCGCUGCCCAGUGGGCCUGCCAGACCUUGGGUGUGCAAAUACAUGCCCAGUAGGGCCAGCAGGCUCACAGGGUAGCGCGCCCUAAUUAGGCCUAGAAGCCUGCUAUAUAGAGGAGUUCGAAAGGGCAGCCGUGGCUGGGUUUAUAAACCAGUGCGGCUGCCCUUCGCUUGGCGAGGUGGGACUAAACGUAGCACACUGCGGGGUGGCAGCGCACGGGCAUUAGUACCGGUUGGAGCCUCCAACCGGUACUAAUGCGUUGCCCUUUAGUACCGGUUGGAGCCACCAACCGGUACUAAAGGCCCACGUUUCCCGCCGCUUGGGCUGGCCAAAAUUGGCCUUUAGUACCGGUUGGAGCCACCAACCGGUACUAAAGGCUCAUUCUAUAUAUAUGGCACUUACGAAAAUUCAGUUAUCGUCGCCAGUCGUUCCACUUCUCGCGCGCGCGAGUCUCGAUCUCGACGACGCCGACGCCGACGCGCCGCCGUGUCGUCGCCCUCGCCGCCCCCNNNNNNNNNNNNNNNNNNNNNNNNNNNNNNNNNNNNNNNNNNNNNNNNNNNNNNNNNNNNNNNNNNNNNNNNNNNNNNNNNNNNNNNNNNNNNNNNNNNNNNNNNNNNNNNNNNNNNNNNNNNNNNNNNNNNNNNNNNNNNNNNNNNNNNNNNNNNNNNNNNNNNNNNNNNNNNNNNNNNNNNNNNNNNNNNNNNNNNNNNNNNNNNNNNNNNNNNNNNNNNNNNNNNNNNNNNNNNNNNNNNNNNNNNNNNNNNNNNNNNNNNNNNNNNNNNNNNNNNNNNNNNNNNNNNNNNNNNNNNNNNNNNNNNNNNNNNNNNNNNNNNNNNNNNNNNNNNNNNNNNNNNNNNNNNNNNNNNNNNNNNNNNNNNNNNNNNNNNNNNNNNNNNNNNNNNNNNNNNNNNNNNNNNNNNNNNNNNNNNNNNNNNNNNNNNNNNNNNNNNNNNNNNNNNNNNNNNNNNNNNNNNNNNNNNNNNNNNNNNNNNNNNNNNNNNNNNNNNNNNNNNNNNNNNNNNNNNNNNNNNNNNNNNNNNNNNNNNNNNNNNNNNNNNNNNNNNNNNNNNNNNNNNNNNNNNNNNNNNNNNNNNNNNNNNNNNNNNNNNNNNNNNNNNNNNNNNNNNNNNNNNNNNNNNNNNNNNNNNNNNNNNNNNNNNNNNNNNNNNNNNNNNNNNNNNNNNNNNNNNNNNNNNNNNNNNNNNNNNNNNNNNNNNNNNNNNNNNNNNNNNNNNNNNNNNNNNNNNNNNNNNNNNNNNNNNNNNNNNNNNNNNNNNNNNNNNNNNNNNNNNNNNNNNNNNNNNNNNNNNNNNNNNNNNNNNNNNNNNNNNNNNNNNNNNNNNNNNNNNNNNNNNNNNNNNNNNNNNNNNNNNNNNNNNNNNNNNNNNNNNNNNNNNNNNNNNNNNNNNNNNNNNNNNNNNNNNNNNNNNNNNNNNNNNNNNNNNNNNNNNNNNNNNNNNNNNNNNNNNNNNNNNNNNNNNNNNNNNNNNNNNNNNNNNNNNNNNNNNNNNNNNNNNNNNNNNNNNNNNNNNNNNNNNNNNNNNNNNNNNNNNNNNNNNNNNNNNNNNNNNNNNNNNNNNNNNNNNNNNNNNNNNNNNNNNNNNNNNNNNNNNNNNNNNNNNNNNNNNNNNNNNNNNNNNNNNNNNNNNNNNNNNNNNNNNNNNNNNNNNNNNNNNNNNNNNNNNNNNNNNNNNNNNNNNNNNNNNNNNNNNNNNNNNNNNNNNNNNNNNNNNNNNNNNNNNNNNNNNNNNNNNNNNNNNNNNNNNNNNNNNNNNNNNNNNNNNNNNNNNNNNNNNNNNNNNNNNNNNNNNNNNNNNNNNNNNNNNNNNNNNNNNNNNNNNNNNNNNNNNNNNNNNNNNNNNNNNNNNNNNNNNNNNNNNNNNNNNNNNNNNNNNNNNNNNNNNNNNNNNNNNNNNNNNNNNNNNNNNNNNNNNNNNNNNNNNNNNNNNNNNNNNNNNNNNNNNNNNNNNNNNNNNNNNNNNNNNNNNNNNNNNNNNNNNNNNNNNNNNNNNNNNNNNNNNNNNNNNNNNNNNNNNNNNNNNNNNNNNNNNNNNNNNNNNNNNNNNNNNNNNNNNNNNNNNNNNNNNNNNNNNNNNNNNNNNNNNNNNNNNNNNNNNNNNNNNNNNNNNNNNNNNNNNNNNNNNNNNNNNNNNNNNNNNNNNNNNNNNNNNNNNNNNNNNNNNNNNNNNNNNNNNNNNNNNNNNNNNNAUAGAACUAGUUUAUUUUUAGUAAAUGCUUUAAACUAAUUGAAUUAAUAUAACUAGUUUAUUUUAGUAAAUGCUUAGUUGAAUUACUACAAGUAGUUGAAUUAGUAAGUGAUUAAUGUUUCGCCUAAUAUGAACAUAGGAAAUGUCGUCUGACGACGGAAAAAUUUCAUUAUGUGCGAUUACUAUGAAGACCAGCGCGGCCAGUGCGACAGAAAUUUCCUUGUUGAUGGUAGGCAUUCAGCAUCAAGCUGGAUGAGACUUUCGAAUUCGAUACAGUAAGUCACAACGACAAAGUCUGUUUUCGUAAUUAAGCAUGACUUAUAUAUGCUUCAUUUGCCUGACUUAUAAUUUUUAAUUUUCACUAUUCUACCAGCGCAUCCCGUGCCAUGCAAGAAUUUUUGUCUUGGAUAAGAUAGGUUUCAAAGAUAUGGAAACUAUGGAAGUAAAGAGAGCUUACCUGAAAACUGAGCAUGAUGGUUAUACUUUCAACAUCAAAGUAUACAAUACACACACGUACACAUAUUUUGAAUGCAAAACUUGGCAAGCACUAUGCAAGGCUUAUGCAUUUGAGCCUGGUAUGGUUAUCACCUUUGAUAUUCGUCUGGAAGAUGAUAUUGAAGGUAAUAGAGACAUAUGGGUCGAUGUGCAGACGCCUUCAGUUCUACCAUUAUGUGAGUUCUUCUCAACUAUAUUUUUGUCUUUGAUAUUGCUUAUUCAAAAAUAACUGACAACUAAUUUCUAUUGACAGCUUAUCUCCAUUCAACCAAACAUGUCCGGCGCUUGGUAGACAGGACCUACUACUGUCCCGGAGCUGAACUAAACUGCGAGGAGACAAGUCAUUAUGUUUCAUGGCUUGAGGAUCUUCAUACUGUCAAGAUAAAUUUUCUUUCUGCACUUAGAAAUGUUAGUACUCAAAACGUGCGACCAAUAGUGAUGGUAUUGAACUACGGUCACAUCUAUUUAGGAAUGAUGGUAAGAUAUUUACUAUUUGCCCUCAGUGCAUAUUUUGCAAACAUAAUUUUUUUGCUAAACUUUCAUUGCUAAGUAUAUUAAUUAAGUACUAUACAAUGUUCUUCAAUAGGGACUCCCAAUGACAGUUGUGCCUCAGGGGAUCGAGACUAAAGGUCAGAUGUCAAUUGUUAGCUUACGGCCAAGAUAUCCUGCAUUGCACAUGAAUGCAUUCAGGAUUUCUAGAAGCGAUGAAUGCUUAAUAGUGAAAGAUUGGAAGAAAAUUGUUAAUGAUCGCAGAGAAGUACUAGGGGGCAGCAAUGAGAAGCGCAGCCCACGAUUAGGAGACAGGUUCAUCGGCAUGCUCCAGUAUGAUCAAUCAGGAGAGCUAUACAUGUUCUAUGCUAUUUUACCAGAGAGAGUAGCUAGCAGGAGUGAUCUAGCUAGUUCUUCAUGCCGCUCUUAAUUAGUACUUGUCCUUUCAUGUCCGUGUUCUUUGUUCUGAACUUAAGUGAUUUGCUUUUGUGGUGUUAUAUAUAUAUGAACGCUUAUAAUAUCAUGACAAUCAUGUUGAACUCGAUCGAUAAUAUUUUUGCUUCUGGUAUACAAGUGAAUGUUUCUUCUUUAAGCUAGUAGUGCUGGUGGUGAUUAGAUAGCUAGUUAAUUAUUAUAUCAUUUAAUGAAAGAGACCGCAGAUUAGUUUCAGCUGGAUGAAUCCUACCUAGCUAAGUGAUCAAGUAUAUGCCAUAUCCGUAUAUAUUAUAUAGUUGAUCAAGUAUAAUAUGGAUAUGGCAUAUACUCUAGCUAGCUAGCUAUAUAUAGAGAUAUCCAAUAAUGCAUCCAGUCAAAACUAAUCCGUGGUACUUUCACCUAAUGAUUUAACAACUCAUUAUAAUGUAAAACAAUCACUAAAUUAAAUUGAAAACACAAAAUUAAAGAAAAAUUUAAAAAAAACACCCAAACAUUUAGUAUCGGUUGGUGUUACCAAUCGGUACUAAUGCUCUCCACGCAAACGGGCCUGGCUCGUGCCACGUGGUGGCACUUUAGCGCCGGUUUGUGACGAACCGAUACUAAAGGCCGGGGACCUUUAGUCCCCACUCUUUAGUGCCGGUUCGCCAACCGGCACUAAAGGCCGUCACGAACCGGCACUAAAGCCCGGUUCUGCACUAGUGGACAUCUCGCUUGGCAGCAUGACAAAACUUGCAAAGCUUGCAACUGUUGCCCGCCGACAUGCAACACUGAUGGUGAGUUCGAUCUAUCGCUACCACCGCCCACAACAUUGCCGAGGCAAACAUGGAACAUUAUUGUUGCUGCUCCAGGAAUCUUUGACCCGGACAUGGAGCAUUGUCGGGAAACCUUGUAGUGUGGUCGGCUUCGGCUCUAGCAUAGUCGUGUGACCUUGCAGCUCACAAUUCCUAGCUUCCACCAUCGGCGACCACCACCUACAACAUCAUGCAUCACCCGCUUUGCAGAAAUAGUGGAUGACUAACAACAAGGUGUAUCCCGCUUGCAGCAGGUUGCACGAUCGGUCCUUGUGAUGACCCCGGCAAGUAGGAGGAGAGUGCACCAGACGAGCGGCGUGGGAAGACCAUGGAGUUGGGCGCACACGUGGAGGCCAGGAGCUGCCCUGCAAUGGAGAGAGAAGGGAAUGACAUGGUGGAUGUUGGGAUUUCGGGGCCCCAUGAAACUAGAACCCAUGCCCCAUAAUAUAAACAUCAAAAGUGAUAAUUAGUAUGUGUAUACAAGAGAUGUAACUAAUAAACCCUUAGAAUAUGUACUCACUUCAUUUUGUUUGUCCAUAUUUUGGAAAAGUGAAAUAAAUCCUGUCUUUUUACGAAUCUUGACCUAAGAUUUUAUCCAAUUUAUUUACUAGAUUAAAUGUAUUUGCAUUAAAAAUGCUAUCAAGGCAAGCGACCCGGAUUCAAAAAAAUAUUUAAUCAUAUAAUGUAUACUCCCUCUGUUCUAAAAUAAUUGAAGUUAUGUGUUUGUCCUAAGUAAAACUUCAUUAAGUUUAACCGAGUUUAUAUAAAAAUAUAUUAACAUCUACGACACCAAAUUUGCUUCAUUUGCUUCAUUAUGAAAUAUAUUGUCAUAUUAUAUAUAUAUAUUAGACAUUGUGGAUAUUAGCAUUCUUUCUAUAGCUUGGUCCAAUUUGAAGAGGUUUGACUUAGGACAAUUCUGGAACUUCAAUUAUUUUGCAACAGGAGUACAUCACACCGUAGGGCAUACAUCGUCCAUGCCUGCGUAUACGCCAUGUCUAACCAUUUGUCUUCACUGUUAGUAGGAAAGCAAGAGGAAGACUCAACAUUCUAUUGUGAUUGCACAUUGUAAGAAUCAUAUCACAUUUAUCACAACUCAUCACUACCAUUGUGUGUUCCGAACAUGUGUAGCUGGUAAAACAAUUGCGCGGAAAACCCACAAGAUGCCGAUACAAAUCUAAAAAGGGAUAGAGUAGUGUGCCACCUAGGCACAACUAGGUAAUAGCUGAAGGGAAACACCCAUAGUUCUCUAGCACGGUCAGCUCAGUUUCCCCGAGUUGCCACCGCGACAUAUGGAAAUCAAAGCAAUAGAGCCAAAAAUCUGAAUACAACUGACAUCUAAUUUGAGUAAAAACUACUAUUAGUGCUUGAGAACAAUGAGAAGAAAGGAUGGACGAAAAGAGUCAGGGAGCAUGGGAUUCAUGCGAAAGCGAAUAUGCAACAAGACAAGGUGUUCAUCCCGACUAGGUCAUGAAGUGAUUUUGCCAAGGGCACUAGGCUAGGGAACAUGGUGCGUGACGAAUCGCUCCAUCCUUUCACGUGUCUGCACUGCUAGUACUACUUGGGUCAUGCGUAGCUUGAGGCCCCUUCAUCACUAACACAUAAGGAGGAGCAUCAUGGGGACCCCUUUAGAGCAUCUCCAAUAAAAGAUGCAAAUUUGAAGAUAUAAAAUAGGAUAUGUAAAAAUUUACAUCUACAAAAAGUGUUUUUACAUCUCCGAAAAGAGGCAACUUCAAUAGAUGACACAUAUUGGAGAUGUAAAACCGCAACUCCAAUAGAUGAUGCAAAAUGGAGAUGUGAAAACUAGUCGGCGGCGGCAGAAUUGGGGCGGUGACAGUGGGGACGGCGACGGCGUGGCGCAAUUGGGGGCAGCGGCUGUGUGUGGCGGCAGCGGGGGAGCGUCGAAGUGGUAGUGGGGGGGGGAGGGGGGGUUAGUGGAUCAGGACGACGACGACGCGAAUCGGGGUGGCGGAGCAGCGGCAGUGCAACAACAGUGGAGCGGCCAUUCGAGGCGGAGAGAGGAGGAGGAGCGGCGUAGCGGUGGCGAAGGAGCAUCGAAUGGGCGGCGGAUGUGCAGCUAGAACCCGGCGACGACAGGGCGGCGUGGGGAGCUCAAAUUAUACAACAGGGCGGCGGUGAUUCAGCGACGGACAAGCGGCCAAUUCGGCUGAUUUGGAGGCGGGUGAAGGCGGAGCAGCGGCAUAACCGGAGGCAGGGGCGGUGGAGCGGCCGGAUUUGGCAGUGGGCAGGCAGCCGUGACGACAACUGGCUGGAAUGGGGCCAAACCAGGGCGGCGACAUGGAGGCGGAGGCGGGCCUGGAGGCGGUUUUCACACUGACGAAGGCUCCAACUGGGUGGGCGGGUGCGGCGGAGGAGGUGGCGGGGUCGUCGGAGUCGCCCAUGGCCUGGGCGGCAGUCGGUGGGUGGGUUACUGGCGUGUAAACCGAAGAAAAAUAAAAGCGGUUAGGCAGUUGGUGCGUGACCAUCAUUUUUUUACAUCUAUAGGUGGAGAUGUAUAUUUUCAUCGCGAAGUGUUGUAUUUUACAUCUCCGGAAGGCGGAGAUGUAUUUUGUUUUGCAUCCACAUCAUCUGUUGAAGAGGGGUUUUUGGCUUCGGAGAUGCAAAAGUUAGUUAUUAGAUUCUAAGGGCAUCCACAUCGUGGUCUUUCUUUGCCUAUAAACCUGCAUCUAUUGGAGGAAAACAUGUGGGAUCCAUGUUAGAGACAAUGCCGCGUCUACACACUGUUGAUGCCCUUAGUUUUGCAUUGGGGGGGGAUUGUCGGUGUUAAAACCGGCAGCUCUUGAGUAGGGGGUCCCGAGCCGUGGAUCUUGGAUCAAUGGGGAACAGGAGACGAGGGACAUGAUGUUUACCCAGGUUCGGGCCCUCUCUAAGAGGUAAAACCUUACGUCCAGGAUGGUUACAGAGUUGAUCUACCUCGAGAUCAAAUGAACUAAACCUAGGCUAGUAAGGCAAUGGUUAUUGUUCUAGCCUCUACAGACCUAAACCCUAUGGUUUAUAUAGGCACCAGGGGUACUAGUUUACACAUGUCGAUUACAACAAAGGAAAUAACACGCAGAAUCUUCCAUCUUGACUUGGAGGAUAUACCAAGCCUCUGAGAUCUUCCUAUCUGGCCACAUGGUCAUCUGGUAGUUUGGCCCUGUAGUAGUCACCCAACGGCCCACCUAUCCGGCCCACGAGAAGUAGGUCGACGGCCAGGGGACCCCUUAGUCCAGGACUCCCUCAGUAGCCCCCGAAAUAGCCUCCAGUGACGGGACUUGCGGUCAUCGGCCAUCUUAGAGUCUUUGGCUUGCGAGGCGAGUUCAUCUUCUCCUUUGAUGUUUGGAAUAAUCUCCCUUGGUUAUCCUCGAAGGAGCGUGUUUGUCCAGGUUUGCACACAUAGUUCAUCAAGUAGUAUCCGGAAUCAGGGUCAUCAGUCUUACUUAGCCUUGAAGUUCAAACGCUCGAGUGUGAACAAUAUUUUUGUCUGACAACUUUUCGACGAAGGGUCAUGUCCGGUCACAAACAUCGAACCAUGGCAACCCCUCGAAACACGGUUCAAGGCUGCCUCCAUAGGCAUGUCCUAUCAAGGCAAGGACCGUGCCCGCGUUUUAAGGGAUAUGAUCAAUGAUUUCGAUCAUCCCAUUCGCGCAUAAUGCUACGUGUAUAUCGGGAAGUGGAGAGGUCCGAAACGCAGUAAGAGGACCUUGGUCAUCCUAGAGGCCUAUAAAAGGGGAAUGACCAUUGCCAUCGGCAUACGCGUCCUUCCUCUUGCCCAUGCUCUCCCAAUCUUUAGAGAUCUAGCGCCCCGUGCUAUUCUUCCCAGCUAAUCCUUCCAAGCCACCUCCCUACUCCGGCUAUGGCCGGAUCCGGUGCCAAGGGCAAGUGGGCGGCCUCCUCCAUCACCAACAGUGACAUCGAGGAUCUGAAGAGCGCUGAUUACCUCUCAACUGACAUCGCUCAUCGUGCCCUAGAAAAGGGCUAGGCCAUCCCCACGCCUCAGCCGGGCGAAUUGGUGGUGUUCAUCUCCCACUUCAUCCGGGGAGUAGGCUUCCCGCUCCACCCCUUCGUCAGGGGGCUAGAAGGUUCAUAUAAUUUGUUACCACUGAAGGAAUAAAAUUAGGCUAGAAGUAGAUGCCAAACAACAAGGUAUUAGAAAGGCUGGUCCGACACCUUGACUUGCAUAGUCAUGGUGGUUCUUGCUCCAUUCUACACAAAACACAUAUUGAACACUAAGUUGAAUUAUAAAUGCAAGUAUGCCACUACAAUUAUAAUCAUGGUCUUGAUUUUAGUUUCCCCACCCAACCAAUUCAACUUACUCACACUCAUUCUCCUAUGUUCCAAAUUCGAAAUGGUAUCUCACUAUAAAUCUAGAAAAUCAAAGGACCUAAUAUUUAAAUUUGUACUAAAAAAUCACAUUACUAAUAAAUCAAUUUCUAGUAAAUAUCGUCUACCUAAUAAAUCAAUGCUAAUGCCAUCCCAAUAUCAUCUACCUAAUAAAUCAAUUUCGCAGUACUAGCUAAUAUCAAAAUUUUAUGGCUAUCAGAUCCGCCACCAACUGGAGGGAGAUGCUUGGGAAGGGGAAGAAGAUUCACGAGGGGAAGAGGGGAGACCUCACCUCCUUGCUAGAGUUGGCAGUGGCGAAGAGCGGCAUGGUCGGGUGGCGGCAGCGGCACUCAUCGAGAAGGAGGGAGACGAAGAAGGGUGAAAAUGAUGAGCUCUGAGUGAUGAAUCGGACUUGCUAGUUUUUACUAGACAGGGAAUAUUUUUUACUGGCGUGGGCCUAAUGGACAGUGCUGUCGUAGGCCUGAUGGGCCAUACCAUAGAAAAAGAUAGCACAUGGGGAAAAACUCAGAAAAUAGCUAUGGCGUCCUAGAAACAUUCUACGUCAGCGGUAUACUCAUAUCAAUGCCGUACCAAUUUGUCCAACACUGCCACUAUUUGAAAAAAAUAGUGCUGGCGUUGCUGGGAAUCGUGGCGCCACUAACACAAGUUGUGGCUAGCACCUUUUCCACUAGUGGGUCCUCUCUUGACAGAAACUUGAGAUAAUUAUGGAGACAUAUUGGAUUGAUGAAAUGAGCCCAAAUUUGGUGGAGUGAAGUUAUAUAGGUAUGAGCAUGCCCUCGUAUAUUUGCAACAUUUAUGGAACAAUAUAAAAUAUAGUUGCUUCACAAACUGAAAAUAUUACCAGAAACAAAGAUUUGAUACUAUGAUCACAUAUAUAGUUGUAUGGAAUUGAAAUUUGGUGGAGAGUAAUGAUUUGAGCAUAUAAAGGAGCUUGCAAAAUUUCAACUCAUUUGAUUACCUAGCUAGUACUUCCUUCACAAAGGUUCCCUUAGGACAGGAACUUUGGAAUUUGCUGAGGAAGGUUCACUAGGAAAAUGGAGUUGAAUUAUGUCAUGUGGCAAAGAUUUGGAUAUGAAAGAGCGCAGAAAAAGUUUGGGGCAAUAAAGAUAAGAUAAACAACACUUCCUUCACAAAGUGCCAUUCUGGACAGAAUACGAAAAUGAAUAUUCCUGAAUUAUUUUUGAACUGGGCAAGGAAAGGUUUGUACAUAUUUGUGGAAGAUAUGGUCCACAAAAUUUAUGAGGAUUUUGUCAAAAUUAAUGGCAAGGAAUAAAUAUAGGUUUCUUCACAACCUAGGUCAAACAAGAUUAUUCCUUUAAUAGAAAAAAGGAAUAUUCUCAAGAAAAAUAAUUUGGGGUUGGGAUAGAAUAGAAAUGACAUGAUCUUGAGAGAGCUUUGAGAAUGAUGAACCACUUGAGAGAAGCAAGAAUGAUGAUCUCCCAUGUUUCAAGUCCAUAGAACUGCUCCAAAAGAAAAAUUAGAGCAAAAACCAAAGGCGAAAAAUCGGGGUGUUACAAGUAUCAUUCCGAGGCAUACAGAGGGCACCAUGCUGGAGACAGAACUGCACAUAAGGUAUUACAGUCUGAUUUUUAUUGGUCUACUCUCUUCAAAGAUGCACGUAAGUUUGUACUUUCUUGUGAUGAAUGUCAAAGAAUUGAUAAUAUUGGUAGACGUCAGGAAAUACCUAUGAAUUAUUCACUUGUUAUUGAACCAUUUGAUGUUUGGGGUUUUGAUUAUAUGGGAUAUUUUCCUUCCUCUAAUAGGUAUACUCACAUUUUAGUUGAUGUUAUUAUGUUACUAAGUGGGUAGAAGCAAUUUCAACUAGUAGUGAUGAUCAUAACACUUCUAUUAAAACUCUUAAAGAAGUUAUUUUCCCUAGGUUUGGAAACCGUAGAUAUUUAAUGACCGAUGAACGCGCAGAGCCUCCAGAAAGGAUAAAGUUGAGGUUGAUGUCGGUGAAGAGAAAAAAGGCCACAACUCAUGGUGGUACAUGGUAGAUGGCUUUUCUGACAUCCUUAUCCUCUCCCUCUCCCCACGCCGACCAUGGCCGCCGAUCUGCGGCACCAGGAACGUGCGCUGACGUCGAUGCACUAUAGACGGUCGUUGUGGGGCAUGUUCGUGUACCGCUCAGCUCGUCCCGUGUACCGCAACGAACUUAGGACCCGGGGGUACUCGGACCUGCACCCGACACGCGCGCCACGGCGGGGUCAGGGGGUGGGGCAAGGCCGGGCCAGGUGGGGCCACCGGCUGCAGGUCACGCGGCUAGGGUUGUGGAGGGGAUAAAAUCUCCAUCGACCCUCUCAUAUCCCAUUCCAGAUCUCGAUCUCCUCCUCCACCACUUCUCGGAAGCUCCUAGGGUUUCAACGCCUAGGGUUUCCCCGUCGUUCGUUUGGUGGGAUGGUAAGGCAGGAGGAGACCAUAGAUCCACCCAGGUCGCUGCAUCUCCACCAAGCGCGAGUCCUCCCACUCCCAUGCGGCCAUCGGCUGGAUGGCUUCGGGGCGGGCCGGGCUGGCCGGGGUGCUGGUCGCUUCAGACGGGGCGUCGGGCGCGGCGGUGGUGGAGGCGGCUGCAACAUGGUGUGGACGCGACACAUCAAGGAAGGUGGCAUGUCUCCACCAACAUGGAUCAAGGGCGCGUGCUGCCAGAUCGAGCAAGAUGGGAGGCCGCGGCCAUGGAGACGCAGAGCGAUGGCCGUCAGAUCGAGAUGUGGGGCGACAACAACAACCGAGGCAAGGCGACUACGAGCGACAAUCAGCGUCCUCAACAAGAUCUGCGUCCCCAACAAGAUGCACGCCCUCAACAAGAUUGUCGUCAUCCAAUUCUAGGAAAAAGGAAUGCCACCCCACUAGUGCGUGGUGCUGAGGUUUGCGUCACUUGCAAAGAACCAGGGCAUGUCCCCAUGUGCUGUCCUAGGGCAGUUUGCGGUAGAUGUGGUUUAAAUGGGCAUCUUGUUCCUAUUUGCAAUAUUGUUCUUCCUUGGGAAUGUGUUGCUCCUAUGUGUGGAUUUCAAGCUAAGGGAAAGGUUUCUUCUAUAUACAUGACUCUAGUACACCCAAGCAGAACACUGAUAGGAACAAAUAUAUUGUGAUCAUUGUGAUAGAGGGGCGGGCUAGUGGCAGGCAGUUGGAGGAGUUCUUUAAUGCAUGCAUUAACACAAACUGGAAAUGUUCAGCUAGAUCGAUUGGGCUUAAUACCUUUGUCAUGAUAUUUCCUUCACCCAGGGACGUUGACAAAGCUUACUUUGCUGAAACUAUGAACAUUAAAAGUUGUGGGGCUGUGGUGAGUCUUAAUAAAUGGUCUGAAUCUAUGGGUGCCAAGGGUGUACUUAACAUUGUUUGGGUCAAUGUUAGCAACAUCCCUUUGGACAAAAGAUGUGAAAAAAAUAUUGCAUAUGUUGGAUCUUUGGUGGGUGUAACUCUAGACAUUGAUAAGUCUACUGUCAACGGACCCGAGUCGGUCAGGAUCAAACUGGGUUGUAGAGAUGCUGAGGACAUCCCAGCUAAGGCAGAGGGGGUAUUGGGAGAUCAUUUUUAUGAUUUCUUCUAUUCAGUGGACAAAAUCCUUGUUAAAAAUACCCCAAAAGAAAAAGUGUCAGUACCUUAGGAUGCAUACAAGGGGGUGUCACCCAAGAGAGCUAGAAUCAUAGGAAAUAUACAAAAUGGUGGUUAGGGAGUGCCUCUUCUACUGUGGGGAAUCUUUCUGCUCCACCAAACUCAGUCGGGAGGGAAGUGAACAUGCCUGCUGUAACAGAAACAUUGGAAGAGGAAAAUGAUGCUGGGAAAAACAAAGGGAAAAUGAGGAGAGUCUCUCUGAGGAGGAAAGUGAGGAGAUUGACAAUGAGCUACUUAUUGACACUAUUGUUGCUGAAAACAGAAAAAAUCAAUUGGAGGGAGUGGAGUCCCCAGAAACUCUGUCAUAUGAAAAGAUUGUUGUGAAUUCUAUGCAGAUCAUACCCAGUGUUCCACUUAUCAGAAAAAAACAUCUUAUCUGGAUGCUGUGUUGGGGCAGCCUUAUGUUACUGAACUUGAUCCUGAUGAUGUAUCAUGUCAGCAAGUGCCCUCAUUGUACUCAGUGCAAUCUCCUGAUACUUCUGGGGAGGAGAACGUGGAGGUGAUCCCUACUCUACCUAUGGUGGAAGAAAUACAGAUUAGGAUGAGUCAAAGAACAACUGGUGGUAACAUGGAACAUAUGGGGGUUCGAGCUGAAAAAAUGACCAAGAAGAGAAGUCUUCAAGGUAAUGAAACAACACCUAAUUCCAAUUGUUUUGAGUUUCAGUGAUGGGUGUUGACAUUCCUGACAACAAUUUUACUGUUGUUGAUGUGAUUAGAGAACUGGAAAAAUCAAGAGCCAAUAUAGCUGAGAAAACUCAAAAUAUAGAGAAACAAAAAGAUAAUGUGUUGUUUAUUACCAAUGCUGUUGGGGACAAAUCUCCUUUAAAUACAGAUUGGGUGAGGGAUGGUGAGAUUGAUGAAGAGGAGUUUACUACUGUUAGAUCUAGAAGGAAAGACAAGAAGAAGGUUAAUGUAGUGAUUUCCAAACAUGUGACUAGAAGUCAGAAAAACAAAGUGUCUUUUGAUGCUGUUUCGACCAUGCCUCAUGGUAAACCUAGCAACAAAAGACAAUCUCAUAAAUGCAAGAAAAAAUGAUUAGUCUCUUCUGGAAUUGAAGGGGAGUGGGGAAGAGGGGUAUGGCAACUUGCUUAUCAAACUUGAUUAGAGACUAUGGUUUAGAUUUUAUUGGUAUUCAGGAAACAAUGAAGAAAGAUUUUUCCUCUAAAUUCUUGAGGAAAAUUGAUCCAGGAGAGUACUUUGAUUGGAGGUGGAUCCCUUCAAUGGGAAAAUCUGGGGGAAUUUUGUGCAGUACUAAGAAAUAUACUUUUGAUUUUAGAUCCUGUGAGACAGGAAAAUAUAUCACGAAACUUGAGUUGUGGGAUAAGAGUAAAAAACUGAUUUAUUGUAUUCUAGUAGUAUAUGGAUCUUCUCAUGAAGAGUAUAAGGUGGAAUUUUUGGCUUAGUUGUUUGACAUGUGUAACAAUACUGCUUGCCCUUACAUUGUGGGGGGUGAUUUUAAUAUCCUUAGAUAUGCUAAGGAGAAAAAUAAGAAAACUAGGACAAGCCAUGCUACUGAUCUCCUUAUCUCCAGCAUUAAUACUUUCUGUCUUAGGGAAGUGGACAUGAAUGGUGGUAUGUACACUUGGUCUAAUAAUCAGCAAAAUCCUACCCUUGAAAAGUUGGAGCGUAUACUUAUGUCCAGUUCUAGAGAAAGGCAAUUUCCUUUGACUUUUGUCAGGAAAUUGGUUAAAGAGAUUUCAGAUCAUAGUCCUUUGAUCUUGAAUACUGAGGACUUUAUCCCUAAUUCAAUACAUAAGAGAGAAUUCAGAUUUGAUCUUAAUUGGCUCAAGAAUCCUGAAUUUAUACCCUUAGUUGCUAAGGUGUGGAUGAAACCUGUAAAUGCAAAUGAUCCCAUUGAUGUGUUAAAUAUUAAACUGAAGAGAUUCAAGAAGUUUUUCAAAGGAUGGGGAUCUAACUUGUUUGGGAAAUCUAGAAAGAGAAGGAGAGAACUUAGAGAGGAUCUAGAGCAUCUAGAAAAACUAGAAGAAACAUAUGUACUUUCUCCUGAAUUAUAUUGUAAGAAAGUUGAUAUUUUGGUGGAAAUAUAUAGUCUCCUGGUGGAAGAGGAGAUUGCCUGGAUUCAAAAAUCUCAUGAAAACUGGUUGUUGAAAGGGGACAUAAAUACUGACUAUUUCCACAAAAUAGUUAAUGGGAGAAGGAGGAGGAAUACUAUUUUCUCACUUAGUUGUGGAGAUGAAGUGAUAGAGGGGACCAAAAAUCUUUUGAAACAUGCAAUUGAGUUCUAUAAGGACCUCUUUGGGCCUGCAGCUGGAAAUUUAUGCAAGUUGAGGGAGGAUAUGUGGGAAUCAAAAGAAAAAUUAACAGAUAUUGACAAUUUUAUUCUUACUAGGCCCUUUUCUGAAACAGAGAUAAAAUAUGCUCUCUUCUAUAUGAAACCAAACAAAUCACCAGGCCCAGAUAAUAUCCCCAUCAAAUUUUUCCAACACUGCAGGGAAAUAGUGAAAAAUGAAGUGAUACUUCUAUUUGAGUGGUUUCAUGGCAACAAGCUAGAUGUGUAACGCUUGAAUUAUGGGAUUAUCACCCUGCUACCUAAGGUUGUUGGUGCAAAUAAAAUUCAGCACUUUCAUCCCAUAUGCUUGCUGAGAUGCAUUUAUAAACUAAUCACUAAGGUGCUUACAAUUAGACUAGAGCGUAUGUUGAUAUUCUGUUCAGUAGACAUCAGAAUGCUUUUAUUAAGAAAAGAUAUAUCAUGGAUGGAAUCAUGUCUUUGCAUGAGAUUCUCCAUCAUAUACUUACAUUGAAAAAAUCUGGGAUCGUGUUGAAGCUAGACUUCAAAAAAGCUUAAGACAAAGUUAACUGGGAUUUCUUGUUGGAUACUCAUAAGAUGAGAGAAUUUCAUCCGCAAUGGAUUGAAUGGGUUAGGAAAAUCUUAGUAGGAGGCACAGUUAGUGUAAAGUUGAAUGAUGAGGUGGGCCCCUACUUUCAAAGAUCGAAAGGGGUGCGUCAGGGGGACCCGUUCUCACCUUUCCUCUUUAAUUUGGUUGUUGACUGCUUGACGAAAAUGGUGAUUAAAGCUCAACAAAAUGGCUUGUUCAAAGGGUUACCGUCUGACCUGAUCCCUAAUGGGGUAGCUAUCUUACAAUACGCGGAUGACACAAUUCUAUGCUUCGAGGAUAAUCCUAGAAAUGGUCUUAAUAUUAAGUUGUUGUUAUAUAUUUUUGAAGUCGUGUCUGGGUUGAAAAUCAAUUUUCUGAAAAGUGAGAUCUUUUCGGUCCUUGCUGAUGAUAUUACUAUGCAAAAAUAUGCUGAGAUGUUUAACUACCAAAUAGGUAAUUUCCCUAUCAAAUACCUCGGCAUGCCUGUUAGCUAUGCUAGUUUGAAGUGUAGUGAUUGGCUUUUUGUAGAUGAUAAAUUCAUCGAUCAUUGUGAGAACUGGAUUAGUGAAGUACUGCCUAUGGGGGGAAGGCUUAUUAAAGUAAAUUAUGCGAUGUCACAUGUUACAACUUUCUACAUGUCUAUGUUUCUUCUGAAUAAGACUACUUUGGAUAAAUGGGACAAACCUAGAAGGAAAUUUUUCUGGCAUAGCAAAGGAAAAAAAGGCUGCCAUAUGGUUAAGUGGAGCCGUAUAUGUUGAUCCAAAAAGAAAGGGGGGCUAGGUGUUAAAGACUUGAGGAAACAUAAUAUUAGUCUAUUAGUGAAGUGGUGGUGGAAACUUGAGAAAAAUAAAGGGCUUUGGCAAGAUAUUGUUAAGGCAAAAUACUUAAAGAAAUCUUUGGUUGCUAUGGUUAAACAUAAAGCUAGCGACUCACCUUGUUGGAAAUCCCUCUUGAAAGUGAAAGACCUAUAUAUGUUGGGCAGGGGUAUCAAUUUGAAUAGGGGAGAUGUGGCUAGAAUCUGGCUUGAUAGUCUGGAGGGUAGAAUCCCCUUUAAAGACAGAUUCCCACUCUUAUUUAAGAUUUGUGUUGAAAAAAUUGCACUGUUGACAAAUUUGAAUCCCUUAAUCAGAUCUCCUCUUUUAGGAGGAGGAUGUCUCCUGAGAUUAUAAAACAAUGGGAGGAAAUGAAAAAAGAGGUGGUAACACUUAAGCAAAGUGAUUUGCCUGAUGAGGUUUAUUGGAAACUAGACACUUCGAGCAGAUAUACAACAAAAUCCAUGUAUAAAUGGCUAGAAAAGUGAGAUAGCUGGUUCUAACUUCAAAUGGAUUUGGGAUGCCAAACUGCCUCUUAAAAUCCAAAUUUUCUUGUGGCAAGUGGCACAGAAUGCCAUCCCGACUAGAGAAAACAUGAAAAAAAAGUCUAUGGCCCGGGGAUCCUUGCUGCUCCUUUUGUGAUCAAUUGGAAACAACCCAGCAGUUGCUUUUUUUGUGCCCUAUUUCUAGGGUGGUGUGGAGAACUGUGGGUUCCUUGAUUGGAAUUGAUUGUUGUCCUAAUUCUGUCUGGCAAUAUUAUGCUUGGAUAUAUAGCUUCUUACCUGGACUGGAUAAAGUGUUCACCGUUGGCUUGGAUGCUAUAUGCUGGGCUAUCUGGCUAGCUAGGAACCGAGCCACUUUUGAAUUCAAAUGGAUUAACACUCCAUUUGAGAUUGUAUUUACAGCAUGUGCCUUUUUGAUGUACUGGGUAGGUCUCCAGAAACCUGAGAUAGGAGAGAUGGUGAAGAAAGGAGCAGAGAUGCUGAGGGAGAACACAACAUAGAUGCUGCUGCUAUGUGGUCCACCAACUCGAGCUAUGGACGAGCGCGAUGGGAACUGAGGUAGAGAAGAUGCUGCAGGUCCCGCUCAGUAAGUUUCUUGUGUUUUGCCAGGGAGAAGAAAUCGACGCGCUUGGAUAUCACACUGGAUGACAACAGGGUUUUGCUUACUCGUAUUCAUUCUGAGUGUUCUAGGUUCAUGUGGACAGUCUUUUUGUUGAUGUUGUGGUCUGGAGCCUGAUGGUGACGUUCGUAAGAUAUUUGGUACUCUGUUUAGGUGUUCAUAGUGUGGUUUGUGUGACAUCAGGUUUUCGCCCCAUGAUCUGUUGUUCCUGAUGACAGGCGCAGAUAGUGGGUUUCCUUGUGUUUCUCCGAACUCGCUUUUCCUCUUUCCCUUAGCCCUGCUGGUUUCAGUUCCUGAGACAAUGUAUUUCCGUAAGUAAUGGAAAGGGGGAAGCCCGGUUCGAAAAAUAAUAAUUUAAUGACCGAUGGUUGUUCACAUUUUAUUUAUGGUGCUUUCCGUAAACUUCUUGCUAAAUAUGAUGCCAACCAUAGAAUUGCAUCACCUUAUCACCCUCAGUCUAGUGGCCAAGUUGAAUUGAGCAAUAGAGAAAUAAAAUUAAUUUUGCAAACGACUAUUAAUAGAUCUAGAAUCAAUUGGUAUAGGAAACUUGAUGAUGCACUUUGGCCUUAUAGAACUGCUUAUAAAGACCCCAUGGGAAUGUCUCCAUAUAAAAUGGUCUAAGGAAUAGCAUGUCAUAUACCUCUUGAGUUCAAACGUAAAGCUUAUUGGGCAAUAAAAUAACUUAAUUAUGAUUUCAAACUUGCCGGCAAAAAGAAGUUAUUUGAUAUAAGCUCAUUACAUGAAUGGAGGGGACAAACUUAUGAAAAUGUAAGUUGUUUCAGAAAAAUGUAAAAGAUGGCAUGACAAAAGAAUCAAAAAACGGGAAUUUAAUGUAGGGGAUAAGUUCUUUUUUCUCGUUUCAGAUUAUUUGCAGGAAAGCUUCUCUCUAGAUGGGAAGGACCAUAUAUCGUCGAAGAAGUUUAUCGCUCCGCGGCUAUCAAGAUCAAGAACGCUGAAGGCACCAAUCCAAGAGUGGUUAAUGGGCAAAGAAUUGAACAUCAUAUCUCAAGUAUACCCAUUAAUGUCGAAACUAAUAUUAUUCAAGUAAUGACACCCGAGGAGCAUAUAGAAGGACCUUCCAGAAUGCUCUAGAACCCUGAAACGGAGUAGGUACGUGGUAAGGUAAGUAAACCGACUCCAAAAAUUCCAUAAACGCACCUUUUGUUCAUUUCAGAAUAUAUGAAAAAUUAGGAAAAUAAUAAACAAUUCAGAAAGUUCAUGGGAAAGCGACAAGCCCAGGGGGCACGCACUACCCCCUGGACGCGCCUUCCGAGCUUGUGGCUCCCUCGUGGACUUUCUGGACUCCGUUUUUCUUCCAUGUUACUUGUCAUGCAUGAAAAAAAUUCAUUAUAUAUACUACUCACUGCUUUGACCACCGCAUCACAAAUUUCUCAUAUGUUCUUGUUUCGUGCUAUUUUCUGACAGAUCUAGAUCGCCAUAGCUCCCUGAAGGCCCCGUACCAAGCACCGGAUCAUGCAACCUUCACCGGGGAAAUGUACUUUCAGCGAGGUUUAUUAUGAGUGGUCAUCUGGAGAGGAUGACACCAUCGAGCGAGAGGAAGCUACGGAGGUUGUGGGAAGCUGGACCCAUGAAGAAGGAAACAAAUCCAUGCCCACAGAAGAGGCUACAAAAGAGGGAGACAUCCUACAAACCCUUUAUCAUAAUCUCUCUCCCUCUUAAAUUGAUACAAUAAAGAUAUUUGAAGCAAUUUGUGCUCAGAAUAUAUCGCUUACUCACGAGGUCAUUGCACUGGAGGAAACAAACCAUGCUAGUCAAAGGAUUAAUAGUAAUUUGGAGUACUUACUGAAGUUAAAGAACAAGCCAACUCAUGUCUACUACGCAACUUUAUUCUUGUAGACAAGUGUUGGGCCUCCAAGUGCAGAGUUUUGUAGGACAGUGGCAAUUUUCUCUCAAGUGGAUGACCUCAGGUUUAUCAAUCCGUGGGAGGCUUAGGAUGAAUAUAGUCUCUCUCAAGCAACCUUGCAAUCAAAUACAAGAAAUCUCUUGUGUCCCCAACACACCCAAUACAAUGGCAAAUUGUAUAGGUGCACUAUUUCUGUGAAGAGAUGGUGAUAAAAGUGUACUAUGGAUAGUAGAUACGAGUUUUUGUAGUGUGAACAAUAAAAAACAGUAAGGUGGUAAAUAGUAAAACAGAGCACAGACGGUAUUGCAAUAAUGGAAAAUGAGGCCUAGAGUCCAUACUUUCACUAGUGCAAUCUCUCAACAAUGCUAUCAUAGUUGGAUCAUAUGAUUACCCCUCAAAGUGCAAUAAAGAAUCACUCUCGAGUUCCUAUUAGCGGAGAACAAAAGAUAGAAAUUGUUUGUAGGGUACGAAACCACCUCAAAGCUAUUCUUUUCGAUCAAUCUAUCCUAGAGUUCAUACUAAAAUAACACAAAGCUAUUCUUUUUGAUCAAUCUAACCAAGAGUUCAUAGUAAAAUAACAUCAUAUGACACACAUCAACAAACUCUAAUUUCACCUAGAUACUCCAAUGUCACCACAAGUAUCCGUCAGUUAAUUCUACGAUAUGCAUCAAACAACUUGAUGAUCAUAAUAUUCAAUCCACACAAAGAACUACAAGGAGACCCCAAAGUUUCUAUCAGAGAAAAGAUAAUAAAAACAUGCAGCAACCCCUAUGCAUAGAUUACCCCAAACCCCGGGAAUCCACAAGUUGAGUGCCAUAACAUACAUCAAGUGAAAAAUAUGAUACCCCAUUGUCACCUCAAGUAUUCAUACCGCAAUACAUACAUCAUGUGUUCUCAGAUCUGAACAUUCAAUCCGACAAGACAAAACUUCAAAUGGUAAAGAUUCAAUUCAUCACAACAAGAGUAGAGAGGGGAGAAACAUCAUAUGAUCCAUCUAUGUUAACAAAGCCCGUGAUACAUCAAGAUCGUGACAUCUCAAGAUCACGAGAGAGAGAGAUAUUAAACACAUAGCUACCGGUACAAACCCUUAGCCCCGAGGGUGGACUACUCCCUCCUCAUUGUGGUGGCCGCCAGGAUGAUGAAGAUGGCCACCGGUGAUGAUCUCCCCCUCUGGCAGGGUGCCGGAACGGGCUCCCAGUUGAUUUUGGGUGGCUACAAAGGCUUGCGGCGGUGGAACUUUCGAUCUAGGUUCCUCGCGAGGGUUUUUGGAAUAUUUGAGAAUUUAUAGGGCGGAGAGGGGUGCUGGAAGCCACCGAGGUGGGCACAACCCAUCGGGGCACGCUUGGGGGCCUAGGCGCGCCCUGGUGGGUUGUGCCCCCCUCGGGGCACCCCCCAGGUGCUGCUUUGGCCCAAUGGAUGUCUUCUGGUCCAUAAAAAAUCCACAAAAUGUUUCGGAGUGUUUGGACUCCGUUUGAUAUUGAUUUCCUGCGAUGUAAAGAAACAAGCAAAAAAGAGCAACUGGCACUGGGCACUAGGUCAAUAGGUUAGUCCCAAAAAAUGAUAUAAAGUUGCUAUAAAAUGAUUGUAAAACAUCCAAGAAUGAUAUUAUAACAGCAUGAGUACUUCAUAAAUUAUAGAUACGUUGGAGACGUAUCACCUAUCACCUCAUCACCACCAUCACUGAAGAAAGAUACUUGAGUACACGGGUAUGGGCACCACCCUUGGCUUGUUCCAAGCUUGGGGGAGGUGCCCCGGUAUCAUAUCACCAUCACUUUUAUCAUCAUUACCUAUCUUAGUUCGAUCCUUAGUUAUUUCAUGAUUUAGAAGAAUAAAGUUUUAGUAUGAUCUAGUUUCAAGUGUUUGUUUCGUGAUCUAUCUAUCUAUGUAAUUGUGUGAGAGUUAUAUAAUAAAUAGUAGUUUGAGUUUGCUUUACUUUCUUUUUUCAAUCCUAGCAAUGAAAUAAAAUAAAGAAUGAAAAGAUCAUAUGCUAAUCCCAUGGGGAGUAAUGAUUUCACAUAAAAGAAGUAUAGUUGAUAAAAUUUGUUGGAGCUUCACAAACAUAGCAUUGGUCAUUGGUGCAAUUCAUGAAAAAGUAACAAAGGAAGAGAGGUUUCACAUAUAAAUAUACUAUCUUGGACAUCUUUUAUUAUUGUAAGCCCCCAUUAAAUAUUCUAUAUCAAUUAGUUGACGUUGGACAAGGAAGAAAAUGUAAUGACUUAUGUUUGCUUCUAUUCACACAAAAGAUAUAUUAUUAUGGAUCCUCUAACAUGUGGUGCUUGUCUAGGAUCUUUUGCUAACCAAAAUUCGCACUAAGUAGAGAUACUACUUUUGCAUCCAAAACCCUUAAACCCAGUCUCUCGCCAUGAGCAUCCACCAUAUCUACCUAUGGAUUAAAUAAGAUCCGUCAAGUAAGUUGUCAUCGGUUCAUAAAGCAAUAAAAAUGUCUCCUAAAUAUGUAUGAUAUUUUAUUGGAAAGCAAAAUAAGCUUUGUAUGAACUUGUGAUGGUGAAGAAAUAAAAGCGACGAACUGCAUAAUAAAGGUCGCCAUCACAAGAGGCAAUAUAAAGUGAUGUUCCUUUCCACUAAGAGUUUGCACAUCCAAAAACAAAAAGCGCAUGACAACCUCUGCUUUCCUCUGUGAAGAGUCUAUCUUUUACUUUCCUAUAUUUAUUUUUAUGCAAGAGUACAUAAUGUACAUCCCUAUUCCACUCUAUGUACUCUNNNNNNNNNNNNNNNNNNNNNNNNNNNNNNNNNNNNNNNNNNNNNNNNNNNNNNNNNNNNNNNNNNNNNNNNNNNNNNNNNNNNNNNNNNNNNNNNNNNNNNNNNNNNNNNNNNNNNNNNNNNNNNNNNNNNNNNNNNNNNNNNNNNNNNNNNNNNNNNNNNNNNNNNNNNNNNNNNNNNNNNNNNNNNNNNNNNNNNNNNNNNNNNNNNNNNNNNNNNNNNNNNNNNNNNNNNNNNNNNNNNNNNNNNNNNNNNNNNNNNNNNNNNNNNNNNNNNNNNNNNNNNNNNNNNNNNNNNNNNNNNNNNNNNNNNNNNNNNNNNNNAGUUGAACUGAUGAAAUUCGAGCGGUUGAACUAAUGCUUUCUGUUUCUAUUAAAAAUCGUCGUCUUUAGUUCAAUUUUUUUGUCGAAAUAGGGCGUGUAAUAUAUCAUUGAAAAGCUCUUGACAUCUACAUUACAAUCUUAUAAUUUUUUUUUUGCAAAAAAAUUAUGGUUUAAGAGCAGUUUUGAAAAAACCAUUUUUUUCAAAACCGAAAACACAAAUCGUAUUUUGGACUUAAUUUUCAAACGGUUUAUCGGAAUUGAGCAAAUGAGAUGGCGUUCGAAAGCUUGUGAAAAUCCGCAUCUUCCAUAUAUCUAUUAUUUUUUUAAAUUCUUUAUGAUUUAAAAGUAAUUUGAAAAAUGGUGAAAUCCUGGGCGACACAUAUUUUCACUGUUUUUUGCAAACGCUUUGUCGGAUUGACGCAAAUGAUACGGUGUUGUAAAGCUAUGAAAAAUGCACAACUUUAGCGUAUAGAAAGUUUUUUCUAUUCCUUACGGUUUAAAUACGAAUUCAAAUACGGUUAAAGUUGGUUUUGAACGCGAUUUUGUUGAAAAGUUUAUUGAAAUGGGGCAAAUAAUAUACCAUUGGAAAGCUAUCGAAAAUGCGAAACUUAGUCAUGUUGAACAUUUUCUCAAAUUCGCAAUCAAUUAAGAAUAAUUUUGAAUACGCCAAGACGGAUCCUGUUGUUUUCCCGUCUGAAAAACAGAGUGCUCGUACUGAUAUAUGUGUGUGUUUGUACUGAGCUAUUUUUUGUAGAGUAAUUUUCAAUUUUUCUGAAAAACGAGUAAUUGUACUGAUGUUUGCAUGGGUUUGUACUAAGCGUGUUUUCACUAACUAGACUUUGCUCUGUUUUUGGGUAAUGUUUUUUGCUCGUAAGUUUUAACGGUUUACUUUAUCGUCGCCCUGUACUUGCAUGGUUUGUACCAUCGAACUGAAUGAUAUUUUUUUCAAAAAGAAGAUGUUUUUUUAUUCUUUUUUUAAAACUAAACAUUUGUUUACAAUGAUGUUCUGGACUUCUCUUAUUUUACAACUUAUACUUUUACCAUUUGAAUUGCAUGGGGUUUCUUUUUGCUUGAACUUUUAAAAUUUGAACUCAUGUGCUAGUAAUACAUGAACUCUCCACUACAAUUUUUUUGUCAAUCUGUGGACAUCACCAAAAUAGAAAGGGACAAAUAUUAAGGAUAGCAGAGAGAGCACUAGUAAUACAAUGAACUCCUUAUUUUUUUCCUCAGUGAAAUUGGCUAAGGGUUCAUUUUUCGUUCGAACUUACCACGUUUAUCAAUUUGAACGUUUCAAAAUUUGCCAAGAAUUUGAACUAUUCACCACCAGCAUAGACGAGCGAGAGAAGCAACAGGUGUACUUACUGGUUAGUAAUACAUGAAUGCCUACGUAGUUAUACAUGACCUCAGAACAUAAAAUUCAUUGAGCACUUGAAACACAUAACAUACAAGAAUGAGGUGCAAAGCUGCGAAUGCUGAUGGAUCAACACUUCAGAUUUUGCAAGCACAUAACAGUUCAAUGUCAAAAGAACAUUCAACAUCCACGAACUUUAUAGAGGAUACACUUAAGUUCAACUAGUAAAUACAAGUUGUGUAGCCCUCGUCAGCAACACAAAAAUCUGUAGAAAAAUGUACAUGUUCUCAUGGGCAUAUCAACAAGUAUGUUCAGAGCAAAAUAUCUUCUGCCCUUCUCCACAAAGAAACCACUCGAGUUCCUCUUCUUUUUCUCCUCGAUGAGCCACUUACACUUGAAUUCAUACUGGUUGUCCACAUCCAGCAGCUUCCAUGAGACGAAGUUGUGGUCGAGAGGCCGCAGGCUUGAGUGUUUCCUCAGCAACUCGUGCACCGCCCUGGGAUGCAUUUGAGGUGAGACACCCGCAAGACCACACACAAACAAUGCCAAAAUGCCAAGCAUGGCCGCGACCACGCAUGCACGAACACAACACACACAUAUGCGCUGUGAGCGACUCAAUGAAGACGUGCAUCUACAUAGUCACAUGGUUGCGCAUGGAAGGUGCAUCCCACAGUCGGCGGUGGUCCACUCAGGGGAUUGAGGGAGCUGUUCGAAGGCGGGGAAUCAACGAGGUCACAAUAGGAAACUAGCAUGGCAGCGGCAACAUAUUCAGACCUAUCAGUUGUUAAGACGAACAUGAGAGUUCGGAGCAAACUUCUGGUUUAUUAUCAACAUAUGCAGAGUGAACUUAGCUGCCCAUAUUAUAGCAUGAGUUCAUGGCAGAAAAAGGCGAUACUCAAGAUAUUGAACUAAACUAAAAUUAUAUAUCGAACUUAACUAAAAUUAUAUAUUGAACUAAAACAAAAUAAGAAUUAAACAAAAAAUUAUAUAUUUGUGGAGUAACACACACAAACCGAACCGUGAGCAAGAGUGUGAGGAUAGAAAAUUAUAUAUUGUGGAGUCACGGGGGUUUGCAUAUGGAUGAACUGACCGAUCCAUUUUUCUUGUACUGAAGCUUGCUUCCAGAAAUUUAAGACAAUGCAAAUUUAUCUACAAUAUGGACAUUUAGUAUAGUCUGAACUAAACUUUUUGGCACUUUUUGUACUGAGGUAAUAGCAGUGAACCUAUGACGAAGAAUAUAACUAAAAAAAUUGGAGGUGGAAUAAGAUGUCGGAGAUCGGGUGGACCGGCUACACCUCCUCCUCUGGACUGAUUGCUCCGGUGAAGUGGAGCUGAUGAAGGCGGAGAUCACGAGCAGCGUCGGGAUUUGGCAGCUGCAGGGAAUCCCAGCGACUUGUUGUGCAUCUCUAAUAGCUAAAGGUAAAAGCGGCAAUGACUUGAAAUAUAAACCUCCAACUAAAGAUAUAAGAGAAGGAUAGAAGGAAUUAACCACAAGCUAGUAGAUGGGAAAAACAGCCGUUGAUGAAGCGAGCUAGCGAUCAUCCAUCAAGAUGCUUUUUUUUGGCUCGCUAAGCUUGAAUGGGGAGGAGUUGUACUUGUUGCAACAUCACUACAAAAAAUCAGUACUUUUCUUGACUCUUGUAUUUGAACUAGUCAGAAUUUUUUAGUUGAACUCUUUUAAAAGCAGUAAAACCAAGUGACGUCAUGGCAGCUAGGAACGAAAAAGAAAACAAAAGAGAGCAAGCGAAAACACUCUUGCAACAUUUUCUUUGGGCAUGGAGCUAGGCAAACAUGGCAGAGGCUGGUGGUAGUUCAGAAUAGGGAGGAUGGCUGCUUUGGCCAAGAUUGUAGCUAGCGGUCGAUUUGAACUGAUGACAUAUAUAGAUGGUAAACUAGAGAGCAUCAAAUUUUCCUACCAAAAACACAAUUCAUCUUUUCCUUUUAGCUAUAUUUUACACUGAACAAGCAUCUUGAACUUGUGUUAAGCAAGCAAAACAUCAGUAAAUUGAAUGCCUCAGCGAACUACACUCAACUAGUCCCCAAAAUUGAAAAAAAUGUUAAAGAGACAGAAGAAAACGAGUGGAAAGCUUCUGACCGCUGGUUUUGAACGACCCCUCGUUGAACGGCCUUGGUUGGCGGUGCUGAACGGACUGAGGGGGUGGUGGCUGUGAAUGGCCUGGCCCUCCCUUGGAUUCCACCAUGAGGCACUAGGGGAAGAUGGGGAAGGACACAGUCGAUGGCGCUGUGCCACAUCAAGGAAAUGGGGCUGGGGUCGCAACGACGCUCUAGGGGAGGGAGCCGGUCGGCGGCGGCGCGCUAGGAAAGGGAGUCGGUGUGGAUCCAGGGUGCUGCUGCGAUGAAAGGCAUGCGGUGGUGGUGUAGAACGGCCUACAGUGAUGGCGUCGAACGGCCAUGGUGGCAGUAGGGUAGGAGGGCCUCGCCGGUGAGCAGGCCGGUGGCGUGGUGGUGCUUGGCAGGCGGAGUAUGGGCGGUCGUCGGUUAGGGGGCGUGGGGCGGUGCAUGGCCGGGAGGUGGGGGUGGUGUGUUGCCAGGAGGUGGGGCGGUGCNNNNNNNNNNNNNNNNNNNNNNNNNNNNNNNNNNNNNNNNNNNNNNNNNNNNNNNNNNNNNNNNNNNNNNNNNNNNNNNNNNNNNNNNNNNNNNNNNNNNNNNNNNNNNNNNNNNNNNNNNNNNNNNNNNNNNNNNNNNNNNNNNNNNNNNNNNNNNNNNNNNNNNNNNNNNNNNNNNNNNNNNNNNNNNNNNNNNNNNNNNNNNNNNNNNNNNNNNNNNNNNNNNNNNNNNNNNNNNNNNNNNNNNNNNNNNNNNNNNNNNNNNNNNNNNNNNNNNNNNNNNNNNNNNNNNNNNNNNNNNNNNNNNNNNNNNNNNNNNNNNNCGGCACCGUGAAGAAGGUGGGGCGGGGCGGCGCUGGGAAGAAGGUGAGGUGCGGGGUGGCGCCAGGAAGAAGGUGGGGUGGGGCGGCCGCCGGGAUCCAGCCGGGGAGAAGGUGGGAGCGAGGCAUCACCGGGGUCCAGAUAGGGGAGAAGGCGGGGGGCUGGCCAUCGCCGGGAUCUAGCCGGAGACGAGAGAGUGGGUGGGCUGGGUUUUCUUUUUUUUUCCUUCACGCCCCUUAUAGGCCGAGGGGUAACAGAAUAAUAUUCUGUUACUAGUAACAGAAUAGUCCUAUCCUAUAUAUAUAUAUACAUACAUCUGGGCUAUUCUGUUACGCGUAACAGAAUAUUAUUCUGUUACCCUUUCUGAACUGACGUGGUUCACAGUUUGGACUGACAUGGUUUUCCACCUCAACUAAUGUUCCUGCAUGCACAACGGACGGAAACAGGGGAUGCAACGUGGAGCUUCCGGUCAUUCUCCGACGCAAUGCUGCAGGCCAUUCAUUGCUAGAGGAGACAUGUAAGGGGUUCCGCACGUGCGCGCGCUCAGCUGGAUGUGUUUUGCGAUCUGUAGUCACCGGAGGUGAUGGCGUGGGCAUUUUGGCGGCGGAUGUGUUUUGGGCGUUGGUCUUUACUGUGGUGUUCAUGGGCCUCAAUUUACGUCGUGUUUGUUGUUUUUUAUGUGAGAAUUAUCGGUAUGUUAGAGUUUUUGGAGUUUAAUUUCAUCUGUAAUUUAUGAUUACAAGUUUUGGUGUUCUUGCCACGCCCGCCAUGGAAAUAUGUUCUUCUUUUUCUGUUGUUUUACUUUCAAAUUGUUGUUGCAGGGAGAGAUAUGAGGAUUGUAUGAAAAGAUUUGCAUUGUCAAUUUUGCUUCUUUGAGUUAUUUCUACCCCGGAUUCCCAUGUUAUUUUGUCGUUGGCGGAGGUGGUGUAUGGCGGCUGACUGUAUGCCGUGAUUUCUUGUAAUCUGGUCAAACUGUGUAAUUAAGUUGCGUGUUUUCAGUGUUGUUUGAAUUGCUGUCGUAUGUGUAGUUGGACUGCUGCGUGUCAAAGUUGUAUUACUAUGUGUUGACAUCGGGACUAGCUUCGUACCAUAGCUCUGCACUUUGAUUAUAAAGCCCGAGCCCUCUGUCACUUUCAUUCUAUGAGCUGCAACCAAAGAAAAGCAAGAUGGAUCCUGAGCUGGGAGAGGUCACAGAGGAGGAGGGGGACGCCAUAAAUGUGAGGGCUGCAGUAGUGGAGCACAGGAGGAGGAGGCGCAGGCGCAGGCAAAUGGCGCGACAUGCUGCCGAGGAGGAACUGGAGGCAGAGUUCAACAGACGCCUUGUGCACGAGGUGAUGGAUACUUGCAACUCCAAUGAAUUGGAUCUUCUUUUCCCAAAGGGCAGGGGAAGGAACCAUAUUCAGAUCAUUAGUUGGGCUAGGGCGAGAGCAGCCACGGCUCCACAUCCAUCCACCAGGGCCAAAUGGCGUCGUUUCUUUUAUCGUUAUGACUAAAGUAGUGAAUAUUAUGUUUUUAAGAUUUUUGUUGUGAUGGAGCAGAUUUUUGAAUGACUAAAUGAAAUCAACUGUUUUGUCUCUGAAUGUGUUGUUUUGUCUGCAUAUGUUUGACAUGUGCACUUUUGAACUGCUUGUUUAUCUGAAGUUGAACUGAUUUGCGGUCAAAUGUUGCAUGGCUUGUGUAAUAACUAUUUCCUACCAACUGGCUGCCCACCUGCCUAUUUAUUAUUUUUUUAAUCUAUGAGUCUCCCUGUCUAUAAACUCUAUCCAUCUAUGUGUGGUGUGUGGCCAAGUCUCCCCCUCCUUUUUCUUCCUUCUUCCAGAACCAGAUCUAUGUUCCUCCCUCUUCUCUUCAUUGCUUUUAUACCAGUUCCUGUGUGUUCCAUGGAGGAUUGUUCAUGCGAAUGCCUAGCAAAGAUGUCGCGCAUAGCUGACGGCUAUGUGUACGAAUCUGGUUUGGAGCUCACCCAGACCCAGCGACGUGGGCAACUUUCUUGUCUGUUAUACAACAACCAUGGGUUUCGUACACCCUAUGUUUGUCGCCUGACGGUUGGUGACUUGAAGGAAUCAUGGGUAUGUGUUUCUAUUCGUUUUUUUUUCUACUUUUUUGUUGGUCUCUGUUUGAAUCCCAUGGACUGAAUCUGCAGUUUAGUCUUAUGAAUAGUUUGUCUAUAUUUUUUUAUUUGGUUUUGUCAGAAUUUAACAGUAGGGAUUUCUGUGUGUAUUUGUUCAUUACUUAACGGUAUUUUAUCCAUUUUUGUAUAAUCCUUGAUCUAUUUUUUGUCAGAUGUUUUUACUGUAUGUGUAUUGAUAUGUAUAUUUCUUCAGUUUAGUCAGUUCACAUGUCUAGUUAGUUUUGUGUUAUUGUUUUGGUUCAGAUUUUUUCCAUUUUAGUUUGUUAUGCAAAUCGUUCCUAUAUCUGUAUAAAUCAGUUAUGUCAGGUGUUCAAUUUGUUUUGUACUCCCACGCCCAUUUGCAGAAAAUGUCACCUAGGAUCAGGAUUGUUGCUCCUAGUUCUGGUGUUCUGAAGAUGGAGACUUCAAACAAAAAUGGGUAUCAGUUGAUGGAUGUUGCCUACCACAUCGACUUUGAUGGUUGCAUCAACCUAACUACUAGGUGGAAGGAGUUUGUGGCAGAGUCUAUAUUUGAGGAUGGUGAUGUGGUUAUGGUUAUGUUCUCCAGAGAAGAUGACUCUUUGACGUUCAAAAUUUAUGUGUUGUAGGUUUAAAUGUGGCAAAUGACGCCGGUUGUGAGAUUUGUGUGUGGUUGAUUAUGUUGCAGUAUUUUUUCUUUUAAAACAUUUGCAUGUGACAUGGUUGAAUUGUAUGGUUUGGAACAAGUUAUGUAAUGCUUUUCCUAUUGUUUUGCUCAAGUAUAACUGUUUUAUUUAUAUAUUAUUUAUAUUAGUACUGGAACAAUUUCUAUAGUUGAACUGAUGGGUAUCCUUUGUUUUGACUGGUUUAUUUUUAUGUUCAUAACUUGCAGAUGGUGCUAUACGGUGAUGUUGUUUUUAGAAUUCCUUUUUGGGUAUUGAGUUUGCUGAACUUACAUUCUGUUAAUGAUAGUACUGAACUAUUUUUAGGUUGUCAAUUACCAAUCAAAUUUGUUUGUUGUAUAACAUUUUUCUUACUUUUUUACAUGAAUUGUGGAGCACAUUUUUUCUUUUUUAUAGUUGAAUAAUGAUAGUUUUAGUAUUUUUUAAAAUUUAAAAAAAAUCUUUGCUGCACAGUACUAUUUUUUUGUACUUGAACCUUAUGAAUUGUAGUAGUUGAACUUUUUAUAAAUUCGUUUAUGAAAUUUUUAUUUACAAUCUUCUAUGUUUAAUUUUUAUUUACAAUCUUCUAUGUUUAAUUUUCUUUCAUGUAGAUUGAUCAGGAUGAGGCUGCUGGCACCGACAGUAGGGCUGAUGAUGGUACUAAGGCUAAUGGUUCUGAUCACCAUCCGAAUGAUGUUGGCUUGCAGCACCCUGUUGUUGAUGUGAGUCAGUCCUCAUUGUUUGUAUGUUUUUACUAUGUUGUUCUGUUGACAGUAUUGUAGUUGAACUUCCUGAUCUACAUCUGUUUAUUAAUUUUUCUUUUCAUGCAGGAGACCAGUCAUAAUGUUGAGGCUGCUGUUGACCAUGGAGUUAAUGAUCCAUCUACUGAUAAGUGCAAGGUUAUUUUUAUUUUUAUUGUGUUUAUUCAUAUUUUCUUGAACUUUCAUGCGCACCAAUGUGUCUUGCUUGUUCAUUUUUCUAUCCCACACCGUUUAGAGUUUGCAAGUGGUACCUACCUUUUUUGUUACUGUUGUUUAAUUCCUUGUGUUUAUUGUUGCUAACAAUAGCAUUGUUUUUUGCCUCAUUACAUUUGAAUUAGGGUCCUCUUGUUGGCGAUGAGCCUUGUUUGCCCGUUGGUGAUGUUACUUUGAAUGUUAGUAGCAGCAAGAUCGAUGAUGUUGCUGUGAAUGCUUCUAAGGUUUGUUUUUCUGUGCACCUCUUGGUAACUUAUUUUUUGUUGUUAGUUUUGCUCAUAUUAUUCACUUUUUCUGAAUUUUUAUUUUCGUCAGAUUACUGAUGUUGAGCGUGAGGUUGUCCUUAGCAGUGGAGAUGAUGCUCGUGGUGUUCCAUCGAGUAGUGGGCGCAAUUUUGGUACCAAAGUUGCUGAUGAGGAUGCUUGUGCUGCCAGCAUACUUGAUGCUAAAUCGCCUGGUGUUGGUAUUGCUGGGAAUGAAAAAGUUUCUGAUUGUGAAGAUUUGCCACUGGAGAAUUUCCCGCCUGGAGGUCUUGGUUACGGUGAUGCAUAGCAAGAUGCUUCUAGCAUGGAGGAGGUGCCAUCCGAGGAUGAUGAUUUACUUCUGUCAAUUUCUUCUGGCCCCUUGACGCAGGAGGCGCUCUUGUCAUCCCAGGAUUUUCUUUCUACAGACCUUGAAAGCGCAGCAAUAUUGGUGUCCUCUCAAGAUGUCCCAUCGUCGAACCCUGAAACUGGAGGCAUAAUGGUCUCAUCAGAGGAACUAUCGUCGUCGUCAAACCCUGAUAGUCCAAGUAAGGACUUGUAAAUGAGGCGUACUUCUCAAUUUUGGCAUUUUGGACAUGUUCUCUUGUAGUGGUUGAACUUAUUAUUAUUCUUCUUUUUCUGCAAGCAGAAAGUGCUAAUGUUGUUAAGGUUGAUAAGUUUUUCUUCGCUGUUACGAGGUUGCGCACGAACUGUACGAAAUGGUUAAGUUUGGGAUUUUGCCCGUACCAUUUUUGUCUCUUUUUCUUUCUCUCGUUGUUGUUGCAGUAGUUUUAAUUCAUGUAAUCUUCUGUGUUUUUCUAGUCACAAGCCGAUGUUUCAAAAUAAAGAAUGUGAUGCCAGUGUUGGUUCUAUUGCUAAAGCGUUUGUCCCCACUGGCAUGCCCAACUCAGACAGUGCUGACGUUGUUUUAUAUUCUCUAAGUCAGAAGUACCGAGACACUGACAAGUUGAUAGUUCCCAGAUGGGUGGUCACUAUUUUGCUUUUUGUAAAUAGGAGGAUAACUUGUUUUGCCAAUUUUCUAACUAUUUGUUGUUCUUUUUGUACAACAGACCAAGAUCCAUGAUGGAAAUAUUGAUUCCAAUGCCCUGUUCAAGAAUUCAUCUGAUUAACCAGUUAACUUGCCGAUUAAUCCCUACUCGCAGGGUCACCGAGUAGCCUAUAAACCGAUAAAUCAUCCGAUUAAUUGAUUAAGUGGCCGAUUAACUUGACGAUUAGCCGAUUAAUCCCCUACUCACUAGCCAACCGAGCAGCUACCAGUUAACAAUUUCCUCAACAAUGUUCCAAUGUGCUAAAUUGGUUCACGAGAUCAGGUGCUGAUGGUUUUGACCAAGUAGGUGAACUUGGACUUUUUGUACUCACGAACUAGAACUGUCAUGUUUUCUUGCAGGUUUGGGAGGUGGGGGAAUGAACUUGAUUAGCCUGCUUUUACACCUGUACUUAUGAAUGAUGUGUGCUUCUUUUUUUAAAGGUGGACUUAUUGUCACACGGAAAUUGAACUGAUAUGUUUGUUCCUCAAUUUUGGGCGGUGGAUAUAAACUCUUAUGAUUAUCUGAUUUUUGUUUGUACUUCUGAAUUUCAAUUUCCCUCUUUUAUUUUAUUGUUUGGAGGCUGAAUUUUUGUUUCAUUAUGAUUUGUUAAAUUCAUUUUUCCUCUAUGAUUUUUUUUCCAGCUUCUUUUCCCUACCUUUGAUCCGCCGUCAUUUGCGGCUACCAUGAAGCCUAGCGAAGUAUCUGGGCAUUGGUGCUUGAUUGUUCUGAAUUUGAGGUUCUGUCAUUUCGAGUGUCUUGAUUCACUCCGUGAUGAAACCUGGGGUGAUGCAGUUAGAUUCUUAAGGAAUAUGACAACUAAUAUAACGAAGCUUUGGAGGGAGUCGAGUGUAGACAUGGCCAAACCAUUCUCGCCGGUGCAUAUUGAUGGUUUCUUUUGCGAGUUUGUGUGGGUGCCGCAGCAGGAAAACACGUGAGUAUCCGUUUUUAAUGAUUUUUGUUGGUUGUUUUUAUUGCUGGGAGGAUGUUGUUCCUGUAUUUUUGGAUUUGUGAUGUACCAUUUUGUUUUUCUUUUGUUUACAGACAUGAUUGUGGAUUCUUUAUGCUACAAAACUGCAAGACCUAUCAUUGCUGGGAGGAUGGUGUAAUUGAAAUGGUCGAUCAUAGCCCUGAAGACAUUCUUAACAUUAGGAAGACUUUGCUGUAUACCUGCGCAACUAGCGAUGUGUUUGAUGUUGACUUUCGGGGUUUGUUUGGCAUUGAACCCUGUACGUGUGCAUGGCCUUUUGUAAUUUUUUGCAGCUUGUACUUCUCUAUUAGUACUGUCAUGAAUUAUGUAUUUGAACUUAUCCUUUGUGCGGUCUUCUUCUUUUUUUGUUUUUGUUUUUUUAGGUGAGUGGCUGGAUCAUGGUGAGCAUGACUACAGGUUCUUUGGCAGCCAGUUCUCGGAGCUCGAGCGUGUAGCUAUUGAUCUUAGCCAGGGGCGUCCUCCCGAAAAGACAAGAUCUGCUGUUGUGAAGGGGCGGUUGGGAGCUCUGAGAGGUUCUACGGCUACUUGUGCAGAGAGCCCUACUACACCCAAGAAUCCCAUUAUGGAAUUGAUAGACAACGAUAAUGAUGUGUUUGACAAGAUUGCUGGCGUGGGAAGAGUCACGAGGAGCGCUGCUGCCAAAAGUUUAUCUCCCCUUGCUGGAAUAGUGGCUCGUAGAGCUGGUGGUGCUAGGAAAGAUCCUGCUUUGGAUUCUUGCAAUGUUGUAAGCACGAAGCGCGCACCCAGAGCUCCUAUGAAGUUUUGCUCCCCUGUGCAGCAGCGUCACCCUCAUAAAUUCCCUCACCUGGACAAGGCUCGCAGGUUGUAUAAUCUGUUGCUUAGUGAUGAAUGGCGUGAGAAGUAUGCCGAGUGAGUAUCUCUCAUUAUUUUUCCUCUUCUUUUUCUUCUGUUGUUUGUAACUGCUAGAUAAAUAUGACCUAAAUUGUUCCUUUUAUACAACUUGAACUGCUAUGAAUGCCUUAUCUUGCUUCUCCUUCUUUUUGUUCUUGUGUGUGCUGCAGGAAUACAUUCUCAAUGAUACCUCGGCCUGAUGAAAGCGUAACUAGCUUCAUUGGGAAUCGCAUCUGGGAAGUUUUUUCACCUGGGCAAAUGAUGGAGGGUGAUGUAAUGGACUUCCUCAUUGAUGACUAGAAGCAAGAUCCUGAGAGAAAUGCUGAUUUCGCAUCUGGGAAAAGGGUAUUGCUGAGUCCAUAUUUCAUCACGGUAAUCAAUCAGAUCGGUUUCUUUCUGUUGAACAAGACUGCCUAUUGUUUUUACGAGUUUCAAUAAUACUUUCUUGUUGAUCCUUUUCCGUGUCUAUUUCUUUUUUGGCUUUUUUGUAGGUUGUGCUUGACUGUACGUUUUACGGUGAUGAAAAUAAAGUGUUUACUGUGGAGAGUGCAGCGAGAGAUUUCAAGAGCUAUGUUAAAGAGAAGGAAGACUUGCUCAGUGCCGACCUUGUGAGAUCUACUAGCUGAUUUUUGGUUUUAUUUGUUUGUUGUGAUGCUGGUUUUUAUUUUGAAUAUUUAACAUCUCUUUUUUGGUCAUUUGUUUUUAGAUCAUGAUGCCUCUAUUCAAGCCUAUGAUUUUAGGAAAGGAUAAGAAAGUGAACCACUAUUCCUUAUAUGUCAUGAAUCGGUACCGAAGUAGCAUUGACAUCCUUGACUCUUUACCUUAUCCAAAGAACCACCAUCCUUCAAAGAACACCUAUCAUAAAGACUGCGAGAAGAUUGUGAGUGACAUUUAUUAUCUGUACUGGAUUAAUUUUUCUGCAUCUUUGUUUCUGCUUUUUCUAAGACCUACAAAUGUGUUUUUUUUUACAAAUUUCUAGAUUGGUCAAAGUAAUGAAGGUUGUGUAUGGUGAUGCUCAGUACAAUGCGAGCAAGCAGCCCAAUUGGGAGCUGUUUGCAAAGAAACCAACGUUUGUCAAGGUUCCACUUCAAGGGCAAAAUGAAUGUGGCCAUUAUACUCUGAAGUAUGUGGGAUCCUAUGAUGGUGAAAAGAUCAUUGAGAACAUUCGAGAUAAUGACGUGGGUUCUAGUUGAGCUUUUCACUUUCUGUUUUUGGCUUAUUGUGUAUCUUUUUUUAUGUGUCGUGAUUUUUGAUAAUUUGUUUUAUUGUUUUGUAGCCAUGUAUUGUUGAUUGGAACGCUGAUGAUCUGUAUAGAGUUGUGUUCAACCGGAAUAGCCAGCUUGUGGUGACGGAGCUUCCCAAGGAGGUUCAGGCUUUCGCUCCUGAUGCAUAGGAGAAAUGGUCAUUGAGGGAGUCCCGGAUUAGGGGGUGCUCGGAUAGCCGAACUAUCAUCGUUGGCUGGACUCCUGGACUAUGAAGAUACAAGAUUGAAGACUUCGUCCUGUGUCCGGAUGGGACUUUCCUUGGCGUGGAAGGCAAGCUUGGCGAUACGAAUAUGUUGAUCUCCUACCAUUGUAACCGACUCCGUGUAACCCUAACCCUCUCCGGUGUCUAUAUAAACCAGAGGGUUUUUAGUCCGUAGGACGAACAACAAUCAUACCAUAGGCUAGCUUCUAGGGUUUAGCCUCUUUGAUCUCGUGGUAGAUCUACUCUUGUACUACCCAUAUCAUCAAUAUUAAUCAAGUAGGAGUAGGGUUUUACCUCCAUCGAGAGGGCCCGAACCUGGGUAAAAACAUCGUGUCCCUUGUCUCCUGUUACCAUCCGCCUAGACGCAUAGUUCGGGACCCCCUACCCGAGAUCCGCCGGUUUUGACACCGACAUUGGUGCUUUCAUUGAGAGUUCCUCUAUGUCGUCGCCAUCAGGAAGGAUGCCUCGUCCCGUCUUUAAAGACGACACCGUUGCUAAAGGAGCUUUGGCCAUCGGCCAAACUCUCCGGCUAGGCGGUUUUCUUAUGACCGCCUUUCGGCCGCCGCGCCGAUGAUGACUUCUCGGGUCAUCAAAAGCAAUCUUCACGUCAACUCGGAACUCGCCGAGGAGUUAGAUCCGAUGGAGCUCUCUUCCUUAAACGAGCUCUUGGAUCGCAUCGCCGCCCUGGGAGUCGCUACAGACUACGACCAGAUUGGGCCUAAAACCGAUCUAAGAGAGAUUAACUCUCCCCAGGCUACCCACCACAUUGCUGUGGUAGAGGAACAAUAUGGCGACCCUUCUUCUAUCCUAAGGACUAGCUAUGUCCAGAUUCAUGACCCCUCCAUGCCGGAUUCCCGCGGAGGGGAGAACACCACUCAAGCCCUGAACUUAAAGUCAGGCAGCGGGCUAGAUUCAUCGAACAACGUCCAAGAACCCAAGCUUCCAAGUUCGGAAACUUCUUGGCCCCUGAGUCUUAGAUCGGACGGGUUCGGAAUUUAACUCCACCCUCCCACCCAAACAUAAGCGAUCUAUCCCAAAUCCGGCAAGAGCCCGCUGAAAUAGUACAUCAUUACUGGGCCAGAUUCCUCCUGGUCAUGAACAGGAUAAAGGACUACCGUGAAGAGGACACAAUUUCAUUCUUCUGCGUUAAUUGCAUGGACGAAGGAAUCCUCAACGCCGUAAUUCAUCGCGAAAUUACAUGCUUUGCUGUUUUGGCGUCCAUAGUACAAAACUAUUGUGCGAUGGAGAGCGCCUGGAAAACUGAAAUCAAAUUUUGGGAUAAUCCGGCCUUGAACACAACCCUAGUCCAAAGUAAAAGGGUGCAUCAUUACCAGGCACCUGGGUUAAAUACCAAAAAGCAAAAACCCUCUAAAGGGCAUGGAACCGUACUGGGGGAUGGCUCAAUGGACCCUGCAAAAUUCAUAGUACAGAGGGCGCCACUCCAACUCAUAACCUUAGAGCAUGUUGGAUACUACGGCAGGUGGCCAAAAGUGGCGAAGAGCUUCUAGCUCCAGAGCACCAGCCCAGCAAUACCAGUACGGUAUUAACAGUCUUCGAAACUUUUGCAUCAAAUAAUAUGCGGAAACAAACACUCCGCAGCCUUGCCGAAGUCCACCAGGUAGCAACAAUAAAUCCAUGGAGUGACACGGCUAUUACCUUUAACGGCAGUGAUGAACCUAAAUUCCGAACAGCCCGAGCACCAGCCGCAUUGGUCCUCAGUCCAAUAGUGGACGACUUUCGCCUUACCAAGGUGCUCAUGGAUGGCGGCAGCGGAUUAAACCUCAUUUACGAGGAAACCCUUCGAGGAAAUAGACUGGAGCCGCAUUGAGCGAAGCAGCAUAACCUUUAGAGGAAUAAUCCCCAGUCGGGAAGCAUGCUGUACAGGAAAAAUCACACUGGAUGUGGUCUUCGGCACGCUGGAUAAUUACAGGUCCGAGGAGGUCACAUUCCAAGUGGCCCCAUUCAGCAGCGGAUACCAUGCUCUAUUAGGGCAAGAGGCAUUCACAAUUUUUCAAGCUAUACCCCAUUAUGGGUACAUGAAGCUCAAAAUGCCCGGACCCAACGGAAUCAUCACUCUUGCUAGUGACCCGGACAUAGCACUCCGCGCCGAAAAUAAAACAGCUGCACUCGCCCUUGAGGCACUAUCCGAAGCCCUAGCAGCCGAGGAACUCACUGCGCUGCGCUCCACGGCGAACAGGGACGAUGUGAUACUCGAUAAGAGAUCCAAGUCCACCUCUUUUAAACCGGCGGACGAAAUAGUCAAAUUCCAAGUCCAUCCAACGGACCCUACAAAAACAGCCUCCAUCGGGGCACAAUUAAACCCUGAUGUAGACGCCGCACUACAAGAAUUCCUACGCGAAAAUUGGGACAUCUUUGCCUGGCACCCUUCAGACACGCCAGGAAUCCCACGCCGGCUGGCCGAGCACAGCCUAAAUAUCCUAAAAGGAUUCAAGCCAGUCAAACAAGCUCUUCGGUGUUUCUCCGAACCCAAGAGACAGGCCAUGGGAGAGGAGCUAGCCAAACUAUUGGUGGCCGAAUUCAUUAGAGAUAUAAAACAUCCGGACUGGCUAGCAAACCUGGUAAUGGUACCAAAGAAGGAAAAAUCAUGGCGCCUGUGUGUUGAUUUCAAGGACCUUAACAAGGCUUGCCCAAAGUAUCCCUUCCCCCUUCCCCGCAUCGAUCAAAUUAUCGAUGCUACCGCAGGACACGAUUCAUUGUGCUUCCUCGACGCAUACUCCGGCUACCACCAAAUUCAGAUGGCAGAGCCAGACCAAGCCGCAACGGCAUUCAUCACUCCACACGACCCAUUCUGCUUCAACACAAUGCCCUUCGGGCUCAAAAAUGCCGGCGCAACAUAUCAGCGCAUGAUUCAGACAUGUCUGGCAAACCAGAUCGACAAAACAGUGGAGGCAUACGUAGAUGAUGUGGUCGUCAAAUCCAAGCAUGUCGAAACUCUAGUAGACGACUUGAGGCUCACAUUCGACAAUCUCCGAGCAUAUGACAUUAAGCUCAACCCAGAAAAAUGCGUUUUCAGCAUACCAGUCGGAAAGCUCUUGGGCUUCAUUGUAUCCGGUAGAGGAAUUGAAGCAAACCCAGCCAAGAUCCGAGCUCUGUCACAAUUGGAUAUCCCAAAAGACCUCAAACAAAUACAAAAAUUGACUGGAUGCGUGGCGGCUCUAAGCCGCUUUAUCUCCCUCUUAGGAGAAAAGGCAUUACCCCUUUAUCGCCUCCUGCGGCACACCGAACACUUCGAGUGGACGGAUGCCGCCACAGCCGGACUCGAAGAAAUCAAAGCCAUAUUGGCAACAAAUCUGGUCCUGUCCGCGCCCAACAUGGGCGAACCAAUGCUAUUAUACAUCACGGCAACCCAUCAAGUUGUAAGCGCGGUGCUCGUUGUCGAACAAGAAACGUACGGACACAAGUUCCCUCUCCAAAAACCAGUUUACUACGUGUCCACUGUCCUAACUCCAUGCAAGUCACGAUACCCGCAUUAUCAAAAGAUAGCAUACGCAGUGUUCAUGGCAUCCCAGAAGCUGCGACACUACUUCCAAGAGUGUUUGAUAACAGUAGCCUCCAAAGUACCUCUUAAUGACAUUAUAAACAACCGCGACGCAACGGGCCGGAUUGCCAAAUGGGCCAUCGAGCUCCUCCCGUUCGACAUAACCUACAAGCCACGGCGAGCUAUUAAGUCGCAAGUUUUGGCCGACUUCGUCGCCGAAUGGACCGAAGCCGAACUCCCUAAAGAGCACGGCGCAUAUUCCAACUGGAUCAUGCACUUUGACGACUCCAAAAUGUUGGCUGACCUAGGGGCUGGCGUCGUUCUGACGUCCCCAACUGGAGAUACAGUCCAAUACGUACUUCAAAUAAUGUACACGGACUCCAACAAUGCAUCUGAAUAUGAAGCCCUUCUACAUGGUCUCCAGAUGGCAGUCUCCAUGGGCAUUCAGUGCCUAGAGGUCCGCGGGGAUUCAAACCUCGCGAUAUCCCAAAUAAAUGGAGACUUUGAUGCCAAGGAUACGAAAAUGGCAGCUUAUCGCAACGUCGUCCUAAAAAUGUCAGCUCGGUUUGAGGGGCUCAAAUUUCACCAUAUAGCCCAGGAGAACAACCAGGCAGCAGACGUGUUGGCACGCAUUGGCGCAAAGCGCGAUGCCGCCCCUCCCAACAUCUUCCUAGAGAGGCUUUUCAAGCCAUCCGUAUUAUGGGAGGGAGAGUCCGGAAAUAACAUCCCGGACCCAACCACACUACCCCACACCGAACAUUCUGACAUAGUUGGUGGUUCUGCCAACGAAAUAACACCGUCAGCCCACACAAUAAUGGCAGUCAUUGCCCCAUGGACAGAACCAUUCCUAGCCUACUAAAUAGGCAGGAACUUCCCGAGGACCAAAACGAGGCCCGCUGCAUAGUGCGGCGAUCUAAAGCCUAAAGGUCCAUGAGGGAGAGCUUUAUAAGAAAAGCACAACCGGAGUCCUUCAAAGGUGUAUCUCCGAAGAGGAAGGGCGGAAUAUUCUGGCUGAAAUUCAUGCCGGACUCGGCGGGCACCACGCCGCAGCCCGGGCCCUUGUAGGCAAGGCCUUCCGUACAGGAUUUUAUUGGCCGACGGCCCGGGCAGAUGCUCAGGACUUGGUCCAACGAUGCGUUGGAUGCCAGCUCUUUGCUAAACAAAGCCACAUGCCACCUACCGCCCUCCAAACUAUACCCAUCACCUGGUCGUUCGCGGUCUGGGGGCUUGAUAUGGUUGGACCCCUUAAAGGAGGAACCCACAAGCAAAAAUACCAAUUGGUCAUGGUGGAUAAAUUCACCAUAUGGAUAGACGCAAAGCCUGUUAAGACGGCCGAAUCUAGACCGGUGAUAGACUUCAUAUCAGGGGUGGUACACCAUUACGGCGUCCCCCAUAGCAUCAUCACUGAUAAUGGCACGAACUUCACGGCCGACGAGGUCAAACUCUGGUGCAAAAACAUGGGCAUCAAGCUCGACUACGCUUCAGUCUAUCACCCUCAAACUAAUGGUCAAGUCGAGCGAGCAAACGGUCUAAUCAUGAGCGGCAUUAAACCCAGACUAGUGCGAUCCCUCAAGGAAUCUAAUACGCAUUGGGUAGAGGAGCUCGACUCCGUACUCUGGGGGCUGCGGACCACGCCGAAUCGCACUACCGGAUUCACACCAUUUUUUAUGGUGUACGGCGCAGAGGCAGUUUUGCCCGGCGACAUAAUUCAUGACUCACCUCCCGUGCGCAUGUACGAAGAAAGAGAAGCCGAGCUCGAUCGGCAGGACAGUUUGGACACCUUGGAGGAGGAGCGCGACGUGGCAAAAGCCCGUUCUGCAUUCUAUCAACAGCAGGCUCGAAGAUACCAAAGCAGAGAAGUACAGGCCAAAGCUUACAAUGUUGGUGAAUUAGUUCUAUGCCUGCCGGACAAGAAAAAGGACAAACUCAAGCCCAAAUGGGAGGGUCCCUUCAUCAUCGACCAAGUCCUGACCGGCGGAGCGUACCGUCUGUGGAACACAUCGGAUAACCGACUUGAGCUGAACCCAUGGAACGCAGCCCGUCUCCGAAGAUUCUAUGCCUAGCGCCGGACUCUGAGUUCGUCUCCUUCCUCCGUCUAUAUUUUGUACUUUAACUGUCUUUUAUUUCUCUCCUUCUCCCUCCUUUUUUCUGAAGCCGUUGGAGGCUCGUUUGUGCACUGUUCGCACACACUUGACGCGUUAUCUGCGCUCAGUAUACCUGGGGGCUUCUUUAACAGAAGCUUAUUUAUACGGGCUUUAUGCCCAACAGAUGUGUCACACUUCCGCAUGUACCUUUUAUUCACCAUUAUAUGCAUCGAUAUGACUUAAGUUUUGGCCAAGCUGGGUUGCCUGGCUCCUGUGCUUACCCCUACGUUCCCGAUUGUUCGGCUAGGUGGUAAAGGGAGCACCUCUGCGAUUGUUACCUCCGGGUCAGCCGGAUGUGUACCUCAGACUGGGUGAAGCCGAAAGCUAGCGUUCUUAAGGGAAUAUUCGGUCGGUGAACUAAAAGACGAUUUCUUACUUAUUCAUUUAUCUGCCCCCAGAUGUUUUUCUGCUUUUUUCGCAGUCCGGACAUGCACUUUAGGGCAUGCCUCCCAGGAAAAGGAACCCCUAACGGAACUAUUCUCCCUGGAAGAUGUUUCUUAAUAACCAUGUAAUAUAACAUAACUAGUUGGCACUUGUCUGAUAAAGCACUCAUGACCCCUACGCCUGGUCUCCACGCAUGCCCCGGUUCUUACAUAACCGCGAGGGUAUUCGAACACACUCCGGACUGUCGGGUCCCGAGGUUGAAGCGAAAAGGUCCGCUACGACAAACGAUCUACAAUCCGGAUAGAAGGCAUUCUACAUGUCAUUUUAAAUUACAUAGUCAAAUUGACUGAUUGUAUUCCUCUUCAAUACCAUCUAAUAAGUUGUCUAGUUUACAGUCCCGCUGGGAAUACUUUGCGGCCAACUCUACUGGGCCGUACAUUAAGCUCACAGGGAUCUCCUUCCCAUCGGGCCCCACAGGUCUGACCUCGGCCAUGUGGUUUGGGUCAGCCUUCGUGUACCGCGUCUUCACCAUGGCCCAGGCCUCCCUGGUGCCUCGACGGCAGGCCGAUAUCUUCCAUAGCCGGAAGCGCCGCCAUGCUCCCUGAAGCCUCUCUGCAAGCUCUCCAAGGCCUUCGAGUAGGGAGAUGGAUGGCUACAAGGCCUGGGCGAUGCCUCUCAUCACCUGCCGAACUCGUUCAUGCAGUUGCAGAAGCUCGGGAAGUAGGUCACCCAUUGAACAGGCCAUUUCCUCUACUGGACGACCUAUGAGCAUACCUACAGACAUAUUUCUGUUAGUCGACUUCCUCGCCGAACUCUUCUUUUCAAAAGUUCGCUCAAACACUUACUAUAAAUGCCGCUAUGAAGCCGCCGAUUCUCCUUAACGGAGUCAGACAGCUGGGCUCGAACAUCCUUUAGUUCCUCACCCAGCUGGGUGUUGGCAUCUUGGAUAUUAUUUUUCUCUUGCCUCACCCUUGUAAGCACAUUCUCACCGGCCUUUAACCGGCACAGGAGCUAUUGCUUGUCCGGAUCUAGUCUGGCGCCAUCUGCAAUAUUACUGUCAGGCUUAUACACACGCCGCACUUCACAAACUACUUAUAUUUCGAAGUAUAUAUCAGCAGAGGGGGUCUCUGUGGCCCCCCUUGUGGCGGCUAGUGCGGCCUCAAGCUGGUCCUUGCACUCUUCAAGCUCCUGAGACAGUCGGGUAUUCUUUUCCGUAAGAUCCUACAUAACAAAUGAUCCUUAAAUCAGUUCUCCUAACUAUUUUAAGUCUCGAGGGCUACUGGCAUAUAUACUGUCAAAUCUCCUCACCCGUAUGUCCUUUACAUACUGCUCCGUGGCUCUGGCUUGACCAUCUUGAGCGGCAUGGAGGUGCGCGUCUCCCGAAUUGAAGGCAUUCAAUGCCUCUUGGGAGAAACAUGCAUCACGAAGAACUGUUCGGCGGCGCCUGUGAUUCAUGGCACUCUCCAGCUCGGAGUUGGUGGCGGACAAUCUGUCGGCAUCCUCUGUCGGAGGAGCAUCUGACGCAUGCCUCGUGUUCACCUCCGCUUCCGGACCCGGCGUUGGAGCCUAGCUGGCGGAGGCUCGAUUGGCCAUCUCUCCGGACAUAGUCCGGCGAGCGCUCUUUUUCCUAGAAGGAGCACCAGUGUUAAUAUACCUUCCCGGAAUCAAUCCCGGGAAUAUGGUGACACGCCUUACCGCUGCGGUGGCGUUUCAAUCCGGACCGCACCUCUUUUUAGCCUGCGUGGCUGUGCUGCCCCUUGUUGGCUAGCCUCCGCGGGCUCGGCCUCCCGCCUCGAAGGCACCCCCUGCGAAACACCAUUGAUAUAUGGUGAUAAAUAAUAAGCACGGAUGGGUCAUUAUCAAAGUACUGGGGCUUCGGUCUCAGUUACCUGUGAGGCUGGAAGUAUUCCGGGGUAAUCGGCCGUAAUGGCAACCAAGGCAUUAUCGAUGCUUAGUUGGUGAAAUACCCCAUCAAUCAGCUCCACCAAUAUGUCCGGAUCCUUUCGGGAGGCUGGAUCGAGGAACCGUUCCAGAUCCUCGGGUUGCGGAGGCGGGCUGUUUAUAUCUUUUACGGCCUGGCGCAGUUCCUGCGCCGAAAUCACAAAAUGAGAUAUCUAACCAUGGGAGUACGGAUCGGAUGUGCAAAAAAGGAAAUGUCCGCUUACCCAGCUUCGAGGAUUGUUCAUAGAAAAUCCGUUCAAUGGACUGAUGCGGAGAAAAUCCUCCUCUUCCCCCUUGUACAGCGCGGACAAGAUCUUCACCAGAUCGGCGACCGAUCCCGGCCCCGUACGGCCGUGACAGGUGGCAUUGUCCUCCCCGUUGAAAUCCCACAUGGGGUGGCCCCUAUACUGGAGCGGCUUCACCCCUCGCAUAAUGCAGGUGUCCAUGACACCGAUCAUUGUCAGUCCGGAAUGAGCUAGCAACCUUAUUCGGCUCAUCAGGUAAAGGACGUCCCUGUCGUUUUCCCUCUGGGGGCUCCGUGGACGCCAACUUAGGCGUUUCUUCAAGGGAGCAUUACUGAACUCCGGGAGGCCGAUCUGAACGGGAUCCAGUAGCGGGGUGUCUUCUAUGUAAAACCAUUCCGAAGGCCAGUCUUCAGAUGCCUUCUUCGGGAUUCCAGAUAGAUAUCCGGUCCCGGCGAUGCGCCAUAGCUCGGCUCCUCCCACUUGAUAUAUUGACCCCUCAUGAGAACGGGGUACGAGGUAGAAUAAUCUCUUCCACAGCGCAAAAUGAGCCUCGACGCCCAAGAACAGUUCGCAAAGGGCCACGAAGCCCGCGAUGUGUAGAAUGGAGGCAGGCGUAAGGUGGUGCAGCUGGAGGCCGUAGAACUCCAGGAGCCCCCGGAGAAACGGAUGUAUUGGAAAUCUGAGUCCUCUUAUCACACAAGAGACAAAGCAUACCCGCUCUCCUUUGGAAGGAUCGGGGACGCUCUCCGCUUGCUUUCCGCCCUUAUAGGUGGCGAGUCCGGCUCGAACCGGAACCAUGAAGGCCGGGGGAAGAAAUCCCUUGGUUUGGAGCGUCACUAGCUUGCUAUGCGGGACUGAGCAUCUCUCCCAAUCCCCAGGCUGGGGGCUGGGAGCUUGAGAGGAGGAGCCGCGUCGACUGUCCAUGAUGGAAUGGAUUUUUUAUCAGAGGCGUUCCGAUGAAAGCUUGCAGAGGGGGGAUGGUGUGAUUCGGAUCUAGAUCCUCGUCUCUUUUUAUAGGCGGCUCAUUUGCGCAGCUAGGGGGAAAGUGUAAAAAUACCCUGGCUUUUCGCAUUCGUUCGACAUGUGGAAGAUGGCCAUUAUUGGGCGUGGAAGCCAAGGAGCGCAGCAUUUAUCAGAAGCCGGACACUAUUCGACAAGUAUAUGGAAUUUGGAGAAGAACCCGCCUUGCAAUGCCGAAGACAAUCUAUGCGCCGGACUCGUCGUCAUUGAAGCCUGGUUCGGGGGCUACUGAGGGAGUCCCGGAUUAGGGGGUGUCCGGAUAGCCGAACUAUCAUCGUUGGCUGGACUCCUGAACUAUGAAGAUACAAGAUUGAAGACUUCGUCCCGUGUCCGGAUGGGACUUUCCUUGGCGUGGAAGGCAAGCUGGGCGAUACGGAUAUGUAGAUCUCCUACCAUUGUAACCGACUCUGUGUAACCCUAACCCUCUCCGGUGUCUAUAUAAACUGGAGGGUUUUUAGUCCGUAGGACGAACAAUAAUCAUACCAUAGGCUAGCUUCUACGGUUUAGCCUCUUUGAUCUCGUGGUAGAUCUACUCUUGUACUACCCAUAUCAUCAAUAUUAAUCAAGCAGGAGUAGGGUUUUACCUCCAUCGAGAGGGCCCGAACCUGGGUAAAAACAUCGUGUCCCUUGUCUCCUGUUACCAUCCGCCUAGACACACAGUUCGGGACCCCCUACCCGAGAUCCGCCGGUUUUGACACCGACAGUCAUCAUUUGCGUAGUGAAUGGGAUAGUUGUGUGAUAUAUCUCUUGAAAGCAUUGUAGGCUCUAUUUGUAGUGUUUCAUGUCUUGUCGAGUACUAUGUAAUAACUAGUAUAUUUUGUGUUGUGCUUAAGUGUGGCACAAUGUUUAACAAACUUUUUUCCAUGAUGAUUGUGUGGUUGAAUAGUAGUUUCACUUGUGUAUGUUUCAUCAGGAAUUCGUUUUGGUUAAGUUUUAUUUUUUGUUCUGAAGACUUAUAUACUUGUUGAACUGAAAACACCUUUUUUCAAGUGUAUUACGAGUUGUUGCUGAGAAAGUGAGAUUUAUUUUAUUUUUAUCUGAUUCCAACCUAAGUUGGGCCUUUAUAGUUUCUGUACUCUCGUUUUCUUGUACUUAUGAUAUAGUUCUGUUAGUACUGAUUUGUAAUCUCAUUCAGCGUAAGGCUUUUAAAAUUUGGUGCCAAAUUUUUGUUUGAACUUCUUGAACUUUAGUAGUUGAACUUCAUAGUAAAAGUUAAAGCACUAGUUCAAAUUAUCUAUGUUUAAGAGAUAGCCCUAUUAAGUUCAAAACUAAUUCUUUCUCAAGGCAUUAAUUGGUAUCAUCAUAGCACUUAGCGAAUAAACUAAUAUGUACUGAGAUUUCAAUUUUGCUAGUACUUUGAUUAUUUAUUUAUUUAUUGUGUUGUUUGAAGCUAGUACGUCUUCUGUUGUGUUUCUUGUGAUUUUUCUCCUUGGUCGAACUGAUAUCUUUUUGAUUAGUUUUGGCCUUCUUUUUUCUAGGUUGUGGUUCUUCUCCUGGCAAUGUUUGGUAUAAUCAUAGCACUUGCCGUAUAGACUAAGUUGUACUGAGAUUUCAGUUGUAUUAUUACUGUUAUUCUUAGUGUGUCACUGUUUUAGGGAAUGCGAACUGAAGCUUCCCGUUCCUUUUUAUAUUUUGUAGAAUGAAUGUACUGUGUGUUCAAGUGUACCAGAACUUUCAGUCCUAUCAUGCUAGUGACUAGGAAAUACGUACUGAUGGUUCUUUGCUUUUCCUGUUGCAGUACUUAGUGAAUUUCUAACUACUAUUAGCAUGAUGCUUUUAGUACUGAAUGUUGUCCUCGGCUGAAACUUAGUCUUUUUUAGUGUUCUUCUGAAAGUAAAAACUGAUUUUUUUAGUAUGAUAGUACUACCGUACAUGUCUAAGCUGUACUGAGCGUCCAAGGCUACUAUUUGCUUUUGUCCUUAGUUAGUCUGCCACUGUUUUUUUGGGAAAAUAUUUAUGUGUUAUUUUUGUUUCUCCAUGACUAGUGCUGCGUGGGAGCCAUCAAGUUUCAACUUCAACCUACUUCAACUUCAAAUGAUGGAUCAACAAAAUAGGAAGCUAGCAAACUUGUUGGAUGACAUAAGCAAAUGAUGUACUUGAUAGACAUAGGCAAACUUGUUCAAACCCUGACACACAUAACAUAAGGUAGCUGGUUCAACAUAACGAAAGUAAACUACAAAUCUGAAACAACAAGACUAAGGACAGGCAGAAGCGCAAGCAACACGAAUGCAGACUUUCAUGCAUCUUCAUCCCGCGAAGUUGCAGUGGUAGUAGGGGUCAGCCUCCUGCUCUUUUGAAAUAUCCCAACCUGUCACGAUGUUGUCAAUUGUCUUCCAUGACUUGUACGUUGCGUACGCAUCUAUUCCUGCGUACGUGAUGAGGUUGUCUGGCAGCAGGCUAGUCCCCCACAGUUUGUGGUCUGCCCUGACCAUCUUAUUCUUCAUGCCGUUGUAGAAUGGGUGGAUGAUGCCGCCUGCAACAUCGUCCAAGGAGUCGUAGUAUUUGUUGGUCUUGGGAUCUUUCCACUUGCGUUGCAUGUCGAUGAAGUUGUUGGGGUUGAUCUCCAAACCAGACUUGUCUAGCAUCUGCUUGUCACCUCCAAUGCUGAAACCGACAAAUGUGUACAAUUUCUCCUGCUGCAGGAAGUCUUUGAGGCGCUUGGGCCUGCAAGGGUGGAGACACACAUUUAAAGAUUAGUCUUCUUUUUUGAAGAUUUAAUUCUUCUGCUUUUUUUUGGUUUUACAUGUGAUUAUCCAUGAUGUAGAUGCUUAUAUAUUAUAAGUCAUGGAUGAAUGUAGUUCAGAAACUAGUACACAAAGUCCUGAAAUUAAAUUCAACUACACCAUGUUAUUUAUUCUUUUUUGCUAUCUUCAUUGCUUCACCAAAUGCUUCACCAAAUUCAAGAACCAUUCUACCAGAGUCAAUGAUAUAUGUGCUGCUUGAUUCAAGUUUAGUUUUCUUUUUUGUUGAAUAAAAGACCUAUACCAGUGCUUGAUACAUCUUUGUGCAUUAAUUCUAUAUCAAGUUCAGAUAUUAAUUUGAGAAACAUGUGCAUCAAGAUAUAGACCUUUACCACUUCACCAAAGAUCUUUUAAUACAUCAAUUCUAUAAACUAUACUAGUGCAUCAAGAUCAGAAUCUAUGCUAGUACAUCAAGUUCAGAAAUUAAUUUGGUGCAUCAAGUUCAGAAAUGCUAUAAACAUUUUUCAGAUGCUAAUCUGGUGAAACAAUCCACUUCACAGUUUAAGAAAUGCAUGUAACUUGAGAAAUAUGUACUUGUGCAUCCACUUCACAAACUAUAGAAGUUCAUCUAGUUGGGAAACAAGUUUAAUUAAGUUUUUAGUGAGUAGUACUAGUACAACAGAUGAAUGGACAGUAGUAUGGGUUACCAUUUUGUGGCUGCUGCGAUGUGGUAUACCAAGCAGAGUUCCUCGACGCAGAACCGCAGGACUGCCGCCAUCUGUGGAGGUUCUUCUUUGUUGGUGUACUCCACAUCAACUCCGAUGAAGCUCGGAUACAAGCCGCCGCCCUUCAUCCUGAGCCUGCUCAUCACCUCGUCGGCCUUGUCCGGUACGCUGGUGCAGACGAUCUCCAGCAUCUCCUUGCCGUGGAGCUCAACCCCUUUGAGCGUUCUGGUGUACUCGCGCUUCUCACCGGGGACGUGAAUGUCGACGAGGUUGCUGCUCUUGUUCGACGUCUCGCCAUGGUGACGCUUGGCGGACAGUUCCUUUGCCAUUGCCUUCCUCCGGUGCUAUGGGCUUGGGAGAGAGAAGUUUUUGGUUUGUGUGCAGUGGAGAUGGAAGCGGCAAUGGUGGUUCUGUGAAUGAGGCAGAGAUGGAAGACAAUGGGGUAUUUUGCAGUGCGUCGACGGGGGUGUGUGGGAGGCGGUUCGUCAGGGGCGUGAGUGUAGUGGUCGUGAGGGCCGCCGUUUGCAGUGCCUCGUGGCAACCGCCCAGUGGGUGGCGCGGGUGGUGGCCUGGAAGAACUAACCAUUCAAGAAAAAUGUUUUUUACUGCUACACUGAUUAGUCUUGUCAAGUUGUAUUUACGAUCUGCUAAAUCCCACUUGCACGUCUCUGCGGUGGUGAUGAUGGCAUUUUGCACUGUUUAGGUGACGUAUGCCUUGUGAUGUUUUUUCCGUGUGGAUGUUAAGUAUUGUUUUUCCAUUGAAGUCUUAUACACCAGUUUAUCUCAAAACAUUUUUUCAAUGCCCUGGGAGUUGUUGCUCAAAACUUGUACUUAUUUUAUUUUCAUCUGUACCAACCUAAGUUAGGCCUUUAUAGUUUUUGUAUUCUCAUUUUAGUGCACUUAUGGUUUAAUACUGUGUGAACUGAAUUGUAAUUUCAUACAACGCACGGGUUUGAAAUUUGAUGUCACAGUGGUGUGAGUGGCCUGACUGAUCCUGCUGUUUUAGUACUGAUGUCAUAUGUAUGUUUGAACUGAGUUUUUUUUGUUUUUUGGAUGGGGGUGGGGGUUUGAGAUUAUUUUACGACCAGAUCGUUCGUUGAGGUGUGGACAUAUUAUAUAUAAAUAAGAAAUUUAGCAGAAUUGACAAAUAAAUUCUAUUUGAACUUUUUGCAUUUUAGUAGAACUUGUCAGAUUUUAUAUAAAUAAGAAAUUUAGCAGAAUUGACAAACAUUAUAUGUUUGAACUUUUUGCAUUUUAGUAGUUGAACUUGUCAGAUUUUAUAUAAAUAAGAAAUUUAGCAUAAUUGACAAAUAUUAUAUGUUUGAACUUUUUGAGUUUUAGUAGUUGAACUUGUNNNNNNNNNNNNNNNNNNNNNNNNNNNNNNNNNNNNNNNNNNNNNNNNNNNNNNNNNNNNNNNNNNNNNNNNNNNNNNNNNNNNNNNNNNNNNNNNNNNNNNNNNNNNNNNNNNNNNNNNNNNNNNNNNNNNNNNNNNNNNNNNNNNNNNNNNNNNNNNNNNUUGACAAACAUUAUAUGUUUGAACUUUUUGAGUUUUAGUAAUUGAACUUGUCAGAUUUUAUAUAAAUAAGAAAUUUAGCAUAAUUGACAAACAUUAUAUGUUUAAACUUUUUGAGUUUUGGUAGUUGAACUUGUCAGAUUUUAUAUAAAUAAGAAAUUUAGCAUAAUUGACAAACAUUAUAUGUUUGAACUUUUUGAGUUUUAGUAGUUGAACUUGUUAGAUUUUAUAUAAAUAAGAAAUUUAGCAUAAUUGACAUACAUUAUAUGUUUGAAAUUUUUGAGUUUUAUUAGUUGAACUUGAAAGUAAUAUUUAAUUCAGUUUUUUCAAUUAUGUACAUUUAACAGAUAGGCUAUUAAGUUCUGUUCUUUUUAGAGGUUCAUUGUUUUUGUAUCAUUUUUUCUCCUUUUUUCUUCUAGAGGUUAAUUGACAAACAUUUUUCUUAUAGUUUAUAUUUCUUUGUCCCGCCCUCUGGUUUUUAUACCUGGGCUUAUUGGUGGGGUAUUUUGUUGACGAUGCAGGCUAUUGGGCCGUUUUCCGGCCCAGUCAGCUCGUCCGCGCGGCUGUGCAGUGCGUCGUUCGCGUGCGCUCUGGGUUUCGUCCCACCUCGCUAGUCGAGGGGGCUCCGGACCUGUUUAUAAGCGCAGCCGAGGCUCACCAGUCGAACUCCUUGUUGGGGAACGUAGCCGAAAUUCAAAAUUUUCUAUGCGUCACCAAGAUCAAUCUAUGGAGAGACUAGCAACGAGAGAGACAGGGAGUGCAUCUUCAUACCCUUGAAGAUCGCUAAGCAGAAGCGUUACAAGAACGCGGUCGCUGGAGUCGUUCACGAAGCGAUUCAGAUCGCGGCCGAAUCCGAUCUAAGCACCGAACAACGGUGCCUCCGCGUUCAACACAUGUACAGCCCACGGACGUCUCCUCCUUCCUGAUCCAGCAAGGGGAGAGGAGAAGUUGAGGGAGAACUCCGACAGCACGACGGCAUGGUGGUGAUGGAGCUCGUGGUUCUCCGACAGUGCUUCGCCAAGCACUACGGAGGAGGAGGAGGUGUUGGAGGAGGGAGAGGGCUGCGCCAGGGGAAGGGUGCGGCUGCUCUUUCUCUCCCUCACUAUAUAUAGGGGGAAGGGAGGAGGGGGAGGUGCCCUAGGGUUCCCUAGGGGAGGGGUGGCAGCCACAGGGGAAACCCUAGAUGGGUUUGGGCACCCCCACCCCCUAGGAAAUUUGCCCCCCAAGUCGGGAGGGGCGGUUGCCCUAGGGGUGAUGCCCCCACCUCUCCUGGUUACGUGAGAUGGGGUGGGAGGGGCGCUCAGCCCCUUAGUGGGCUGAUGUGCCCUCUCCCCUUGGCCCAUGAGGCCCCCCAACGCUUGCCGGGACCUUCGAAACCCCUUUCGGACACGCUGGUCAUCACCUGGUACCCCCGGAACAAUUCCAGACUCCAAUACCCUUCGUCCAAUAUACCGAUCUUCACCUCCGGACCAUUCCGGAGCUCCUCGUCAUGUCUGGGAUCUCAUCCGGGACUCCGAACAACCUUUGGUAACCACAUACUAUUUCCCAUAACAACUCUAGCGUCACCGAACCUUAAGUGUGUAGAGCCUACGGGUUCGGGAACCAUGCAGACAUGACUGACACGUUAUUCGGUCAAUAACCAAUAGCGGAAUCUGGAUACCCAUGUUGGCUCCCACAUGUUCCAUGAUGAUCUCAUCAGAUGAACCACGAUGUCAAGGAUUCAAGCAAUCCCAUAUGCAAUUCCCUUUAUCAAUCUGUAUGUUACUUGCCCGAGAUUCGAUUGUCCGUAUCCCAAUACCUCGUUCAAUCUCGUUACCGGCAAGUCACUUUACUCGUUCCGUAAUGCAUGAUCCCGUGUCUAACUAGUUAGUCACAUUGAGCUCAUUAUGAUGAUACAUUACCGAGUGGGCCUAGAGAUACCUCUCCGUCAUACGGAGUGACAAAUCCCAGUCUCGAUUCGUGCCAACCCAACAGACAGUUUCGGAGAUACCUGUAGUGCACCUUUAUAGCCACCCAGUUACGUUGUGACGUUUGGUACACCCAAAGUACUCCUACGGUAUCAGGGAGUUACACAAUCUCAUGGUCUAAGGAAAUGAUACUUGACAUUAGAAAAGCUUUAGCAAACGAACUACACGAUCUUGUGCUAUGCUUAGGAUUGGGUCUUGUCCAUCACAUCAUUCUCCUAAUGAUGUGAUCCCAUUAUCAAUGACAUCCAAUGUCCAUGGUCAGGAAACCAUGACCAUCUGUUGAUCAACAAGCUAGUCAACUAGAGGCUCACAAGGGACAUGUUGUGGUCUAUGUAUUCACACAUGUAUUGCAGUUUCCGGUCAAUACAAUUAUAGCAUGAAUAAUAGACAAUUAUCAUGAACAAGGAAAUACAAUAAUAACCAUUUUAUUAUUGCCUCUAGGGCAUAUUUCCAACAGUCUCCCACUUGCACUAGAGUCAAUAAUCUAGUUCACAUCACUAUGUGAUUGUAAUGAAUCAACACCCAUGGGGUUUGAUCAUAUCUCGCUUGUGAGAGAGUUUAUUAGUCAACGGAUCUGAACCUUUCAGAUCCGUGUGUGCUUUGCAAAUCUCUAUGUCAUCUCCUAGAUGCAACUACCACGCUCUAUUUGGAGCUAUUCCAAAUAACUAUUAUACUAUACGAAUCUGGCUUACUACUCAGAAUAAUCCGGAUUAGUGUCAAAGUUUGCAUCGGCGUAACCCUUUAUGACGAACUCUUUUACCACCUCCAUAAUCGAGAAAAUUCCUUAGUCCACUAGUUACUAAGAAUAACCUUGACCACUGUCCUGUGAUCCAUUCCUGGAUCACACUUGUACCCCUUAACUGACUCAUGGCAAUGCACACUUCUGGUGCGGUAGACAGCAUAGCAUACUGUAGAGCCUACGUCUAAAGCAUAGGGGACGACCUUCGUCCUUUCUCUCUCUUCUGCCGUGGUCAGGUCUUGAGUCUUACUCAAUACUCACACCUUAUAACACAGCCAAGAACUCCUUCUUUGCUGAUCUAUUUUGAACUCCUUCAAAAUCUUGUCCCGGUGCGUACUCAUUUGAAAGUACUAUCAAGCGAUUUUGAUCUAUCCUUAUAGAUCUUGAUGCUCAAUGUUCAAGUAGCUUAAUCCAGGUUUUCCAUUGAAAAACACUUUUCAAAUAACCCUAUAUGUUUUCUAGAAACUCUACAUCAUUUCUAAUCAACAAUAUGUCAAUAACAUAUACUCAUCAAAAAUUCUAUAGUGCUCCCACUCACUUCUUUGGAAAUACAAGUUUCUCAUAAACAUUGUAUAAACCCAAAAUCUUUGAUCAUCUCAUCAAAGCGUAUAUUCCAACUCCGAGAUGCUUACUCCAGUCCUUAGAAGGAUUGCUGCAGCUUUGCAUACUUGUUAGCAUCUUUCAGGAUUGACAAAACCUUCUGGUUGUAUCACAUACAAAGUUUCCUCAAGAAUAUCGUCGAGGAAAUAAUGUUUUGACAUCCUAUCUGCAAGAUUUCAUAAAUCAUGCAGUAAUUGCUAAUAUAAAUCCAAGAGACUCUUAGCAUCGCUACGAGUGAGAAAGUCUCAUUGUAGUCAACUCCUUGAACUUGUCGGAAAACAUCUUAACGACAAGUCGAGCUUUCUUAAUGGUGAUACUUACCAUCAUUGUCCGUCUUCCUUUUAAAAUCCAUCUAUACCCAACAGCCUUACGACCAUCAAGUAGUUCUUCCAAAGUCUACACUUUGUUUUCAUACAUGGAUCCUCUCUCGGAUUUUAUGGCCUCGAGCCAUUUGUCGGAAUCCGGGCCCACCAUCGCUUCUCCAUAGCUCGUAGGUUCAUUGUUGUCUAGCAACAUGACCUCCAAGACAGGAUUACCGUACCACUCUGAAGCAGUACAUGUCCUUGUCGUCCCACGAGGUUUGGUAGUGACUUGAUCCGAAGUUUCCUGAUCACUAUCAUCAACUUCCCUUCAAUUGGUGUAGGUGCCACAUGAACAACUUCCUGUGCCCUGCUACACACUGGUUGAAGUGAUGGUUCAAUAACCUUAUCAAGUCUCCACCAUCCUCCCACUCAAUUCUUUCGAGAGAAACUUUUCCUCGAGAAAGGACCCGUUUAAGAAACAAUCACUUUUGCUUCCAGAUCUAAAAUAGGAGGUAUACCCAACUGUUUUGGGUGACCUAUGAAGAUGCAUUUAUCCGUUUUGGGUUUGAGCUUACUAGGAUGAAACUUUUUCACAUAAGCAUGGCAGCCCCAAACUUUUAAGAAACGACAGCUUAGGUUUCUCUAAACCAUAGUUCAUACGUUGUCAUCUCAACGGAAUUACGUGGUGCCCUAUUUGAAGUGAAUGCGGUUGUCUCUAAUGCCUUACCCAUAAAUGAUAGUGGUAAUUCGAUAAGAGACAUCAUGGUAUGCACCAUAUCCAAUAGGGUGUAGCUAUGAUGUUCGGACACACCAUCACACUAUGGUGUUCCAGGCGGUAUUAGUUGUGAAACAAUUUCCACAAUGUCUUAAUUGCAUACCAAACUCAUAACUCAGAUACUCAUCUCUAUGAUCAUAUCAUAGACAUUUUAUCCUCUUAUCAUGAUGAUCUUCAACUUCACUCUGAAAUUACUUGAACCUUUCAAUAAUUCAGACUUGUGUUUCAUUAAGUAAAUAUACUCAGCAUCUACUCAAAUCAUCUGUGAAGUAAGAACAUAAUGAUAUCCACUGCAUGCCUCAGCACUCAUUGGACUGCAUACAUCAAAAUGUAUUACUUCCAACAAGUUGCUUUCUUGUUCCAUCUUACUGAAAAACGAGGCUUUUCAGUCAUCUUGCCCAUGUGGUAUGAUUUGCAUGUCUCAAGUGAUUCAAAAUCAAGUGAGUCCACAUGAUCCAUCUGCAUGGAGUUUCUUCAUGCGUACAUACUAAUAGACAUGGUUCGCAUGUCUCAAACUUUUCAAAAAACGAGUGAGUCCAAAAGAUCCAUCAACAUGGAGCUUCUUCAUGCAUUUUAUACCAAUAUGACUCAAAUGGCAGUGCCACAAGUAGGUGGUACUAUCAUUACUAUCUUAUAUCUUUUGGCAUGAACAUGUGUAUCACUACGACCGAGAUUCAAUCAACCAUUCAUUUUAGGUGCAAGACCAUUGAAGGUAUUAUUCAAAUAAACAGAGUAACCAUUAUUCUCCUUAAAUGAAUAACCGUAUUGCGAUAGACAUAAUCCAAUCAUGUCUAUGCUCAACGCAAACACCAAAUAAAAAUUAUUUAGGUUUAACACCGAUCCCAAUGGUAGAGGGAGCAUGCGAUGUUUGAUCACAUCAACCUCAGAAAUACUUCCAACACAUAUCGUCACCUCACCUUUAGCUAGUCUCUGUUUAUUAUGUAUCCUUUUAUUUUGAGUUACUAACACUUAGCAACCGAACCGGUAUCUAUUACCAUGGUGCUACUAGGACUACUAGUAAAGUACACAUCAAUAUAAUUUAUAUCCAAUAUACUCUCGUCGACCUUGCCAGCCUUCUCAUCUACCAAGUAUCUAUGGUAGUUCUGCUUCAGUGACUGUUCCCCUCAUUACAGAAGCACCUAGUCUCGGGUUUGGGUUCGACCUUGGGUUUCUUCACUAGAGCAGCAACUGAUUUGCCAUUUCAUGAAGUAUCCCUACUUUCCCUUGCCCUUCUUGAAACAAGUGGUUUCACCAACCAUCAACAAUUGAUGCUCCUACUUGAUUUCUACUUUCGCGGUGUCAAACAUCGCGAAUUGCUCAAAGAUCAUCAUGUCUAUCCCUGAUAUGUUAUAGUUCAUCACGAAGCUCUAAUAGCUUGGUGGCAGUGACUAUGGAGAACCAUCACUAUCUCAUCUGGAAGAUUAACUCCCACUCAAUUCAAGUGAUUGUAGUACUUAGGCAAUCUGAGCACAUGCUCAACAAUUGAGCUUUUCUCCCUUAGUUUGCAGGCUAAGAAACUCGUCGGAGGUCUCAUACCUCUUGACAUGGGCACGAUCUUGAAAUCCCAAUAUCAGCCCUUGGAACAUCUCAUAUGUUCCGUGACAUUUCAAAAACCUCUUCGGCGCCACAAUUCUAAACCGUUUAACAUUACUGAACUAUCAUGUAGUCAUCAAAACGUGUAUGUCAGAUGUUCGCAACAUCCACAGACGAUGUUCGAGGUUCAGCACACCGAGCGGUGCAUUAAGGACAUAAGCCUUCUGCGCAGCAAUGAGGACAAGCCUCAGUUUAUGGACCCAGUCCGCAUAAUUGCUACUAUCAACUUUCAACUAUAUUUUCUCUAGGAACAUAUCUAAACAGUAGAACUAAAACGUGAGCUUAUGACAUAAUUUGCAAAGACCUUUUGACUAUGUUCAUGAUAAUUAAGUUCAUCUAAUCACAUUAUUUGAUGAACUCACACUCAGAUAGACAUCCCUCUAGUCAUCUUAAGUGAUACAUGAUCCGAGUCAACUAGGCCGUGUCCGAUCAUCACAUGAGACGGACUAGUCAUCUUCGAUGAACAUCUUCAUGUUGAUCGUAUCGACUAUACGACUCAUGCUCGACCUUUCGGUCUCUUGUGUUCCGAGGCCAUGUCUGUACAUGCUAGGCUCGUCAAUUCAACCUAAGUGUUUCGCGUGUGUAAAUCUGGCUUACACCCGUUGUAUGUGAAUGUUAAAAUCUAUCACACCCGAUCAUCACAUGGUGCUUCGAAACAACGAACUUUCGCAACGGUGCACAGUUAGGGGGAACACUUUGUUGAAGUUUUAAUGAGGGAUCAUCUUAUUUACUACCGUCGUUCUAAGCAAAUAAGAUGCAUAAACAUGAUAAACAUCACAUGCAAUCAAAUAGUGACAUGAUAUGGCCAAUAUAAUUUUGCUCCUUUUGAUCUCCAUCUUCGGGGCUCCAUGAUCAUCAUCGUCACCGGCACGACACCAUGAUCUCCAUCAUCAUGUCUCCAUGAAGUUGUCUCACCAAUUCAUUACUUCUACUACUAUGGCUAACGGUUUAGCAAUGAAGUAAAGUAAUUACAUGGCGUUAUUCAGUGACACGCAGGUCAUACAAUCAAUAAAGAUAAAUCCUAUGGCUCCUGCCGGUUGUCAUACUCAUCGACAUGCAAGUCGUGAUUCCUAUUACGAGAAUAUGAUCAAUCUCAUACAUCACAUAUAUUUCAUUCAUCACAUCCUUCUUGGCCAUAUCACAUCACACGGCAUAUGCUGCAAAAACAAGUUAGACGUCCUCUAAUUGUUGUUGCAAGUUUUUAUGUGGCUGCUAUAGGUUUCUAGCAAGAACGCUUCUUACCUACGCCAAAACCACAACGUGAUAUGCCAAUUGCAAUUUAACCUCCAUAAGGACCCUUUUCAUCGAAUCCGAUCCGACUAAAGUGGGAGAGACAGACACUCGCUAGCCACCUUAUGCAACAAGUGCAUGUCAGUCGGUGGAACCUAUCUCACGUAAGUGUACGUGUAAGGUCGGUCCGGGCCGCUUCAUCCCACAAUACCGUCGAAACAAGAUAGGACUAGUAACGGUAAGCAUAUUGAACAAAAUCAACGCCCACAACAACUUGUGUUCUACUCGUACAUAGAAACUACUCAUAAACCUAGUUCUGAUACCACUAUUGGGGAACGUAGCAGAAAUUCAAAAUUUUCUACACAUCACCAAGAUCAAUCUAUGGAGAGACUAGCAACGAGAGAGAGAGAGGGAGUGCAUCUUCAUACCGUUGAAGAUCGCUAAGCGGAAGCGUUACAAGAAUGCGUCAGUGGAGUCGUUCACAAAGCGAUUCAGAUCGCGGCCGAAUCCGAUCUAAGCACCGAACAACGGUGCCUCCGCGUUCAACACACGUACAGCCCGGGGACGUCUCCUCCUUCUUGAUCCAGCAAGGGGAGAGGAGAAGUUGAGGGAGAACUUCGACGGCACGACGGCAUGGUGGUGAUGGAGCUCGUGGUUCUCCGGCAGGGCUUCGCCAAGCACUACGGAGGAGGAGGAGAUGUUGGAGGAGGGAGAGGGCUGCGCCAGGGGAAGGGUGCGACUGCUCUCUCUCUCCCUCACUAUAUAUAGGGGGAAGGGAGGAGGGUAGGCACCCUAGGGUUCCCUAGGGGAGGGGCGGCGGCCACAGGGGAAACCCUAGAUGGGUUUGGGCGCCCCCAUCCCCUAGGAAAUUUUCCCCCCAAGCCGGGAGGGGCGGCUGCCCUAGGGGUGGCGCCCUCACCUCUCCUGGUUACGUGAGAUGGGGUGGAAGGGGCGCUCAGCCCCUUAGUGGGCUAAUGUGCCCUCUCCCCUUGGCCCAUAAGGCCCCCCAAUGCUUGUCGGGGCCUCCUAAACCCCUUUCGGACACGCUGGUCAUCACCUGGUACCCCCGAACAAUUCCGGACUCCAAUACCCUUCGUCCAAUAUACCGAUCUUCACCAUCGGACCAUUCCGGAGCUCCUCGUCAUGUGCGGGAUCUCAUUCGGGACUCCGAACAACCUUCGUUAACCACAUACUAUUUCCCAUAACAACUCUAGCAUCACCGAACCUUAAGUGUGUAGACCCUACGGGUUCGGGAACCAUGCAGACAUGACCGAGACAUUAUCCGGUCAAUAACCAAGAGCGGAAUCUGGAUACCCAUGUUGGCUGCCACAUGUUCCACGAUGAUCUCAUCGGAUGAACCACGAUGUCAAGGAUUCAAGCAAUCCCGUAUGCAAUUCCCUUUGUCAAUCUGUACGUUACUUGCCCGAGAUUCAAUCAUCGGUAUCCCAAUACCUCGUUCAAUCUCGUUACCGGCAAGUCACUUUACUCGUUCCGUAAUGCAUGAUCCCGUGACUAACUAGUUAGUCACAUUGAGCUCAUUAUGAUGAUGCAUUACCGAGUGGGCCCAGAGAUACCUCUCCGUCAUACGGAGUGACAAAUCCCAGUCUCGAUUCGUGCCAACCCAACAGACAGUUUCGGAGAUACCUGUAGUGCACCUUUAUAGCCACCCAGUUACAUUGUGACGUUUGGUACACCCAAAGUAAUCCAACGGUAUCAGGGAGUUACACAAUCUCAUGGUCUAAGGAAAUGAUACUUGACAUUAGAAAAGCUUUAGCAAACGAACUACACGAUCUUGUGCUAUGCUUAGGAUUGGGUCUUGUCCAUCACAUCAUUCUCCUAAUGAUGUGAUCCCGUUAUCAAUGACAUCCAAUGUCCAUGGUCAGGAAACCAUGACCAUCUGUUGAUCAACAAGCUAGUCAACUAGAGGCUCACUAGGGACAUGUUGUGGUCUAUGUAUUCACACAUGUAUUGUGGUUUCCGGUCAAUACAAUUAUAGCAUGAAUAGCAGACAAUUAUCAUGAAUAAGGAAAUACAAUAAUAACCAUUUCGUUAUUGCCUCUAGGGCAUAUUUCCAACACUCCUCUGAACACUUACCUGAGCGCUUAUACACGGCGCCCGCUCUCUCUCUCUCUCUCUCUUGACCUGUGGGCCCUAGUCGGUCGGUCCUGCGUUGUGCGGAUUACUAGGGAUUCACCCACGAGCUCGAGUUCAAGUAUCUAGCAUUGUCAGGACCUGCGCCUGACCUUGGGCAGUCAAUUUUUUUGUUUUUUUUGUUUGUUUGAAUCUAGUACUUGACUCCACCAGUAACUUGGACUGAUACUUUUUGUUCUAGUUCUUGUCAGUUUUAUGUGAGUGUAAUCUUUUUCAUUUGAGUUUCUUGCCUUCUUUUUGUGUUUGUUUUUGUGAUUAUUCUCAAGUGUCUUCUGGUGUCAUUUCAGAACUAUGGUACUUGCAUGUAGACUGAGUUGUACAGAUAGUGCAUUCAUAGUAGCGCUUAUGGAAUGAUGCUUCUUCGUGCUUUUUAUUGUAGUGAGUAUGUAUUGUCCGAUCAAGUGUACUAUUACUGUCAUUCUUAAUCUGCAAGCGACCAACAUAAGUGUGUGUUGAUGCUUCUUAACUUUUUAUGUUUGUAGUACUUCUUAAUUUUCUAGCAGCUACAUAUGAAUGAGAACACUACAUGAAGUACUAAGAAUUUUCGCUUCAAAUUUUGAAGCGUUGUUAAGCAACUCAAAUUGUGCUCAUUGUUCUCAACGUUAUGUUUUCUAUACAAUACUGAAUCGAAACUAGACAUGGAACAACGUUGUGUGAUUAGUUGCAUCAUAACUAGUACUUUAGAGCAGCCACAAAGUUCCAUUUAGAAGCUACUUUUGAAUUUGAAAUGAUGGAUUAACAACAUACGAAGCUACCAAACUUAUAUAAUGAGAUAAGCAAAACAUUGUACUUGAUGACAUAACUAAACUUGUUCAACCAUGACAAGCAUGACAUAAUCAUACUAGUUCAACCCAACAAGAGCAAACUACUAAUUUGAAACAACAAGAUAAAAGGCAAGCACAAGCGGAAGUAAAACGAAGGCAGGCUCUGAUGUAUCUUCAUCCCUAAAAGGGACAGAAGGGGCGGUCGUAGUAGUGGUCAGCCUCCCGCUCUUUCGCAUACUCCUAACCAUCUGUGAUGUAGUCGAUUACGAACCAUGACUUGUACGUGGUGUACACAUCUACUCAUGCGUACUCGAUGAGGUUGUCCUGUAGCGGGCUGGUCCCCCACAGUUUGUAGUCUUCCUGUGUGUUGAUCUUCUUCUUCAUGCCUUUGUAGAAUGGGUGGAUGACGGUGGCUGCAACAUCUAUCAAGGAGUCGUACUCUUUUCCGGUGUAUGGAACUCUCCACUUGCGCUGAAUGUCGAUGAACUUGUUGGGGUUGAUCUCCAUACCGGACAACUUCAGCUUCUCUUUGUCGCUUUCAAUGUUGAAACCGGCAAAUAUGACCGACUUCUCAUGCUGCAGCAUCUCGGUCAGGCGCUUGGGCCUGCAAGGGGAGAGACAUUUUGAAUAUUAGCAUUACUUUGAUGUUUGAAUUAUUCAUUUUUGUUUUGUUUUACAAGCGAUGAAUCCAUGAAGUAUUUGUUUAUAUAGGAUAAACAAUGGAUGAAUGUACUUCAAAAACUAGUAAACAAAGUUCUGAAAUUAAAUUAAGUACAUCAUGUUAUUCUUCUUUUUGGAUUAUACAUAGUUUCAGUCAAUGUUGUAUGUUCUGCAUUUGGUACUAGUUUAGUUUACUUUUGUUGAAUAGGAUAACACAUAACCAGUGCUUCACCAAGUCCUUAGUUUAUUUUCUUAUGAAAAUAACAUUAGAUCAAAUAAAGAAAAUACUUCACUACAUCAAGUUCAGAAACAUCUUUUUAAUACAUCGAGUGCAUAGACUACACUAUUUGAUCAACUUCAGAAACUACACUAGUCGAUCAACUUCAGAAUUUAAUCUUCCGCAAAUUUUCCAAAUAGUAAUCCAGUGCAUCAGGUUCAAAAAUACAUUUUACAAUGUAUCUACUUGAGAAAAUGCAGUAGUGCAUCCACUUUUCACAAACCACACUAGUACAUGUAGUUGGGAUACAAGUCUGAUGAAAUUUUCAGAAUACAGUACUAAUAAAACAGAUAAACCAUACAGGGCAAAUGAGUAGGAUGGCUCACCAUUUUGUGGCCGCUGCGAUGUGGUACACCAAGCAGAGCUCCUCGACGCACAACUGCAGGACUGCUGCCAUCUGGGGAGGUUCAUCUUCGUUGGUGUAGUGCACACCAACGCCGACGAUCCUACAAUUCGGACUCUUGCCGCCAAGCAUUUUCUAGAGCCUCGAGAUCACCUCGUCGGCCUUUUCUGGUACGCUGGUGCAGACAAUCUCCAGCGUCUCGUUGCCGUGGAGCUCAACCCCUUUGAGAGUUGUUGUGUACUCGCGUUUCUCGCCGGGGACGUGAAUGUCUAUGAGGUUGCUGCUCUUGUCCGACGUCUCGGCAUGAUGACGCUUGGCGGAUGGUUCCUCCGCCAUCGCCUUCCUCCGGCGACUGUGGGCUUGGGAGAGAGAAGUUUUUGGUUUGUGUGCAGUGGAGAUGGAAGCGGCAAUGGUGGUUUGUGGGAAUGAGGGAGAGAUGGAAGAGAAUGGUUUUUUUGCAGUGCGUGGACGGGGAUUUGUGGGAGGUGGUUCGUCGCGGGCGUGGGUGUAGUUGGUGUAGUGGCGUGGGGUCACCGUUUGCAGUCCCUUGUGGCAACCGCUCAGUGGGUGGGGCGGGUGGAGGCGUGGAAGAACUAACCGUCCAAGUUAAAUGGUUUUUACUUUUGCACUGACUAGUCUUGUCAAGAUGUACUUGUGACAUGCUAAAUCCCACUUGCACGUCUCUGUGGUGGUGAUGAUGGCAUUUUACUGUUGCACCCAUUCAUAUAGUCAACCUGUACUUAUCAGCUGCUUAUCCCACUUGCACGUGUCAGGGUCGAUGAUGAUGGAGGUCUGAACUCCUCUACUGUGGUACUUGGACUAGUGAUUGAAGUGUAAUUGAAUGUACCAAAUACCAGUGAGAAUAUGUGUGGUCCUAAUGUUUUUUAAAACAAUUUUCGUAUUUUUUAAAGGAUUGUUUAUAUCAAGAUAAUCUCUGAGUAUUUUUACAGAUAAAUUAGAUUUUCAUGAGUACAGGAUGUAUUAUAUUCGCAUUUUGCUUGGGGUAAUUAUUUUUAUGUACUGAUGGUCCUUCUGAAUCGGGACUGGCAGAAGUAGACAUAGCUUUGUUUUUUCAAAACAAUUUUUUAGGCGUUCACGGGUGUGUUUGUUUUACUAUGCCUUUGUACUGACGACUGAGAAUUAUCAGUACUGAUGUACUACAAGAGUUUAAAUUUUUCCUUGGCAUAUUUUUGCUGAGUUACUAUUCGACAGUAGCGUUUGCGUCAGAUAUAUCUAGAUAAGUUUUUUCAAAUGUAUUUGUGACUGCAUUCAAAAGGAUUAUCAAAUAGUUUACAUAAUAAUGUCACUCCAGCGGGCACAAAUCAGAAAUUAUAUCAGUACUGAUGUGUACUCUGCAUUGUAUUGACGAUUGAGAAUUAUCAGUACUGAUGUACUACAAGAGUUUAAAUUUUUUCCUUGACAUGUUUUUUUGCUGAGUUACUGGUUGACAGUAGCGUUUUGCGUCAUAUAUAUCCAGAUAAGUUUUUUCAAACAUAUUUGUGACUGCAUUCAAAAUGAUUAUCAAAUGGUUUAAAUAAUAAUGUCACUGCUCCAGCGGGCACAAAUCAUAAAUUACAUAUUAACUAUAGUACUGAUCGAGAAAUCGACGAUAAAGCUAAAUAAGUUUUGGUAACGACGGUGUUUCUGAAAUGUUUUCGCAUUGUGUGCCGAUGCAACUGAGACUACAAGGUUAGUUUUUAGUUGACGCAGCAGGAUAACCACUAUGUAUUGUUUAGCCUUGAGAUUCUCCUAACUGUCCCCGAAUGUUGUGCCUUGCCGGCGCCCUUUCCAGGUUGAGCCUUGGCAGCUUCAUCGUCAGUUUCAGUUUCCUCGCCCCCGACACUGUCAUCUUCAUUGUCUUUGUCUGAUUGGUCAUCAUUCUCGUCAAACUCUUUGUCUUCAUCGUCUUCAUUUGAUUGUUUGGAUCUCUGUACCUUGCCAUGUUUCUGUUCAGCUCCACUGACCUCCUUGCCCACUUUGCAUGUGCGGGCAUUAUGUCCGUCAGUUCCCCCACACUUGCGGCAAGUGUAGCUGUUACGUGUGUUGUCUCCAUUGGUAGAAAGCUGGGUGGCUCCAAUCUGCUUGUUCUUGUUGACAGUGGCAUCUGUGCGGAGUGGGCAUGUGCGGUAGUUAUGGUUGCUCACGACAUUGCAGAAUCUGCAUGCCCUUAUCCCGAGAGGUUUGCCGUCCGGGCCAAAUUCCACGCGCUUGAUGGGGUGUUGUGGAUUUUUGGCUACUGCUUGCAUCUUGCUCUUCUUCCCCUUUGUGUUUGAGAAUAUGGGUGGUUUAAUCACCCUUUCCUGCUGCUGCUGGUAGGAUGUGCUAUUGUCAUGUCGUUCGCCUACAGCACCAUCAAGCUCAUGAUCUCGCAUGUGAGCUUGUUGGUGCUCUUGAGUGUGCACAUGGGCAAGCUCCGGUUGCUGCUGCUCCACUUCCUCAUUGUCAAACGGGUCAAUAGCUCCCAGAUGGUUCAUCUCGGAUAACAUUGUAGCAAUAUCCUGCUCAAUGGCUUCAUUGUCCAUGACACCUCCAUUUUCAGCAGAAUGCAUGGCGUCGAGUUCUUGUUCAAGUUUGUCCAUGACGACCCGCGACCUCGCCAUUUGGUCUUGGCUUCUCAAGCUUUUUCUGUGCACCCUCAUGGUCAGCAUCAGCAGUGAGCUUUCAAUGCAGUAUUAGGAUGCCUUGUUUGAUGCUACUGUCCUCAAAUCAUUUCUAUUGAAUGUUGGCUGGAUGUUCGGGCGUUUGGUGUAUCUCCUGAGGAUGUAUUUCUCUGGAACGCUGGCAGCCUUAAUUGUCUGGAUCAUGCACAGGACAUGCACGCAGAAAAGACCUGUAUUGUUUUUGGAAGAGAUGCAUGUUUUUGUCAUUUCAUUCAAACAAAAACUUUGCAAAAAAAGUAGUACAUUAUGUAACAUAUUUUUUGUAGUCCUCACCUGUGUGUUCCCAUAGCCUGCACUCGCACUCAUAUGUUUCUCCCACGGGGUCUGCAACCACCUAGAACGCGUGCUGAGCCCACACAGACAUUUUUUGCGGGUGGUUGUAGCGCACAAGGUACUUUGUGGGCUCUUCCAUCUCUAUCGCCGUGAAGAGUGUGCUCAGAUUUAGCCUUUUUCUGAUCUCGCUGUACACAGCUCGUGAGUAGAGCUCUGCCAUCUGGGUGUCAAACCCAUAGAAGGUUAGUGUGUUUUGUUCCUUCUGCAUAUGCAAGAACGAUGACCAAAUUGUUAGUUUUCUCACAGAAAAAACUUGUAAUAAAGUUUUACUUUAGUAAGCAUGUUUUUUUGUCUUACGACAAGUGAUAGAGCUAUACCCGGUUAGCCAUUGUCUCCUGGUUCUCUGUCUGCCUCCUGGUUUUGACGCAGGAGUUUACCUGGCUGACAAACCGGUGUAGGUUUUGUCUCUCACUUACAAAGUUCUUCUUGAGCACAUAGUUCAUGCUCUCACUUUGCUGUGUGGAUGUCAUUUUGGCGCAGAAAAUUUCUUUGAAGUAGGCUGAUAUCCAUCUCUCAUGCUCGUUCCACAUGCCCACCAUUGUGGCAUCAUCGUGGAGGUUGUACUUAUCCAUGAGUCUUUUCCAGGCAUCCUCAACCUCAGUUGGCAUGAGGGGCCAGUUGAGCAUUGAUGUGAAUUCAUCCUUAAAGUCAUCAUGCAGGUAGUACAGGUACGCGAGGUGUUCCAUGUACUUCUUCAUAAUGUGCCAGCGGCAUAGCUUAUGUACCGUGUUCUUGAAAACAUCUGGGAUCGCCAAAGCCAUUGCCGGGCACUGGUCUGGUAAUGAGAAAAUAGACUAAGAGUGGUCAGCAGAUGGUUGUGCAUAUAUACCAAUAGAACUGACACAACAUUUUUACUGUGUUAUUUUCCUUUUUUUGAUGGGAGGUGGUGGUUGGGGGUGGUUUUGGCUGUUGUACCUGUGAGGAUGCAUGUAGGAGCCUUCCCUCUCAUGCACCUUAAAAAUGUCUUGAAUAGCCACUUGAAUGAAUCUGCAUCCUCAUCUCUUAUUAGGGCGAAACCAAAAAAUGUAGUCUAUAAGUGGUUGUUAGUUCCGACAAACACCCCAAGUGGCAUAUGGUACUUGUUGGUCUUAUAUGUUGUGUCAAACGUUAGCAGUCCCCAAAGUCCUGAUACGCCCCUCGGCAGCUUGCGUUCGCCCAGAAUAUGUUCUUAACUCUGUCAGACUCAUCGAGUUGCAUGUCACAGAAGAAUUCCCUGUUUAUAGCUUUCAUCUCCCUAAAGAAGUUGACAGUCUUUAGGACAUCGUCCACAUCAUCAAUCCUUGAAUUCUUUGCUUUCCUGCAUAUUAAAAGUUCAUUCAAAAAUGCAUGUUGAACUGGCAUCAGGUCAUGCGUUGUGUAAUAUGUUUGUACUGACAGAGGAAAAAAGAUGGAGGCGGUUUAUGGGAGGAGAACAAGUUUGUACUUACAGGUUAAUCAGGUCUUUGGCAUUCAUUUCGAGGAAGUAGCUACCAGGGUCAUCAUCGCCCAGUAUGCUCAUGAUUUGCGCGUGUUCAAUGCCUUUGAACUGCAGGUACUUGACGUACUCCAAGAUUGUUUUGUCAAAGUUUUUGUGGGAGUGCAAGAAGGCAAGCAUUUCUGCGGUGAGCUGUAGCCUGUGGUUGUGUUCCCAGACUAUCUCUUUUACGACAAAUGUUCCAUCGUUUUCCUUCUUCAGCCUCAUUUUAGCCCCGCAGUUAGUUCUGGUUGUCGUCUUGUUAUGCUGUCUAUUUGCUUCAGACACCUUGGAUUCAUAAAAUCCAUAGCACGUGCAAUAAAGGUAGGCUCUGGUCUUAAACUUGGGGCCUUCCCUGACAGCAAAACCCGCGUGCUUUGCAUAUACGUUGUAGAAGUUCUUUGUUUCUUGAAAGUUUCAAACCGCAUCUCUAGCCUUGGCGGAACGUAAGCUUCAAUGUCAGGUGACUGCACGCAAUAGUGACCAAACAAAAACGUAGUUCUGAAAAUGUUAGAUGGGGUGGUCACAUCACCAUGGUAUGUACUGUGCUUGUAUGUUUUUUUCUAUAUGGAUACUUACAUGUGUAUAGCUCUGCGCUGCCUUCGGUGUUUGUUGUUCACCCUGGUUUAUGGGCGUGGGUGGUGUCACCCUUGGCACAUGCAGCAAUGCAUCUCUUGGAGGGAGCAACGUUGACGAAGAUCUCCGUCUCUCAUUGUACGGCCGUCUCCCCUCAGAUUCAUUGUGAGGUAGCUCCUGUCUAUAUGGCUCAUAUCUUGUUCUUUUGAACCUGCUAGAGUGGCCAAAAUUUCUGUCUCUUUGGCCUGGUCUUCCUGUUGCAACCGCUUUUGCAGCAUGGAUGAUUGAUGUUGACGGAGCGACUGGUGGAAGCCUUGUUGCAACCCAUCCAUGGCUUCCUGUCCUUGGCUUUUUGCAUGCGCUCGGGAAGGAAAACAUUUGUUGUUGGUGAUAUUGUUGGCCUUGUUGCAACCCAGCAGCGGCAAAGCUUGCAUUCCCAGAUAUUGGUGUUUGCUGCAUAGAAGAACCUGUCCGUGCUUCUGAUGAUUCCGGUGUAUCUUGAAAUCUGCCUGUAUUGUUGAAGUAUCCAGGCGAUAUUUCUGGUGUUACCCAACCAGGUGGUGCCCCAUAUCUGUUUGGCUCAUCAAACGCUCGCUGCGUGCGCCGCCUUGCAUGCUUCUGCAAAUGACAUUAAACAGUUUUCGGAUUAAUCUGGUUUCAUUUUCAGUCGAACUGAUGAACGUUCAUGUUCAACAUUGAUGUACUGAUGUACUAUUUUUUAGCACUUCUUGUAAACUGGACAUUGAACUGAUGCAUGACUUCUCUUUUGUUCAUCUAUAACUUAUGCAACUACACUAGAAGUACUCCUAGUUUAUGUAUCAUUGAACUUACUGUGUAACUGUGGCACUCUCUUAGUACUAUCUACUUGGACUGAUGCAUAAGUUCAAGUUUUUUUACUUGAACUGAAGCUAGCAUAUUAGAGGUACUGACAGUAACCUGGACAUCCUAAUCGUGCAUCAAUGCAUCUACAUUACAAGUAUUGCUAGUUUAUGUAUCAUUGAACUUACUGUGUAACAUUUUUUUCAGUAACAGUUUUGUUACUCGUUUGAACUGAAGCAACUACAUGACUUGUACUCUUAGAAAUAACAACAUACAACUUUCAGUGGUAGCUGAACCUUAGUACUAUCUACUUGGACUGAUGCAUAAGUUUAAGUUUUUUUUACCUGAACUGAAGUUAGCAUAUUAGAGGUACUGACAAUAACCUCGACAUCCUAAUCGUGCACCAAUGCAUCUACAUUACAAGUACUGCUAGUUUAUGUAUCAUUGAACUUACUGCGUAACAAUUUUAUAUUUUUUCCAGUAACAGUUUUGUUACUCGUUCGAACUGACACAACUACAUGACUUGUACUCUUAGAAAUAACAACAUACAACUUUCAGUCGUACCUGAACCUUAGUACUAUCUACUUGGACUGAUGCAUAAGUUUAAGUUUUUUUUACUUGAACUGAAGCUAGCAUAUUAGAGGUACUGACAGUAACCUCGACAUCCUAAUCGUGCAUCAAGUGGCAGGGGUGAAAUUAACUGAUGCAAGCAUUUGCAAUGUACCAUCGGGUUCUUCUUCUUAGCAGGACUGAUGAACUGAUGGACUGACACAAACAUGGGAAGCAGACAUUACCUCCAGUGGACUGAUUUCAUCUUCUACCUCUCGUGGGCGUCGUACUGACAUGUUCUUGGGAGGCGGCGCCAUUGACGCAGCUCCUUCUUGUGGUGGACGUCUGGCGAAGAGGUUCAUUGAGUAAGCACCUUGUGGGGAUCACUGCCCCGAAGAAGGAGGGAGGCAGCAGGCGGGGAUGAUGGCCCCGUCGAUGGAUUCGAUGACAAAGGGAGGCAGGAGGCGGGGAUGACGGCCCCGUCGUUGGAUCCGGCAAUGGAGGGAGGCAGGAGGCACGGAUGACGACCUCGUCAUUUGAUCCGACGACGGAGGGAGGCAGGAGGCGGGGAUCACGGCCCUGUCGAUGGAUCCGGCAAUGGAAGGAGGCAUGAGGCGGGGAUCACGGCCCCGUCGUUGGAUCCGGUGAUGGAGGGAGGCAGGAGGUGGUGGCGGAUCCAUCGCCAGCCAGUCACGGCGCCAUGGGCUUUGUCGUGGAAUUAACACGUCAGAUGUCCUCAUGAAAGGACUUAGUCGUGGAGCCAUCGCGACGGGUUAGCUUGGAGGGGUUAAACCGGACAGGGGACAUGAGAGCUUUAUACUAGUUCGGCCCCUUCGAUGAAGGUAAAAGCCUACAUCUAGUUGUGAUGGAAUUGAUUGGGUUUUGAUGACCAGGGAGCAAAUACGCUUUGCCUGGGUCUCGAGUUUUUUUUCCUGAACCGCCGCCGGGUCAUCCCUUUAUAUACAUAGGUUCACGCUCGGCCGGUCUAUAGAGUCCCGAGGCCGGCUCAUACCAGUGUCCGGCUCGGUCUCUCCUUUCAUAUCUUAUAACACAAGUUACAUGAUCAUGGCGGUUUACAACUUAUGGGCCCUAAUCUAUCUUUGGGCUCUGGCCCUCUAAGCUUCACCGUAAAGCGCCAUCUUCUGGGUCUUUAUGGGCUUCAAAGUAGUUGAGGGUAAACCGGCCCCUCCUGGGCGGUUUACCCUUAGUAGUUAUAUCCUCAACAUUAGGCCCCAGAUUGAUUUGAACAUGUUCAUGUCAAUCUUCAAUACUUAGAAAAAUUUCAUGAACAUCUUCUUAUGAUUCUCGUAAACCGCCAUUAUGUAUUCUCCCUAUCAACCUUGGUAAACCGCCAUGACGUCAUCCUCUGAACACAGCAGUGAAUCGUCAUGACGUCAUCUCUGUAUAAAAAGAUAAUAAAGAUUCCUCAUUAACUAUGCCCGAAGAUCGAGGCGACAGCUACGCCCUCUUUUGCCGCUUCUGGCUCCUCGAUUCCCGCGCUUGCCUUAUCCUUUUGCCUUAUAAAUAGGCUCAGGGGUCCUUUUUUUCUUCCCCUUCAGUGCCUCUUCUUCCUCCUCGUGAUGCUCAAGCUCUGAAGCUCCGCCGCCGCCCUCAAUCUUCAAGCACUGCAUCGACAAGGCCGCUGCAUCAACCUGAUCGUACCAGAAACUUGCGGGUCUUCUCCGCUAUUCCUGUGCAUCUGGUAAGCCUCCUCCCUUCAACCCUAGAUCUGUAUUAGGGUUUCUGCGUUCAUCCGUGUUCGUUAGUGUUCAUAUUUGUUCGCUGCUUCUUGCUUUACUGUUGGAUCUAGAUGAACUUGUCAUCUUUCUCCUACGGCCAAAGUUGUAAUUUUAGUUUGCCUCACCGUAGUAUCUCCUCCUGCCUUGAUAGAUCCCAUCUAGACUUAUGGUGUUCUAUCGUCGCCAUUUUAGGGCUCAGAAUAAUUUUCUUACUGGACCAUGGUAGAUCCAAAAUUAUAAUGUCAUAUUGUGAAACCUGUUUCUGUCAACACUUAGUAGAUUUUCAGCCACUGCCUCUUCUAUUUAAGGGCGGUUUAACUUUUAGUAGUUGAUAAUCCGCCAUAUGCCAUUAGCCCUCACUUAAACCACCAUUUUGACUUGAAUAGUAAUCUCUGGUUUAACUCACGUAUAUGCCUUGGCCAAAUUCCCCAGUUUAACACCGAUUAGUGCACCUUAGCUAUCAAUCGUAAACUGGCCUUCAUUUUUCCUUUUCAGUUUGCUUUCCAAGAUGACUAAGCAAUUCGCUGCUUGCAACUGGGUUUCGUCCCGGAUCACGGAAACACAAAUCAAUGGAUAUGUUGUAACUGGCGCUUUAUCUUCAAAAAAUGUCCUUCAUUGGCGGGUUCCUGGCCCUGAGUGCCCUCCUGAGCCUCAAGAUGGAGAAGUGAUUGUUUUUAUGCAGCACCUAGACCAGGGGUUCAGCCCUCCCGGAUCAAAAAAAUUCCGGGAUGUCCUUGCUAACUUUCAACUCCAUCCAUAGGAUAUUGGACCGAAUUCUGUAUCCAACAUAUGCAAUUUUCAAGUAUUUUGUGAAGUUUACCUUCAAGAGGAACCAUCUGUUGAGCACUUCCGGGACUUUUUCCAUCUAAACUGCUGAACUCAGUUUUCUGAUGGUCCUAACACGGAAUUUGGGGGGUAUCAAUCCAGAAGAGGAAAGAAGUUCAUUUCCCUCAUGCAAAACACCACAGCCAUCCCAAGGACUGGAACCAAACUUGGUUUUACUGCCAGAACACUGCCCCUGCUGGAGAAAAUCCUUUGCCGGGUUACCACCCUCACCGGCUUAGCAAAUGGCCACCCAUUACCUCAACGAUUAACUGCCAAAGAACGACAAACUUAUGCACCUCAACUCGCCAAGCUCCGGUCUCUCCUAGCCAACGGUUUGACUGGUGUUGACCUCAUUCGCUGUUGGGUUUUGUGGCAUAUCCUGCCCUUAAGUCGCUGCUCCGGAUUAAUGCAUGAGUAUACCGGUGACACCAAGGACCCUCAACGGUUUAAUGAGAUAGAAAUGACCGACGAUGAAGUCACCAAAAGUGUGAAGAAGAUGCUUGACGAACCGAUCGCCGCAUGCUGCCAAACUGAGCUGCUCCCUUUUUAUACCUCCAACAAACCGCUAGCGGUAAAAGUUGUAACCUUGUGCUUUUUGAUCCACCUCCGCUUUAACAAUGUUCUAAUAUUCCUUUGUUUCAUUUCACAAGCCAAUAGCUCCUUCUGGAAGAGGAAAACUCAAGAUAAACCAUCUAGGGCUCCUCGUGCGAAGAGCAAAGUUACAAAAAGAACAGCCAAGAAGAAAACCGCCGAGUCUUCUGAUCCGCCAGAAGACAUUGACGAAUCGGAUCAAGAGGUAAAACUUGACUCCCUUGGUUCCUUUUUCAUACACCUUAUUGACAAUAACUAUUCCUAGCAUGAUGCGGAGGCCAGCCAUGCGGACCGUGUAGAGGUAAUCUCUCUUUCCUCCGAUUCAGAUCUUGUGCCGGUUCAAAGAUUUCGCCGUGCAGUACGGAAAGUAAAAUACUCUCACCCUCUUGCUUAUUUGGAUCCAAAAAUUUCUUUGAAGACACAGCAACCUGAAGGGCAUCGCACAACCCGGGACAGCGGCCAGCAAGUCACUUCUGCCGGUUUACCGGAUACUCCAACCCGGAAACGUCGCCCAGAGGUUUCUUGUUCUCCCAAAAAAAUUAUCCUUUGAAGGGUUGCUUCCGAUACCCACUUAAUCCGUCUGAUCCAAAUUAUCAGGGGUCUUCCAAUUCAUCUGGCGGUUCAUCAACCACUCAGCUGCCUCCCCUUAAAACCGUCCCUGGGUAAGUAUACUGCCCUUCAUCUUUUUUCCUUUAUAUUUCAGUUUACCGUGCUAAUCUUUGUUUUGAUAUCGCAAUGCCAAAGCCCGACUGAGCAAGAAGGCCAAAACCAGUACCCCCAUUGGUGAAGUUGAACCGGAGAGGGCUCCUAAGGGCACCGGUAGAAAUACUGAUGUCAUGGAUGAUUCCGCCCCACAAGGUGAGAACACUGAAGCUAAUCCGCUGGAAGCUGACCCGGCCACUCACGUUGAUCCUUCAAGUCCUCAUGCUACUCCUUCGAGUCCGGCUGCUGAUCCGCCGAGCCCAGCUGCCAAUCCGCCAAGCCCAGCCAGGGAUACCAUCAAUCUGCCAAGUCCAUCAAAAGGUGAUGAUGAUGAUGUUAUUAUUACUAGCACGGGUCACACUAGUCCUGGUAAUCCGGUUGUCUUGUCAAAACAUACUGCCAAGGAGGAAUUCGCUGCUAUGGGCAAAGGGAAAGGGAAGACUAAUUUAUCCAACUUCAUUAACCUUAGUACCGAGGAGCUUCAUUCCGGAUUUUUAAACCGCCUUUACACAAGCCGUGAUUUUGAGGCCGGUUUGGUGAACUUGAUGAAGGAGCGUUAUGACGUAAUCUUCAAACACGCUUUUGAAAUUUGCUUUGUUCUGUAUAUCUCUUCCAUUUUAGCCCCCAAGGGCUGGGUUAUCUCUUAAAGAUAAAACGAGACUUCGAGAUAAAGAACACUUCAAUUGAGUAGCCCCCAAGGGCCGGUUUGUCUCUUGAAGACAAACCGGGACUGUAUGUCCUUAUUAAUUGCCUUCACUUAUAACAGAUCAAUUGUGCAUUAGCCCCCAAGUGCCAAGCUUAAUACCUGGAUUGAGCCUUGGAACUUUAAAAUACUCACUUUAAAAAGCAAUUCGCAUUAGCCCCCAAGUGCCAAGUGUAUAACUUUUUAUGUGCUUGGGACUUUAACAGCUUCAUCAUCUGACUUUUUCAGACCGAUAGAAAUAUCAAAGAAUCUCAAAUCGCCGAUCUUCAAGAAAACAUCAAGUCCCAGCAAGAAGAGACCUCUAAAGCGAAAUAAGAGCUAAAGGGUGCUUUGACAACUAUGGAGCAAUUGAAAGAUGGCUUCAAAAAUGAACGCACCAACUGGGAAACUGAGAAGGCUGCGUUGUUGAAGCGGGCCGAAGACACCGAAUCAGCUCUUAAACCGGUGGCGGAUGAACUAACUGGGUUGAAGCGCCAAGUAAAUUUCAUGACCUCUACAAUAUUUGGUAAAUAUCGUUGUUCUAAAUUUCUUGAAUGGCCAUCCUUGAAAUUACCGGUUUAACAUGAAAAUCUUGAAUCGUUAUAGGUAGCCGUAUUGCUCAUCUGGGCUCUGACAUGCGGAUGAAACUGAAGGCAGCAUAUACGUUGAUAGAGCAACUGUAUACUGGUGCCCAACGGGUUAUCUGCGCAAUCUCAUAUAACAAACUGGCACGAACAUUGAUCAAGGACACACUAGCAAGGUUAUCCAUGACACCGGUGCAGAUAGAAGAGGUGAAGCGAUCUACUGCCAGGGCUGGCGCUUUACUAGCACUAACUCGGGCCAAAGCAUGGAUAUCUGACUUGGAUCCAGUUGAUAUCGCCAAGGGCUUUCCGGAUGAACAAGCAGAUGGGUCAGCAUUUGACAACGAAGCCCUCAAAGCCCUGACAAAGGAGAUGCGUCCGCUGUCAAGCCAAUUGGCUGAAGAGGCUAACUUGACUGUUCAUCGGUCCUUUUAUGAUGAAAGGAACCAGCGGGUUGACACGACUGUGACAGAAGCGCAAAACCUUAUCCCGCCAAUCCGUAAGCACACUUACGCCCCUGAUGUUGAACCGUCCAAUCUGAUAAGUGAAGAAGCUAUAUUUCAGGCUUUAACCCAGAUAGAGUAGACCACCGUUGACUUCCAGCAACUGGGUGGGGAGGAGGAGGGUGAACCGACGCCAGAAGAUCCAUCAACUUCACGUCGUCCUGGCAAUGAAUCUUAAACCGUCAAUCGGUCAAUUUUCACAGACUUUGUUCGGUGUAAGAACAAUCAGCAUUUUGGGCCUCAAAGCGCCUUGUAAUAGGCUAGUUAAAAUACUUUGAUCUGCCAUGCUGAUACAUGACUUUGUUUGAUCCGCCAUGAUAUUUGAUGUGCUUGAUUGUAUAUCAUGAUAAUUUCAUGCAAUCCUGAUGUCUGCAUAAAAAGAAUUUUCCGGCGGUAUCACAAUGCCCAAUACCAAGCCUGGUUAAUGACCAAAGCUAUAUCAAAAUAUGAAAUGAAUCAUACCUGUGAUAUUAAAUGACUUAAUUGGUUUACCAACUUGGUUUUGUAGUAAGGGUGAAAACCCAAUACUUGGAGCUUUUGAUAGUGUUCACCAUGCCGUGCUAGUGUUGAAUGAGUCAUACCGGGUUACGAUGAACACCAGAUGAUCAUAUUGGUGACAUAUAGUCAAAAACCAGACUGGUUUAUGAAACACCGGUUUAAAAACGAAGAUGGUCUGGCAACUUAUAGUUGAAAGCCAGGCCGGAUUAACAAACACCAGGUUAAUAUGAUGACUGAAAAGCCACACUGGUUCAAUAUAAACUUAUCAAAGGGUAAAAUUUUGGCAAAAAGCAAACAAAAACCGUGUAGUCGAGGCUUUUCAAGGGCUGCCAGGCCCAAAUUCAAGGCUUUUCAUGGGCUGCCAGGCCGCUGAGUUAAACCAUUUUGCAAAGCCUUUUAAGAUGGGCCUCCAACUAACCAAUCGUCAUUUUAACUUUGACAAGUUCAGGGUCUUUAAAAGAUUGACUUGUCAAACGUUCGGCGGGUCAUGCCAGGAUUACCUGGAUAGGAGUGGCUUAUUUGAUGAAGGCAGGUUAACCCGGGGUUUUAGGUGAAUACACCAGGCUUCCAAGCCGUGCUUGAUAGCAUUUUACAAGGGUCCUUUCAAACUCUUUGUUGCAUUGCACAAAGAGCCCCCAAGUAACUUUGUGAGCUAUGCUCAAUGGGUGCCUAUGUUUGAGUUGUGCACAGCAUCCAAACUCUCUUUGGCCCCUUGGGUGUGAAGCUCCCAAGCUGUAUAGUGGCAUGAUAGCCGGUUCAAUAAGUAGUACUCCGCUUUGUCAGCCAAAGCCCCCAUGUAACCAAGAACAUAUUUGAGGGAAAACAGCAGAGGCCCUGCUUAUAGCAAGGGUGCCAGUUUAUUAUAUUGAUCAUAAUAUAUACAUUGUCAAAAUAUGUACAUAAGAAAAGCCUAUGGCUCAAGUGUAGUAAGGCCGAAGGAGAGCUAUGUUCCAUGGCCGCCGGGUCUCCUCCUCAGAACUGCGUGAGUUGUCUCGAGCGUCGAUGAGGUAGUAUGAUCCGUUGUGCAGAUUCUUGCUGACCACAAAGGGCCCUUCCCAAGGUGGGGACAACUUGUGCAUAUCGGUCUGAUCCUGAAUGAGCCGGAGCACUAAGUCGCCUUCUUGAAAGGUUCUUGUCUUAACCUGGCGGCUAUGAUAACGCUGCAGGUCUUGUUGAUAAACCGCCGAACGAGCCAAAGCCAUGUCCCGUUUUUCAUCUAACAGGUCCAGCGCCUCUUGGCGUGCUUGCUCAUUGUCCGCUUCAACAUAAUUGGCUACCCGGGGUGAGUCAUGACGAAUAUCACUUGGGAGGACGGCCUCAGCCCCGUAAACCAUGAAGAAAGGUGUAUAACCCAUAGAUCGAUUUUGUGUGGUGUUUAUACUCCAUAACACAGAUGGUAAUUCUUACACCCAACAACCCGGCGUCCGCUUCAAAGGAACCAUAAGCCGGGGCUUGAUACCCUUCAAGAUUUCUUGAUUAUCUCUCUCCGCUUGACCAUUAGACUGGGGGUGAGCCAUGGACGCUACAUCAAUCCUGAUGUGCUCUCGUUGACAAAAUUCCUCCAUCUCACCUUUAUAAAGGUUCGUGCCAUUAUCUGUGAUGAUGCUGUGUGGAAAGACAAAAUGGAAGAUGAUCUUUUUGAGAAAUUGAACUGUCGUGGCUGCGUCACACUUGCUGACAGGCUUCGUUUCAACCCAUUUAGUGAACUUGUCAACCGCCACCAACAGGUUGGUCUUCUUAUCCUUGGAGCGCUUAAAAGGUCCCACCAUAUCAAGCCCCCAAGUAGCAAACAUCCAAGUGAUAGGAAUCAUCCAUAGCUCUUGAGACGGAACAUGAGCUCGAUGUGAAAACUUUUGACAAGCGUCACACCGCUUUACCAGAUCCUCUGCAUCAGUAUGAGCUGUCAACCAAUAAAACCCAUGACGCAAAGCUUUAGCCACCAGGGAUUUUGAACUAGCAUGGUGACCACAAUCCCCUUCAUGGAUUUCACGUUGAAUAUCUUGUCCUUCUUCAGGAGAAACACAAUGUUGGAAUACGCCUGAAACACUGCAACGGUGUAACUCGCCAUUGUGAAUAACCAUGGACUUGGAUCGCCGGAUUAUCUGUCUGGCUAAAACCUCAUCAUCUGGUAGCUCGCCCCGGUUCAUAUACACCAAAUAUGGAACCGUCCAAUCCGGAAUGAUAUGUAAAGCGGCUACCAAUUGGGCCUCCGGAUCAGGAACAACUAAAUCCUCCUCUGUAGGCAACUUAACAGCUGGGUUAUGCAAGAUAUCUAAAAAGGUAUUGGGUGGUACCGGUUUACACUGAGAUCCCAGCCGGCUUAACGUGUCUGCUCCUUCAUUUUUGCGCCUGUCAAUGUGCUCAACCUGAUAUCCUUUAAAGUGACCAGCCACAAUAUCCACUUCACGUCUGUAAGCCGCCAUGAGUGGAUCCUUAGAAUCCCAAGUACCAAAAACUUGCUGAGCCACCAAAUCAGAAUCUCCAAAACAGUGAACCCGGCUUAAGUUCAUUUCCUUGGCCACACGGAGACCGUGGAGUAAGUCCUCGUACUCAGCUACAUUGUUAGUGCAAGGAAACAUUAAGCGGAGGACAUAACAAAUUUUAUCACCUCGAGGGGAAGUAAGGACAACUCCAGCCCCCGAGCCUUCCAACUGCCUGGAUCCAUCAAAGUGAAUAGUCCAGUAUGUAUUAUCCGGUUUGUGCUCCAGUGCCUGUAACUCGGUCCAAUCAUUGAUGAAGUCAACAAGCGCCUGAGACUUGAUGGCCGUUCGAGGCAUAUACUUCAACCCAUGUGGACCAAGCUCAAUUGCCCACUUUGCAACCCGGCCAGUUGCUUCCCUGUUCUGAAUUAUAUCGCCCAAAGGAGCAGAACUAACCACUGUGAUGGGAUGGCCUAGAAAGUAUUGCUUGAGCUUCCGACUUGCCAUAAAAACCCCAUAUACCAGCUUCUGCCAAUGCGGAUAUCGCUGUUUUGACUCGAUUAGUACUUUGCUGAUAUAGUAAACUGGCCGUUGAACCGGAUAUUCCUAUCCAGCCUCCUUACGCUCAACCACAAUUGCCACACUGACCGCACGGGCAUUAGCAGCCACGUACAAUAACAAGGGUUCCUUGUCAACUGGAGCAACAAGGACCGGCGGUUCAGCUAACUGCCGCUUCAAGUCCUCAAACGCCACAUUGGCUGCAUUACUCCAGAUGAAAUCGUCUGUCUUCUUCAACAUCUGAUAUAAAGGAAUUGCCUUUUCUCCCAAGCGGCUGAUAAACCGGCUAAGGGCUACAAUUCGACCUACCAGACGCUGAACAUCAUUGAUGCACUUCGGUUUAGCCAAGGACGUAAUCGCUUUGAUCUUUUAUGGAUUAGCCUCAAUGCCUCUGUUGGACACCAGAAAGCCUAAUAGCUUACCUGUCGGAACACCGAAAACACACUUGUCCGGAUUAAGCAUCAUCUUAUAAACCCGAAGAUUGUCAAAGGUCUCCUUGAGAUCAUCUAUCAAGGUCUCCUUCUUUCUGGAUUUUACCACAAUGUCAUCUACAUAGGCAUGAACAUUGCGCCCAAUCUGAGUGUGAAGACAAUUUUGCACACAAGAACUGAGAGCCGGAAUGAGACAUGGCACUCCCCAAGAACUGAAAGCAAGCCCGGUGCCUCGGUCCACUGAUGCCGCUGGCUGAACCGGGGCGAGUUGAUAACGACCCGCAUAUUGUGCUGCUAAAGCAGCCUUCCUUCGUGCUCUGCCAUUAUCCACCGCAUCCUGAGCAUUUGCCUCACCAAGCGCCGGAUUGGGUCCUUGAGGGGCAUUACGGCGCCGCGCACUGCUAGACACCUCCGGUUCAUCUAUGUGCCUGCUAUAGCUUUUGCUUGGAUGGGGGGUCGAAUGAAUUCUGCCUCGGCUAUAAGAAUAAGCCUGCUGCUGCACAAUGGCGGUUUGAAGAAGAUCCCUGGCCCGCCACGUCUCAAUCGCCGCCAGUGAAUCGCCCUCCAUCGGAAUAGCUGCCAGGCAAGAUGCUGCAGCAAUCAUGUUAUCCAAAGGGCUAGAAAAGUGACCCAGUGGUGUUGAUACGUAUUGCGGCGGGUUAUCCGUUCGACGAGGUGGAUCCGUCACUCGUGGUUGAUCCGGCACUGCCCUAGGUGCGUCAGUCCGGUUUGCAGCUGCCGGAUUACUUGGCCCAGCCCUCGAUGUAUUGAAGAGAUUCAGUCCCUCGAAGACUGGCGGCAUACGUGGUAGAUACUUCCUCCACAUUACGUCAUUUGACGCAUUCUGAUGCAACAUGAGCCGGUAAUUCUGUGUCUGUAUCUGUUGUGACUGGGCAUCCAAAGCGGCCCGUUCUUCAGCCAUCCUGGCAUCCUCAGCUGCUAGGUCCUCCUUAGCCUGUGUUAUCUGGUCCUUCAGCUUCGCAACGUCCGCAUUGUGCUGGUCCUGCGUCUCCGGGGUAACUGCCGUGGUUAACAAGGUCGCCCAGGCAUCCAUCAAACCAGAGAGAACUUGAGCCGGUCGGCGCACCGGGCCUCCUACCGCGGCUGCUGAUCCGGAAUUCAUUGCUGCUGUAGAUGAAGACUGCAAGGUGGGCUGUGUUCCGGCCAUGAAAACAGCAACCCGACUCGGCGGUUCAAAGGGGUCCGGAAUACUGUUGCCCUCAGAAUAUCCUUCGAACACACCAUCCUGAACUUGAUACAGGGACUUGGUUUCACUGGUGGAUGACUCAUUGUCGGAAUAAACGGCCGUCUCGCCUUCAGACACCAGUUCAGAUCCAAUCCCAUGGACACAUCCUACGAACACACGCUUCAUGGCGGGCUUAACCCGGGCAGGACUCGCACGCUGAGCCGUCUCGACGAGUUCGGUGCAGAUGUCCGGCUCAGGGCCCGGUUCGCCGAUCUUGCCGAUGAAGACAUGAAUUCCGCCAAAGGAGACCCAGUACCCGUACUCGAUUGAGCCGGCCUCGGGGCCCCAUCCUUCAUCGUCGAUGUAGAGCUUGCCGCGAUGACUCUUGGUCAUCCAGCCGACCGCGUACCCUUUGAGUCCUUCAAAGCUGCCCUUCAAGAACUCGAAACCAUUGUGCGAUAGCCCCACGGUGGGCGCCAACUGUCGUGGAAUUAACACGUCAGAUGUCCUCAUGAAAGGACUUAGUCGUGGAGCCAUCGUGACAGGUUAGCUUGGAGGGGUUAAACCGGAUAGGGGACACGAGAGUUUUAUACUAGUUCGGCCCCUUCGGUGAAGGUAAAAGCCUACGUCUAUUUGUGAUGGAAUUGAUUGGGUUUUGAUGACCAUGGAGCAAAUACGCUUUGCCUGGGUCUCGAGUUGUUGUUUUUUUCCUGAACUGCCACCGGGUCGUCCCUUUAUAUACAUAGGUUGACGCCUGGCCGGUCUACAGAGUCCCGAGGCCGUCUCAUACCAGUGUCCGGCUCGGUCUCUCCUUUCCUAUCUUAUAACACAAGUUACACGAUCAUGGCGGUUUACAACUUAUGGGCCCUAAUCUAUCUUUGGGCUCUGGCCCUCUAAGCUUCACCGUAAAGCGCCAUCUUCUGGGUCUUUAUGGGCUUCAAAGUAGUUGAGGGUAAACCGGCCCCUCCUGGGCGAUUUACCCUUAGUAGUUAUAUCCUCAACAGGCUCCCUCGCUUCGGCUGCCGCCGUCGCUCGCUCUCCCACGAUGCUUGCCUCUGGCGGAAGAAGGCGGGUUGGGGUCGGGGGGAUUCGACGGUUGUGUGCGCGUCGCGCCUAUAGGGGGCGGGGGGUAACAGAAUAAUAUUCUCUUAUGGGUAACAGAAUAGUCCAGCCCUAUAUAUAUACAGACGGUCUAUUCUGCUAAUAUUAGCAAAAUAACUAUUCUGCACAUCACUUCCGCACUGCAUGCUGAAUGCAAGUGCACGUCAUUCUUUGAACCAAGCGUGCUGCAGUACUCACACGAGUGAACUUCUCGUCGGAUAAAACUGCACGCGUUAUUUUUUUGGUACUGUUUUUGCUCUAAUUUUUUAACCGUUUAUCGGAAUGAGGCGUGUAAUAUACCGUUGAAAAGCUAUGGAUUAGGCGCAACUUCGACAUGUUGAACAAUUUUCGAGAUUCCACAUGGUUUAAGAGCAGUUUUGAAAAUGGUGCGGCGGAUGACGAGUGGCAGCGAGCGUUUUUUCGCGUUUUUUUCUAAACGGCUUGUCGGAAUGAAGCAAAUGAUACGUCGUUGGAUAGAUAUUGUCGAGGCGCAUCUUUUUCAUAUAUAAAUCUUUCUCUAAUUCGUUACGGUUUAAGAGCAUUUUCAAAUUUACUAAAUCACGGAAUUCUGUUUUUCAAGUUUUUAAAAAAAUCUGGUACUGUUUUCGCUCCAGUUUUUGAACCGUUUGUCGAAACGAGGCGUGUGAUACGCCGUUGCAAAGCUACGAACGAGGUGCAACUUUCAUAUGUUGAAAUAUUUUUGAGAUUCCUUACGUUUUUAAGUUAAUUUUGAAAAUCGUGCGGCGCACAACGAGUGGCAGCGGCCGUUUUUUGCGAAAUUUUUGCAAACCGCUGGUCGGAAUGAUUCAAAAGAUACAGCGUUGGAAAUAUAUCGACGAUACGCAACUCUUUCAUGUAGAACACUCUCUCUAAUUCUUUACGGUUUAAGAGAAAUUUCAAAUUUACCGAAAUGCGGACACUCUGUUUUUCGCGACACCAAAAUCGACGAAGUGAACUCCAUCUGACAGAAAAGAGCACUGCUUCGGAUGUAAAAGUGCACUGCAUCCGACUGGCAAGCGAAAUGCAUGAUUUCUUUUGUCUUGAUUUUUGUUAUUCAUUUUUUAGUCGGACACCACAUGAGCUGCAUCCCACGGCCAAACGCAUCACAGUUUCUAAUCAAGUUGACUGAUUCCACACUGCAUCAGACGGUCAAGUGAACUUCAUGAUUUUUUUGUCAAACGUAAUUUUUUUCUCAGACAAGUUUUUGUUGUCUUUUGUUUCAGUUUUUUUAUCGAGAGUGGACCGCAAAGAGGAGGCAAGUGAACCGCGACAUAUAUCAAAGUGAACCUCAUUACUAUCUUUGUUGUUGCGCUAAAUUUUUAGCACUUUUCACUUUUGGGCACAAGUGAACAACAUCACUCUCAAAAGUGAACCACAUCCGAGGACCAAAAGCACUGCAUGCAUUGAUAUAGUCGACUGAUUUUUAAAGCACACAAAACAAAUUACACUUCAUACAUAGGGGGUAAUAAGCUGCAACACAAAUGUUACUUAUCAUUAUUAUCCUUUUGCUUUUGUUUUUGUGCACUAUUACAUAGAGAACUGUCCCCCCACGACAAGUGAACCGCACCAAAAUUCAUAAAUCAAAACAACAAAUCAAGGGCAAUACAAACUGAACAUGAGAUAGCUUUUCUCUCAAGAGAAAAAAACAUAUGAAACCACAAAAGGUAUUGCAUGCUCAUAUCUUUCCUAAGCACUCCACCCGCACAUACCAACAAAACUGUACUCAAAUGAAAAAAGUAACAGGAACAAAAGUGCAAACUAGAAGCAUUUUACAAUCUGGCCGGGUUGGCAAUGUUGUGGCAUGCGAGCACUGCACGCGCUACUUUGCCAAACUGCAUGCACAUGCCUGCCGUACUUCACGCCUACAUGCCGCAAACUGCUAAGGGGGACUUCAUCAUGCGAAUGUCACAAGGCGGGCUCUAAAUAUGAUUAGGCAAGCCUAUACGUCGAUGCAAGGUGCACUACAACAAUAGAGCGAAUAAAAGUUAACUUUGGCACAAUUUUUUGGUCUUUUUCAGUCUCGGUAAGAACAAAGUGAGCUGCAACGGAAUUAGUUAGAGAGCAUACAAAAUAAAGAGAAAUCAAAUUAUACAGCAUACAAUUUUUUUGAAGCCCACGAACUGAAGCCAUGGGCUGGCCAUGGCCGCGCUAGCCCAACUGUAGAGGAAACUUGCCAGAACCUCGCCGCCGAUGGAACUCGUUCAUACUCGCGGCGGUGCUUCACCGAACUGCAGUGUACUGGAUGGAAUCUUCGGUGGUGGGGAAGCACCAUCCGCUUCCUCUUGCGCAUUCUGCAACAGAUCCAGUGGCUGGGUUACGCGAGGUGAGGCCGGUGGUGCUCACCGUUGCCGAGGCGCAUGGUGGCCACAACCUAGACCGUGACCUGGUCGUUGACGGCGGGGAAGGGGGCGCACAACCUCAGAGGGAGGGAAGGGAGGUGUGGCUCAGUGGCCGUGGAUGUCGACGGUGGCUGGAGAGGACGAACCCCGUCUGUGCCUAGCCAUGGACGGAGAGGAAGACACCGGGGCAGGGAGAUGGGAGACGGUGAAGGAACGGGGAGGGGAGAGUCGCCGGUGACCCCCGAGCCCCUCGGAUCCCACACGAUCCAUGAAUCCAGCUGCCCCCUUGACCCGGUGGUUGGUACUUGGUAGGGACGGCAACGCACGAAUCUGAGGCCGACCACGCGCGGGCAGGAAGGAGGAAGCGUGCCCAGAUCUCGUCGUUGUUGGAAGGAAGGGUGUGCGCCGGCCCGCCGGUUCCAUGUUGUUGCUGGAGGGGCGAGGACGAGGGGAGUUGGAGGGGGUUGGGGGCAGUCGCCGGGACAAUGCAGGGGACCGGCGACGCUCGGUCCCGGCGCUUGGGCGGUGCAGCGGGGUUGGAUCCGUCGCCUGACCGCCGCGUCAUGGCCGGAUCCAUGGCCCGGGCGACGCGGAGGUGCGCGAGGCGCGAGGGUGCUGGGGACACGGUGACGCGGGGGCGCGAGGGAGGUGGCGGCGGUGCUACAGCGGGGGCGCGGGGAGGAAGGAGGCGGCGCUGCAGCGGGGGCGCGGGGAGGGAGGCGGCGGCGCCAUGGGAUGGAGGAGCACGGGGGAGAGAUGAGUGGGGUGGGGUAGGUCGUGGGAUGGAGGAGCACGGGGGAGAGAUGAGUGAGGUGGGUAGCACCGUGGCAGAGAUAAGGUGGUUUUUGUGUGUGCGCAGUUCGGUCGACCAUCGUAAGUGGUUAGGUUGUAGCUGCGGGGUUGGUCGGGAGGUGUUAGCAGAAUAAGAAAGUGGUGUGUAGAAUAAGACUCUUAAGGGUGUUAUCAUAAUAGACCCACCCUAUAUAUAUAUAUAUAUAUAUAUAUAUAUAUAUAUAUAUAUAUAUAUGUUGAAACUAUCCUCGAGAUAAAAACAAGUUGGGUGCUGAACACUAUAAACCCCAUCUUCCUAUGUGUUUGACAUAAACGUUUGCUCUAUAAAUAUGACGUGAGUGUCAGCAAUCACAAAAGACUAAAUGAUAGUUUAGUAUGUGAACUUGCUAAAUAAAGCGCUUACAUAGUCUCUUUCUGAAAAUAUGAUGGAUUAUGAUUGUUUCAAUGAUUGAGAUCAUAGUUUGUUAGUUUCCAAUGAAAUUUAUGGUUCAUACUUUAGUUUGUGAAUGAAUAUUUACUUUAGCAUGUGAGGUUUUAUGGUGAUAUAUUGAUGAUAUGAUAAUGAGCAUGAUGCUUUCAUGUCUGUAUUUUGUUUUUAUCGACAUCUCUCUCGCUCUAAACAUGUGGUCAUGAUUAUCAAUUCGGCUUUCGCUUGAGGACAAGCGAGGUCUAAGAUGUGUGUGUGUGGGGGGGGGGUUGAUACGUCCAUUUUGCACCAUGUUUUCCUACUGUUAUUUAUUCUGUUUUCGAUUGUUAUUUCACUUUAUGAUGCAAUUCUUAUGCAUUUUCUCUCUUAUUUUGCAAGUUUCACAUGAAUAUGGAGAUUGUCGGCAGCUAGAAUUCUAGAAUGAAAAAGGCUACAACAGAGAUAGCUAUUCUGCACAACUCCAAAUGACCUGAAAAAUACAGAGAAUUGUUUUGGAAUAUAUAAAAAAAUAUUGGAGGAAGAAAUACCAGGGAGCGACUAGCUGAGGGGGCACGCCCUACCCCCUCGGUGCGCCCUAUGAGCUUGUGAGCUCAAUGGCAGGCCUUCGGUACUCAUCUUCUGCUAUAUGAAGCCAUUUGCCCUAGAAAAAAUAAGAAGAAGACUUUUGGGAUGAAGCGCCUCCAUCUCGAGGCAAAACCUGGGCAGGAGCAAUUUUGCUCUCCGGUUGAGCGAUUUUGUCGGGGUAACUUCCCUCCGGGAGGGAGAAAUCGAAGCCAUCGACAUCACCAAUGAUCCUCUUUUCAAGGAAGGACCAAUCUUCAUAAACAUCUUCACCAAGACCAUCUCAUCUCAAACCCUAGUUCAUCUCUUGUAUUAAAUCUUUGUCCCAAAACCUCAUAUUGGAACAUGUGGGUUGCUAGUAGUGUUGAUUACAUCUUGUAGUUGAUGCAAGUUGGUUUAUUUGGUGGAAGAUUAAAUGUUUAGACCCUCAAGCAUAUUCAAUACACCUCUGAUCUCGAACAUGAAUAUGAUUUGUGAAUAGUUACUUUUUUUCUUGAGGACAUGGGAGAAGUCUUUUCAUAAGUAAUCAUGUGAUGUUGGCAUACGUUCGAUAUUUUGAUGAUAUGUAUGUUGUUGUUUCCUUUAGUGGUGUCAUGUGAACGUCGACUAUAUGACACUUCACCAUACUUGGGACUAAGAGAGGACAUUGUGUAGUAAUAAGUAGAUGAUGGGUUGCUAGAGUGACAGAAUCAUAAACCCUAGUUUAUGCGUUAUUCGGUAAGGGGCUGAUUUGGAUCCAUAUGUUUCAUGCUACGGUUAGAUUUAUCUUAAUUCUUCUUUUAUAGUUGCGGAUGGUUGCGAGAAGGGGUAAUCAUAACCCAAGCACCGAUCCACCCACAUAUCAAAUUAUCAAAGUAGAAAACACGAAUCAACUAAACAUGAUGAACGUGACUAGAUGACAAUUCCCAUGUGUCCUCGAGAGCACUUUGCUUUACACAAGAGAAAGUUCCUGCUUGUCCUUUGCUAUAAAAAGUAUUGGGCAACCUUGCUGCACCUUGUUACCAUUGUUACUUGUUACUUGCUACGAAUUAUCCUACUACAAAACUAUAUGUUACUGUUACUUCCAGUGCUUGCAGAAAAUACCUUGCUGAAAAUCGCUUGUCAUUUUCUUCUACUCCUUGUUGCAUUCAACACUCUUACUUAUCGAAAGGAGUACAAUUGAUCCCCGAUACUUGUGGGUCAUCAGUAUGCAUCAACACAAUGAGCUGAGACAUGCAACACAUACUACACAACGCCCGUUUUGUUGUUUUUUAGCUGGAGAAGCUUUUCAUUUUGCAUUAUUAUUGGGUUUUACUCUAGUUACAUGAAAACCUGUGCACACACGUCAUGUUUAUUGGAUAGCUAAGGUGCAUGCAUACCAAGCACCAUGCAAGUUGCAGAGAGUUCUAUCACUGGCUAGCCGACAAUGCGUCGCCCCCCUCCAUCCGACACAUUAUCGGCAGCUGUGUCGCGGGUUGCUGCACCUUUGCCACCUUUGGGCUGGCCGUUUGCUGCUCUGUGUUAACAUGGUAUGGGUUGUCGUAGCCUUGUUGCUCUUGUCCUGAUUGCUGCCCUUGUCCUAGUUGGUGUCCUUGUCCUGAUUGUUGCCCUUGUCCUGACUGUUGCCCUUGUCCUGACUGUUGCAGAGAAAUUGGGUAGUACCCUUGUUGCCCUUGUCCUGGUUGUUGCACUUGUCCUAUUUGUUGGCCUUGUCCUGGUUGUUGCGCUUGUCCUGUCUGCUGCGGAGAAGUUGGGCAGUGCCCUUGUUGCCCUUGUCCUGGNNNNNNNNNNNNNNNNNNNNNNNNNNNNNNNNNNNNNNNNNNNNNNNNNNNNNNNNNNNNNNNNNNNNNNNNNNNNNNNNNNNNNNNNNNNNNNNNNNNNNNNNNNNNNNNNNNNNNNNNNNNNNNNNNNNNNNNNNNNNNNNNNNNNNNNNNNNNNNNNNNNNNNNNNNNNNNNNNNNNNNNNNNNNNNNNNNNNNNNNNNNNNNNNNNNNNNNNNNNNNNNNNNNNNNNNNNNNNNNNNNNNNNNNNNNNNNNNNNNNNNNNNNNNNNNNNNNNNNNNNNNNNNNNNNNNNNNNNNNNNNNNNNNNNNNNNNNNNNNNNNNNNNNNNNNNNNNNNNNNNNNNNNNNNNNNNNNNNNNNNNNNNNNNNNNNNNNNNNNNNNNNNNNNNNNNNNNNNNNNNNNNNNNNNNNNNNNNNNNNNNNNNNNNNNNNNNNNNNNNNNNNNNNNNNNNNNNNNNNNNNNNNNNNNNNNNNNNNNNNNNNNNNNNNNNNNNNNNNNNNNNNNNNNNNNNNNNNNNNNNNNNNNNNNNNNNNNNNNNNNNNNNNNNNNNNNNNNNNNNNNNNNNNNNNNNNNNNNNNNNNNNNNNNNNNNNNNNNNNNNNNNNNNNNNNNNNNNNNNNNNNNNNNNNNNNNNNNNNNNNNNNNNNNNNNNNNNNNNNNNNNNNNNNNNNNNNNNNNNNNNNNNNNNNNNNNNNNNNNNNNNNNNNNNNNNNNNNNNNNNNNNNNNNNNNNNNNNNNNNNNNNNNNNNNNNNNNNNNNNNNNNNNNNNNNNNNNNNNNNNNNNNNNNNNNNNNNNNNNNNNNNNNNNNNNNNNNNNNNNNNNNNNNNNNNNNNNNNNNNNNNNNNNNNNNNNNNNNNNNNNNNNNNNNNNNNNNNNNNNNNNNNNNNNNNNNNNNNNNNNNNNNNNNNNNNNNNNNNNNNNNNNNNNNNNNNNNNNNNNNNNNNNNNNNNNNNNNNNNNNNNNNNNNNNNNNNNNNNNNNNNNNNNNNNNNNNNNNNNNNNNNNNNNNNNNNNNNNNNNNNNNNNNNNNNNNNNNNNNNNNNNNNNNNNNNNNNNNNNNNNNNNNNNNNNNNNNNNNNNCCUAUUUGCCGCCCUUGUCCUAGUUGUUGCCCUUGUCCUAUUUGCUGCCCUUGUCCUGGUUGUUGCCUUUGUCCUGGGUGUUGCGGAGAAGUUGGGUAGUACCCUUGUUGUCCUUGUCCUAUCUGUUGCCCUUGUCCUGGCUGCUGCAGAGAAGUUGGGUAGUAUCCUUGUUGCCCUUGUCCUAUCUGUUGCCCUUGUCCUGGUUGCUGCAGAGAAGAUGGGUAGUACCCUUGUUGUCCUUGUCCUGACUGAUGCAGAGAAGUUGGGUAGUACCCUUGUUGCCCUUGUCCCAGUUCUUGCCAUUUGCCUGGCUGUUGCCCUUGUCCUGGCUGUUGUGGAGAAGCUUGGCCUGGAUAAUAUGGCCCCUGCUGAGGAGAACUUACGCUUGGGUAAUACCCUUGUACUGUUUGUGAAGAUGUUCCCCAAAAUAUUACUUGUUGGAGUUGCUGCAGUGGUGUGGUCUCGCCAGGGUAGAAGGAUCCGCCCUUGGGCGGCACCACGGUUUGCUCAUAUUGUCUUACGACUUGGCUGACGGCGACGAGACGGCACUUAGCGCUAACAUCUCGGAGCUGCUGGCAGCAUCGCAUCUGGAGCCCCGUGCUCCAUGGCAGCCGACCGGCCAACUGUUGGUCCACGACCUGUCGGCAUGCCUCAAGCGAGCUCUCCUGGAGCUCGCGCUCACACUGUAGUUGCCUAGAGGCCUCACCUUCAGCAGCAGUGAGAGCCACGAGGGUGAUGACUACUGUCGCAAAGAGGACCAACCGCUUAGCCAUCUCGAUGGACUGUUAGUGAAUUGAUCUCUAUUUUGUGGUGCUCGGUGUUGUGGGUGAUGAUGAGAUUGUGGAGAUUGGUUGGGCUUUUAUAGGGACGUGGUGAAGGUUCGGGACAAUGGUUG
rnacentral:lncRNA from 1 species